AUGGAUGUUGUAUUGCAGCAACACAACAUAGCGCAUGGAAGAUCACAAGUUUUGCAACAAAGUACUUACCAGCUGUUGCAAGAAUUGUGUUGUCAGCACCUAUGGCAGAUCCCUGAGCAGUCGCAGUGUCAGGCCAUCCAAAAUGUUGUUCAUGCUAUUAUUCUGCAUCAACAACAAAAACAACAACAACAACCAUCGAGCCAGGUGUCCUUCCAACAGCCUCUGCAACAAUAUCCAUUAGGCCAGGGCUCCUUCCGGCCAUCUCAGCAAAACCCACAGGACCAGGGCUCUGUCCAGCCUCAACAACUGCCCCAGUUCGAGGAAAUAAGGAACCUAGCGCUACAGAUGCUACCUGCAAUGUGCAAUGUCUACAUCCCUCCAUAUUGCACAAUCGCGCCAUUUGGCAUCUUCGGUACUAACUGAGAAGAAAAUAACUCUAGUACUAGAUAUAUGAAACACCGUUUUCUCAGUCCAUGGUUUGGUCAUUGUAGCGUCGAAAAAAUAAUGUGACAUGCACUAUCAUAUAAGAAUCCGAACUAUACUAGUUCAAACUUGGGAAUAAAAGACAAACACAUGUCUUGUCUACAUAUUUAUGUUGCAUCUAUUUAUAUAUUAAAAGUAAUAUAAGGUGAACCAGGAGCAAGGUAAAUAUGCUAGAAAAUUGCACGUUAAUUAGAAAUUACUUGCCCUCGAUCUGGUAAAUCUUAACAAAUAGAAUUAUCUUGACCGUUAGAUUUAUAUAACAUAUAUAAUGCUCUGGGCCUCCAACGACUGUACGUGACACAUCUGAACGAACAUAUGGUAAAGAAAAUAUAUUUGGUAAAUGGUGGGCCUGUUUAAAAAGAGAACUCACGUACAUGCACCAACUAAGAAAAACACAUACAUGUAAACGGGAAAAGGAUGAGAUUUUCUCACGUACGUGCUCCCUGGCUCCACCCCGUUGAAAAAAUAUACAUCUGGAGGCCACUUUGUUUCCUCAUCAAAAAAACUUACGUUAAAAAGAUUGCAUGCAUCCCAGGGAAAAUAGUCAAGAAGAAGUCGGACUUUUCCUUACAAAAACAAGGAACGUGUUAAGUUGACUUCAAAGAAAAAAGGAACAUGUUAAGUUAAAAAAAAACAAGAAACCUGUUAAGUUAGAAAAAAACAAGGAACGUGUUGUCCAAGGAAAGAUAUGUGUCAAAUCUUACAAAAAAAAAGAAUACACACACGUACGUUCAUGCACUUGGAAAAUAGAAAAAAAGGAACAUCACGUAUGUAUACACUUCGGAAACUCAUUACAUGACCAUGUCUGAUAUACUCCUCUAAUGCUUAAUAUUAGUGCCUAAUAAUUUAUAUUUAAAAUUUAAUUUACUGAUCAAAUAUCCCCACUGUUUAAAUUUUAAUUUGGCACAUUGUUUGGCUAUAGUAUGAACCUGAAUUUCCUCUUAUUAUUAUAUAUCAUGGUAAUAAUCCAAAGGCGACUAAUCUGCACCGGCGCACCGGCGCAAUCAAUUCGGCUGGACACAGCGCGGCCGUUUGAUUAGAUUGCAUUUAACCAUCAGAUCUGGAAUCGUUUUCUUUCCAAUUAAACGGAUUCAACCAAACAGCAGAGGGGAAAACAAAGCAGCGCCGCCGCCAACACUAGCCAUGGACGACCGAUGUAGCAAAACCUUGAAGAACCGCCGCCGGUCGCCACCCUCGCCUCUGGUCGCUGCCCUCGCCGUCGGUCACCGCCGGUCGCCGCCCUCGCCGCCUGCGUUUCUCAUCGGCUUCAUGCAUGCAACAACAUGCACUCGUGGUUGCAGGCUUGCAUCUCCGGCUCCGGGGACAUGGCCGCAUCUCCGGUAGCGCCGGCCGCCGGCCGCAGCACCUGUCGUUGUGGUCGCGCUGUACCUCGCCGUGUGCCCUCCCGAGGCUCUUGCUGGUUCCAACAAAAAACGAUACCUGUUGUAGCAAAAAAGUAUCGCUUCCAGCAAAAAAGCUUACCGCUACAGCCCGCCAUCGUCAUUGUAGCAAAAAUGUUAACCCGAUGUAGCUUCUGUGGUUGCCGACUGCAGCAAAAAAUGACAUGGCUGUAGCAAAACACAAAAGAAAAACACUGGCCGGCCGCUGUGUAUGGUGGUAACAAACCCUAUAGCCGGUGGUAGCGAAAAACUUCAUAGUGUGCUGCAAAAAAAUGUUGUCACCCGUCGUCGAGGUUGCAUCAUCUUCAUGAAUUAUGCCGCAAAAAAACGUUGUCGCCGGUAGUAGCAAAUGAAGCCGCCGGUAGUAGCAAAACAAGACACUGGUUCCAGCCAAAAAAAAAAUCAGCGACAGAACCUUUGGUUGGUUCCAACAAAAAAACUUGUCGGUUGUAACAUCCCUCGCCGCCGGAUGUAGCAUCUCCCGGGGCUGGUUGCAACACUCCAUAAAAAAAGUUGUCUAUGAGCGCAUCCAUGGUGACUGCUGCACCGUCAGCAAUGAGGGGAAGAGGAGGCAAUGAAAAUCAUUCGAGUCAUAGCUCCACAGGACGCGGCUGCAGCAUGGGGAGUCCAAAAAUCUGUCACAAGCAACAUGCGCCGCGCCAUCCUCCUGCGCAGGAGAGAGAAGAAAAAGGAAUAAGAGGAAGAAGAAAGGAAACAGGAGAAAGAAAAAAGAAAGGAUUGGUGGUUGGCUCAGGCAAUUAGUCAAGCGAGGGGCACGCGGGGCCGCAGGACACAGCGCAAUCGAACGAAGCGCGCGCGUCCGGGCGAAGACUCGGCCGGACUGCCGUCUGGAAACGUUUCCCUAAUCCAAAGGCUUUAUCUGAAUGACAAGUCGUCUGGGUUACCGGCUAACUAGAAAAAAGAUAAAUAUGCUAGAGAAUUCCAUAAUAAUUAGAAAUAUCUAGCCUUUAAUUAUGUAAACCAGAAAAUCACAACCGUUGGAUUUACUUUAAAGGUAAAUUUCUAUAAAUUCCCACCAUUGCCAGUAUGUAGAAACAUGUGCUGCUUCAAUUCUCCCAUAAUCACCAAUCAAUCAACAACACAAAACAUACCUCAGUUAAAAAAACUGAACAAAAAAAAGAAAAAAAGAAGAAAGGACAAGAUACACGCAUGUACACGACAGCCUUGGCUUGAAACACAUCAGUAGAUCAAGUGUCCGCCUCCCUUACACGUACGUCCCAUGAGGUUUACUAGCCUACCGCCGCCGCAUCAUGCCAUCCUCUCCUUUCAGCUCCCAUGCUCUCCAGCACCCUCAUUGCGGCGCCACUACUCGCCUAGGGAUAUUGCUGCUCAGACCGUGGAGCUUAACCACAUCAGCAUCAGCACGUAUGGGCCUCAUUAUACUGCAGCACGUAUUGCGCCCCCUUAAGUCCAGGUCUGUUUGCUGGCACAUAUGCUUUGGAAAUAGGCCACUAUGUUUGUACUUCAAAAUUGUUUCUGUAUUCUUGAGUGGUACAUCCUUUUAAGCGCCAGUUUUUUAUGUUAAUUCAUGCUGACAACACUUAACCUAGCCUUUCAUGUUCACGUACUAAAUACAGGAGCAAGUAAAAACAACAGACCACCUAAUUGCUCUGCAUGUACUACAUAGGAAAAUUUGUCAUGUUCUACGAUCGCACCAUCCCACCCUUCUCUCUUGGUAUGGGCGCCAAUUGAGGGAUUGAUAAAACUGAAACGAAGACGUCACAGGGCUGGAAGUACCGCUAGCCUGGUUUGCACUGCAACCUACCCAACGCCAUCAGAAACUAGCAACUGAGUCAGGUGUUGAUCGAUUCUCUCAAAUUGCUCUCAUGUAAGUACUACCCCUUGCAUGUGCGUACAUACCUUUGUUGCAUUCUCAAACAGAUAGAACAUGUUUGAUCGGUGCAUGGCUAUUUUUCAUCACAUGACAUCCAGAUAACAAGCAUGAAAGGACUACAUUGGAGAUCAAAAAAUAUUGGUUCCUGGCUAGAGUACCACUACCUAUGGACUUGUCUCCAUAGAAUUUGUUCCCAAGAUGUUAUUUUAAUUAAUCUCUUUAGCUUUCUUCCAUUGCAAACGGUGAUGUGCAUCAUGGUAUAUACGUGACCAUCUUGCACAUGUAUACACAAGAGGCUCAGAUGGAGGUGCUGGAUUCUGGACGAGGGAAUAUGAAGCAGGAGUGAGCGAAGAGUAAAUAAUGGUGGGAGUACCGAUUGGUGUUAUGAAGAAAAAUGCCAUCCAAAGAUUGAUUAGUGUCAUGGAAGAUUAAUUUCUGAAUGCGAAUAUAUAUGUUACAUUGGUUUGGAUCUUUUUGAGAUAAUUCCACCUAAAUUAGGUUCUUUCUUAUUUCAUAUGUAUACCUUAUUUCAGUAAAAGUUCACAACGAACUUAGUAGGACAAAUAUAAUUUUGUUUGUUCUUUCUGUUGUCCGCCACCAAAGCUCAAUUUGAACUCUCUAGAAAUGGACAAUGAUUUAUGCAUUCUAUAUCUUCUUGAUUGAUUAGCCAUGACAAGGAAAUAAAAGGAUUGACUGAUAUAGCAUAACUUUGGAACGAUUAGAGGUUACUACAAAUAAGAGUAGUGUCUGUUGGAAUUUUGCUAGUAGGCCUUUGGCCCAAAGCCCAACUAAAAUUCUGAAAUUCUCUUGGCUCAUUUAUGCACACAUGUGAGUUGAGUGAGUGAGACUAAAGUUUAGUCCCACCCUGGAAGUUGAGAGAGAGUUGCACCUCUUUAUAAGGUGAGCUCUUCUACCACUUGUAUGAGCAUGAGAAGAGGAGACCUACACGCGCGCUCCUCCUCCACGCUCGCCACGCCUCGUCGCGCCGCGCCGUGCCGCGGGUUGCGGGAUUGAGCCGAGCCGAGGACGUUUUCUAUAUUUUUGCUGCUCGGGAAAAAUUAAUGAGUCAUUAAUUAAUAAUUAAUGGACACAUUAAUUACUGAACCGUUUCCGAUUUUUUUGGAUCGUGACGACUCGGACGUGGGGUUUACUCCCAGGACCUACCCGGCCCGCACUAUAUAGUCAGGAAGACGUCUACCCUAGCCGCCGCCGCUUCGUAUGGUUUCUCACCAUCGUUACAGAUCAUUGCGCCGCCAAGCAAGUUUUCUCCAUCCCUCCUUUCGGCGUGCACCGGGAGAAGGGACAGCAGACCUCCGGAACCCCGCCUCUCGUGAUCCUAUACGGGAGAGGGGCGAUCAGGUUUUUGGGGAGCGCACUCGCAUGACUGCUGGCAGCGACGACUUCGCAAACGACGACUUCUUCCCCGACCUCGGCAACCUCAUCCUCGACGACAUGGGCGACAACGUCAACGCCGGCGGUGCUACACCCACUGCACCGUAUGUUAUUCUCUCCUUCUUGUUCGAGAUCAUGGUAGAAUUCAUGUUUCUAGUAUAUGUGCCCUAGAUGUGAUCUGUUCAUCUACUAUGGUAGUUCGCAUGAUUAGUUUAAUCUCUGUUAUUGCUGUCAUGAUCUAUUUCCUAUUUAUUCGGAUUAAAUCUCGUAGUAAUUUUCUCAUUUUUCCAACAAUCCAAAAACCUGAUUAUAGGAAAUUUACUCCGAGUGGUUUUGCUGCGCAUCUGAAAGCCGCUUGCCUUUAAGGGGGCGCAAUAUAAGAGGUGGCGCACCAGAGCAGUCUACUGGUUUCAGAUCAUGGGCUGCUAUGACGCCACCAAGGGCAAGCCUGAGGGCGAUCUUAAUCCAGCACAGCUGGAAGCUUUCAAGAAGAUCAAUACCCUCUUUAAAGGCACGCUUCUGAGUGUUCUUGAUGACUCCAUUGUAGAUUCGUAUAUGUCGUUUGACAAUGGCAAGAACAUGUGGGCUACGCUCGAGGCCAAGUUUGGUGCCUCGGACGCCGGCAGCGAGUUGUACGUCAUGGAGCAAUUCUAUGACUCCAAGAUGACUGAUGGGCGCCCUGUUGUACAGCAGGCUCAUGAGAUACAGUUGCUCGCAAAAGAACUUGAGUACUUCAAGUGUGUGUUGGCGAACAAAUUUGUUGCCGGAGGCAUCAUUGCCAAGCUUCCACCUUCGUGGAACAAUUUUGCUACUUCCCUGAAACACAAGAGACAGGAGUUUUUCGUUGCGGAUCUCAUUGGUACUCUUGAUGUUGAAGAGAAGGCGAGAGCAAAGGAUACACGUGCUUGAGUUGCUAAGGGAGGUUCUAGUGCCCACAUGGUACAGAAGAAGAACUUCCAGCCCAACAAGUUCAAAAACAACAAGAACAAAACUUAGGGCAAAGGCAAGUUCGAUACAAAGAACAAGCCAUCACAUUCUACCAACUUCAAGAAGAACUCUCAUAAGAAGGGGAAGGGACUUUGCCAUGUCUAUGGUGAUCCUAAUCACUGGGCUCCGAAGUGUCCCAACCGCUUUGAGGAGCGCGAACAUGAGAAGAGCGGCAAGUCUGCUAAUGUUGUCAUCGGUGAUACUGAUAUGAAGGAAUCAGGGUACGGUAUUUUUCCUACCAUCCUUUCAGUAUUCCAAACCCCUGACUGGUUAAUUGACACCGGUGCCAAUGUACAUGUUUGUGCUGAUGCCUCCAUGUUUUCUUCUUACCAGGCCACUGGGACUUCUCCUAUGCUGAUGGGGAACGGGUCACAUGCCAUCGUUCGAGGUGUUGGUACGGUCGAUCUGAAGUUUACUUCGGGGAAGACCGUGCGUCUGAAGAACGUUCAUCAUGUGCCGUCCAUCAAUAAAAAUCUCGUUAGCGGUUCCCGUUUAUGUCGAGAUGGUUUUAAGUUGGUUUUCGAAUCCAAUAAAGUUAUAAUUUCUAAGUAUGGACAAUUUGUUGGAAAAGGCUAUGAGAGCGGAGGCUUGUUUCGCCUGUCUUUGUCAGAUAUUUGCACUAAAGUUAUUAAUAAUGUUUGCCACAACAAUGAGUCUGAUAUUUGGCAUUCACGACUUUGUCACAUUAACUUUGGUUGCAUGACGCGGCUAGCCAAUAUGAAUUUAAUUCCGAAAAUCUCUACUGUCAAAGGAUCUAAGUGCCAAGUAUGUGUGCAAGGUAAGCAACCUCGCAAGUCCCAUAAGACUGCAGAGGCAACAGACUUGGCGCCACUAGAGCUUAUACAUUCUGAUAUUUGUGAGAUGAAUGACGUGUUGACAAAAGGUGGAAAGAGAUACCUCAUGACGUUGAUUGAUGACUCCACUAGAUAUUGUUAUGUGUAUCUUAUGAAAUCAAAAGAUGAGGCUUUGGCUUUCUUCAAAAACUAUAGAGCUGAGGCAGAGAACCAACUUGAUCGAAAAAUUAAACGGCUUAGGUCCGAUCAUGGUGGAGAGUAUUUUUCCAAUGAAUUUGAUCUAUUUUGUGCGGAACAUGGUAUAAUCCAUGAGAGGAUGCCUCCCUACUCACCCCAGUCAGAUGGGGUAGCCGAAAGAAAGAACCAAACUCUAACUGAUAUGGUUAACACCAUGUUAGACACUUCGGGUCUAUCCAAGGAAUGGUGGGGGGAGGCGCUAAUGACUGCGUGUCAUGUCCUAAACCGAGUUCCCACAAAGCAUAAGACCAUGACUCCAUUUGAGGAAUGUUAAAGGAAAAGGUUGAAACUCUCUUACCUACGUACUUGGGGUUGUUUGGCGAAAGUCAAUAUACCAAUUCCCAAGAAGCGCAAGCUUGGACCAAAAAUCGUGGGUUGUGUUCUUCUUGGCUAUGCUUUUCAUAGCAUCGGCUAUAGAUUUUUGAUAAUAAAAUCUGAGGUAUCCGACAUGCAUGUUGGUACGAUUAUGGAGUCGAAUGAUGCAACUUUUUUUGAGGACAUAUUUCCUAUGAAGGAUAUGUCGAGUUCAUCAAAUCAGGAGACACCUACUCCAUCUAGUGAGGAAUUCAUUGUAAUUCCUGAACCCACCAUUGCGAUGGAACACAUUGAGAAUCCUGUUGAGGGUGACAAUGGAACUCUUGUGAGGAGUAAGAGACAUAGGACUACAAAGUCCUUUGGUGAUGAUUUCAUUGUGUACCUCGUGGAUGACACACCCAGGACUAUUUCAGAAGCCUGUGCAUCUCUUGAUGCUGACUACUGGAAGGAAGCUGUACGUAGCGAGAUGGAUUCCAUCUUAGGUAACGGAACCUGGGAGAUCACUGACCGUCCUUAUGGGUGAAAACCUGUAGGAUGUAAGUGGGUGUUCAAGAAGAAGCUUAGACCUGAUGGUACGAUUGAAAUGUACAAGGCACGGCUUGUGGCCAAGGGUUAUACCCUGAAAGAAGGUGUAGACUUCUUUGAUACUUACUCACCCGUGGCUAGACUGACCACAAUUGGGUGCUACUAUCACUUGUUGCCUCACAUGGUCUUCUCGUUCAUCAAAUGGACGUUAAGAACGCUUUCCUCAAUGGAGAGUUGAAGGAGGAAAUUUACAUGGAUCAGCCAGAUGGUUUUGUAGUACCUGGUUAGUAAGGAAAGGUGUGCAAGUUAUUAAAGUAUUUAUAUGGCCUUAAACAAGCUCCUAAAGAGUGGCAUGAGUAGUUUGAAAGAACAUUAACUGCUACCGGCUUUGUAGUAAACGAUGGUGACAAGUGCGUGUACUAUCGCUAUGGUGGGGGCGAAGGAGUUAUUCUUUGUUUGUAUGUCGACGACAUAUUGAUCUUUCGAACCAAACUUGAUUUAAUCAAGGAGGUUAAGGAUUUCUUAUCUCGCUGUUUUGAGAUGAAGGAUCUAGGAGUAGCUGAUGUUAUCUUAAACAUCAAGCUGUUGAGAGAUGAGAAUGGUGGGAUCACACUGCUUCAGUCACACUAUGUGGAAAAGGUCUUGAAUCGUUUUGGGUAUAGCGACUGCACACCUUCUCCAACCCCAUAUGAUGCUAGCAUGUUGCAUCGAAAGAAUCGACGGAUUGCUAGAGAUCAACUGAGGUAUUCUCAUAUUAUUGGCUCGCUUAUGUAUUUGGCGAGUGCCACGAGGCCAAACAUCUCGUUUGCUGUUAGCAAGCUGAGUCGGUUUGUGUCAAAACCAGGAGAUGAUCAUUGGCAUGCACUUGAGAGAGUUAUGUGCUAUUUGAAAGGCACCGCGAGCUAUGGGAUUCACUACACCGGGUAUCCAAGAGUACUGGAGGGUUAUAGUGACUCAAACUGGAUAUCUGAUGCUAAUGAGAUUAAGGCCACAAGUGGUUAUGUUUUUACACUUGGUGGUGGCGCUGUUUCUUGGAAGUCCUGCAAGCAGACCAUCUUAAUGAGGUCAACUAUGGAAGCAGAACUCACAACAUUAGAAACUGCCACUGUUCAAGCAGUGUGGCUUCAUGAGCUCUUGAUGGACUUUCCUAUGAUUGAAGAACCAAUACCCCCUAUCCCAAUGAACUGUGAUAAUCAAACUAUGAUCGUCAAGAUAAAUAGUUCUAAGGACAAUAUGAAGUCCUCAAGGCAUGUGAAGAGGAGACUGAAAUCUGUCAGAAAAUUGAGGAACUCCGGAGUUAUUACGUUGGAUUAUAUCCAAACGUCAAAAAAAUUGGCAGAUCCCUUCACAAAGGGUCUAUCACGUAAUGUGAUAGAUAAUGCAUCGAUGGAGAUGGGUCUGAGACCCACCGCAUGAGUUGUCCAUAGUGGUAACCCACUCUUUGUGAUCGGAUAUCCCGUGAAGUAUAAGUGGGAGACAAGCUGUUGGUCAGCUGGGAGGAGAGUAUCCCUAUAUUACCUGUCCCACUCCAUGAAGAUGCAAUACUCUCCUAAUCUGCAUGGCAGGUUGAUACUUAUCUUAAUGUGUUCCAAGUGGCUUAUUCGGGUAAGCAGAGAUGUUGUCCUGCAGAACAUCUUCUGAGGAACACACCUAUAUGAAUUUGACUGUUAACGUCGCAGUCUGUGAGAAUUGGGUGUUCUCUAAUAAAUUCAUGAAAAGGCCCUGGAGUAUGACGUAUACGCUCCACCCGCAGGGAAGCCUUGCGGCAGCCCAGUAUCGGUCAAGAAUUUGUGUGAAACUAGUUGCGCAGAAAAUUUGUAGUUCAAGGCAUAGUCCACUAUUCAAGUUGUGAUCUAGUGUAGCAUAAAUCUCUAAGUGGAAGUUCAACUUCACAGUCUCCACUAAGCCCCGGUAUAUAAACAAUGUUUUGGAACUAAAUGAUGAGAUGUGCCAAUGAGACUUUGUGGGGGAUUGUUGGAAUUUUGCUAGUAGGCCUUUGGCCCAAAGCCCAACUAAAAUUCUGAAAUUGUCUUGGCCCAUUCAUGCACACAUGUGAGUGGAGUGAGUGAGACUAAAGUUUAGUCCCACCCCGGAAGUUGAGAGAGAGCACCUCUUUAUAAGGUGAGCUCUUCUACCACUUGUAUGAGCAUGAGAAUAGGAGACCUACACACGCGCUCCUCCUCCUCGCUCGCCACGCCACCCCUCGUCACGACGCGCCGCGGGUUGCGGGAUUGAGCCGAGCCGAGGACAGAGCUAUGCACAUUGUCUAUUUUUUGCUACCCGAAAAAAUUAAUGAGUCAUUAAUUAAUAAUUAAUGGACACGUUAAUUACUAAACCGUUUUCGAUUCUUUUGGAUCAUGAAGACUCGGACAUGGGGUUUACUCCCACGACCUACCGGGCCCGCAUUAUAUAGUCCGGCAGACGUCUACCCUAGCUGCCGCCGCUUCAUAUGGUUUCUUACCACCGUUCCAGAUCAUUGCGCCGCCAAGCAAGUCUUCUCCAUCCGUCCCUUCGGCGUGCAUCGGGAGAAGGGACAACAGGCCUCCGGAACCCCGCCUCUCGUGAUCCUGUACGGGAGAGGGGCGAUCAGGUUUUUGGGGAGCGCACUCGCGCGACUGCUGGCAGCGACGACUUCGCGAAUGACGACUUUUUCCCUGACCUCGGCAACCUCAUCCUCGACGACAUGGGCGACAACGUCAACGCCGGCGGUGCUGCACCCGCUGCACCUUAUGUUAUUCUAUCCUUCUUGUUCGAGAUCAUGGUAGAAUUCACGUUUCUAGUAUAUGCCCUAGAUGUGAUCUGUUCAUCUACUAUGCUAGUUCGCAUGAUUAGUUUAAUAUCUGCUAUUGCUGUCAUGAUCUAUUUCCUAUUUAUUCGGAUUAAAUCUCGUAGUAAUUUGCUCAUUUUUCCAAUAGUACCAUCUAAUAGAUGAUGUAAAUCUCCUCUAGUUUGACGUUGUUGAGCUAAUUUACAAAAAAAACCUCAUCAUUAUUGGACGUCCUUAACAGCUCAAGAACAAGUUGGGGUCGAACUAAUGGAUUUUACACUUUUACAUUAAAGGUUUAGCUAAAGCUAGCAGGUGUUUUUAAACCUGAAUUUUUUUCCUCCUGAAUUUCUUUGUAUUUUCUUAUUGACACUAUUUAUACAAUCAUCUGACAAAGAUUAGCUAAAGCUGUUUGUAGAUACGUUGAAACCUGAAAAGCUUCUUUGGUUAUCCUUUUAAUAGUUCUACGUUUAUUUUCUCAUAGGUCAUAAUUCUUAUGUAAUACCAAGAUGCAUUGUGGUAGUGUACAUGUGUUAAAUUCAGGUUGUUAUUCACAAUUUGCGACAAAAUUUAGCUCACGCUACAUUCAAAUAUGUUGAAAUGUGAAAGCUUUUUUUUCUUCUCCUUUCUACACCUUGCAUCGGAUUGCAUCCCUUUAGUUAUCCAACAUUUUGUACAACAUGUAGAGAUUAGGAAGUUCAUCAUAGUUUGUUUAUUUCGGUGCUAAUAAAUGUAUGAAAUCUGCAUUUCCAAGCUACUAGGACAAGUAAAAAAUAAUAAUUUUACUAUAGGAUUCAAAAACAGCAGUUCUGAAGUGCACUUUAUUUAUUUUUGAAAGUGAUCACAUUUUGUUUCAUUUUUCUAUAGACAAAUCUACUAAUACAUACUCACGAUAAAACUAUAAAAGUUCUAGUCCGCACAUUGGGCGGGCCACCCGGCUAGUUAGUCUAAAGAUAACAAAAUGAGUCUGGAAUUUGAAUUAAAUUGAAGUAUUUUCUUGGACUUUCAAAUUGAGUUUUAUUAAAGUAGUAAGGACUAUCCACAUCCUUGGCUUGCCCCUGAUCAAUUAUUUCCAGAGAAGCAUUCAAUUCAUCAAUCAAUUACAUUGAUUUUAGUGGCUGGUACUUCUCCUCAACAUCAGUAUAUUCACCGUGGCCACUCCAAAUCGGCAAGAAUGAGGUACCAGUGCUCUGGAGCAGUGCAAGCUAAUUGCUUCUCAUCUGAAGGGGUGCGGCCGCAGGAGAGGUAUUUCUGGUGGGCCAAGGGACUAAGAAGCGACUGUGGCAGCGGUAUAGACGCCCGCAAAGCCCCAUAAUUUGUUUUUGGUUUACAGGAAAAAUGCACAUCCAUACCAGCCUGGGGAAUAUAGGACCGUAUUGGAUGGAAAACCAUGUCCGGAUGGUUGCGAGCGGUUUAAGGGUUAGCUUUUGUAACGCCCGGUUAGUUAUGCUAUAGCAAUUCCCUGCUAAUGAUGUCACGUUACCACGAUUACUGUUGUUAACCUCACAAUGAUUCAAUCCCCUUCAAAUUGAAAUUUAAAAUAAAGGCAAACAUCAAAAGUUUUCAAAUAUUAAAACUAAAAUCUUUGAGAGGUGACAAAUAAUGCAUAAGUAAUUAUGGUGGAGAAACCACACUUUAAUCAAAUGUUUAAAUACUCUAAAAUGAAAAAAAACAGUUGCUUAAACUAUUAUUUAAAUGCUUUUAAAAUAGUAAAAAUCUUCUAACUAAAUUAUUUGGGUACCAAACUUUUGGUGGCAGUGGUAUAUUUAGUACAACUAAUUUAGAUGCUAAUUAUAUAAAAAGGAAAAGCAAAAGGGGGCAACCCCUCGCUGGGCCUCGGCCUAGCUGCCACUAGGCUAGCUAGGCUGGCCCCGCCGCCUCCCUUAACCCCCCCCCCCCACUCCCCAUCGAACCCAAGCCCGAUCGCCCCACUUCCCCCANNNNNNNNNNNNNNNNNNNNNNNNNNNNNNNNNNNNNNNNNNNNNNNNNNNNNNNNNNNNNNNNNNNNNNNNNNNNNNNNNNNNNNNNNNNNNNNNNNNNNNNNNNNNNNNNNNNNNNNNNNNNNNNNNNNNNNNNNNNNNNNNNNNNNNNNNNNNNNNNNNNNNNNNNNNNNNNNNNNNNNNNNNNNNNNNNNNNNNNNNNNNNNNNNNNNNNNNNNNNNNNNNNNNNNNNNNNNNNNNNNNNNNNNNNNNNNNNNNNNNNNNNNNNNNNNUUGAUCCCAUCUGGAUCGGGGAGGGUAAUGCCCCAAUCGACCCCGUUGCCGUCGCGGGAUUGCCCGCCGACGUCGCCAGGCCUCCUCCCCGCCACCCGUCUCCGGCUCGCCUCCCCUCUCGCUCCUCUUCCCCGACCCGAUCUGGAUCGUGAACGAGCAAUGAGCUCGAAGCCCCCUUCACCGGCGCCAUCACCGUGCGCCACCACCACCGCCUGAAGACCUCACCGUCGCCGAACCUUGCGUCGCCUCCUCGUAUCCCUCCCCUACUCGCGUCCUCAAGCCAGGCCGAGCCCCUUCUCGGCAACGCCGUGAGACGCCCCCGUCUCCCUCCUCUUUCCACUGCGUUCACCGCGCCGCCCGCCGUGCCCCUCGCCGUGCGCACGCCCACCACCGCACCAGCCCCCGCUCCGCGCACGACCCUACCCGCGUCCGCGCCAUGAUCCCCUUUUCCACCCUACCUUCCUGCGCUCGCCGCGGUCCUGAUGCUCCCCCGCGCCCUCUUUUGGGGGCGCCGACUGCCCCUGUCCCACUGCUCGCCGCCGUGCCUCGCCAUCGCUCUACUGCUAAGUUAUUGCUGCGCUGCGGCCGUCGCCUCUUCCCGCUGCUCCGCCAGCGCCGAAGCUCCCGAUUGGCUCCACCACUUCUCACGUUAAACCGCCGGCCUAAAUGGCCUAACCCCCGGCUAAUGAACCCCCACUAUCCCACUGACACCGGGACCCACAUUCCCUAAUUAACCAUUUAAUAAAUUAAAACUCUUAAAUUAACAUUAGUGUAUGACAUGUGCGUCCCCUAUUAAUUUAUAAUUUUACUGCUAGUUUUAUUAGUUUCUGUUUUUUCUGCAUAUUUCUUUUGUAUUUGAACAGGCUUUAUAUAAUAAUAUUUAGCGUCUCAUACACAUAUAAAUGUAAUUAUAGCAUAUACAUACAAAUAGUCUCAUCAAAUCAUGUCAUCACCAUAAUCAUCAUCCAUCACAAAGUGAUCUCUCGUCAUCAUCUCGAAAAUAGCAAUACAAGUCUCGAUUACUUGCAACUACAUCGUCAUCCAUCUAAACAAUGAUAUACGCGAGAAGCGCUAUCACUAUGAGUGAGAGCGGAACUAUGCAGUACAUGAGUUUGUAUCCCUCUCUCACAUUAGCGUGAACCUAAACUAACUACUGGCUGUUGCUCGGAAACCGGAAACCGGUACACCUGGGCCUGACACUCCGGCCACUCGUCGUAUACUCCUGGCGUAGCACUUCUUCGCCAUCGAUGAUCUAUAAACCUACAUCGUCAGAUGAGUCGAUGAUAUGCAACAUAUAUAGUUGAGCAACAGAAAGAGACAGACUUGGCAAAAAUAGAAGCAACAUAUCAUAAGCAUAAAUAACAAAGUUCAUCGUACGCAAAAUGCCCUAACUAGAGUGAUCUUCGCUAGUCGAGGAGGACGGUUUAAUUACAUCACAAAUAAUUUUUCGUCGUGCAUAACUCAAAGUUCCGUCAUACAGAAAGUAUGAACUAAAUGGACACAUUGUCAUAUUUCAAAAAUCACUCCCACAUGUCGUGCCAUCCAUCCAAGUCAAGGAGAUAGUGCCCGAGCUUAGUGAAAGGCUUUAGGUCGAGACGCUGAGCGGCUAUGCGUGUUCGGACGUCUUCCCACGACAUUUGUCCUUCUUCAUAGAACAUCCCUGUUUUUUCGACGACCUCCUUCAUCACUGGAAGAAAAAGGGCCUGUUGUCCCGGUUCUGGAACCGGGACUAAAGGGUCGGUACUAAUGCCCUGUCCCUUUAGUCCCGGUUCAAUCCAGAACCAGGACAGUUGGGCCUCCACGUGGCCUGUGCGCGGAGCCUAGGCGGGAGACCCUUUGGUCCAAUAAGCAUCCACGCAUCAGCAUUUAUGUGGUUGGGGUUUUUGUUUUUUUUGAAGGGGGGGGCAUUGGGGGUUUUGGGGGGUUAAUUUUGGUGUUUCAUAUAUUGUGUUAGCUAGCUAUAAUUAAUAGAGAGAAUUGUCCUCUCUUAUGUCCGUGCUUGCUCGACGCUACGUACUAUACAUACGUAUAGAGAGGACUAGACACGGUAGCUAGCUAGUAAGCAAACGAAGGAAAUAGAAGAUCGUCAUGAACAUAUAUGCAUACAGAGAGAAGUAAUAUCGACCACCUCUCCUUCUCCGAGAGAUUGGUCGAACAACAAGUUCUCAUAUAUCUAUCCGACACUACCGGCUACAUAUAUACAAUAAUUAUCUCUUACAAAUAUAAUCAUACGGAUUCAGGGUCCACAUAGUAUUCUCUGUCUUCAAGGAUCACGUGGUCAAGAAAGAAUGCCGCCAAUUCCUCUUGAAUUGCUCGCAUGCGAGCUGGUGCUAGGAGUUCAUCCCGCUUCCGAAACAUCUAAUUUAAAGAAGGGGGUUAAUACAUAUAUACAUAUAUAUAUAUAUAUAUAUAUAUAUAUAUAUAUAUAUAUAUAUAUAUGAAUGAAUGAAACUCAACACGAAUGAUGGUAAUAAAAUAAAAUUGUGAAUGUUGUUAUUUACGUACUUCAUAUUGUUCGUCAGUGUAGCCCCGCUCAUAGGUCGUGUGGCGGAUGGACUCGCAAACGUAGUAUCCACAGAAAUCAUUCCUUUGUUCCUGCCACAACCACUUUAUAAGAAAUAGAGGUCAAUCAAACUGAUAAGCAAGAAUGCCAAAUGGUAUUGAUGAAACUUGUCAGGACCCCGAUUCCAAGCCACAUCGAUCUAGCCGGUAACACCUCAUAUCACUUUGCGGCCUCACGCACGAUAUUCCACGGGUGUCGCCUUACCAUGGCCCGGGACCGUUUGCGCCUUUUGGCUCACGUAUAUGAUAGUGUUGCUAGCAUCCAUAUGACAGAGAACCCGGGCCGACAUGGCUAGUCGUGAACCCAAAGUGGCACAGACCUAUGGAGACAGGCAUACAUGAAUCACAUCGAGCAUGUCGGUCAUCAGUGUGUGAUUCCGGGCUGUAGCACUGGGCUAACAGGACUCCGGGGAACCCGGGCUGUAGCAGGCUAGGCAGGACUCCGGAAGUCACCGCGUGACAUUUACCCGAAGGGACAGACAUAGGAACGAAGUGAAUCACAUGCCGGCAAGUCAAGUGUCCUGAGCAGUAGUACUGGGCUAGCAGGACUCCGGUGAACCGGGCUGUAGCGGACUACUAUGGCUCGAGGAACACUAGACUACAUUUCCCCAUAAGAAAGGCUGCCAAGGAUAAACAACUAGAUUGUCGGAUCCCACUCAUACCAAGCAUUUCAAUCAUACACACAAUAUGCCCGAUAUGAGUACAUACAACAUGGCAUCACAACAAAACUCUACAACUCAAGUACUUUAUUUAAAGGCUCUAGAGAGCCAUACAUAACAUGUUCAUACAGAUAGGGGUCACAUGACCCGACACUCAAGUCAUACAAUCAUACAAGCACAUGCGGAAGCAACCGGUCUGAGUACAGACACUAGAAAGAAAGAAGGCUCCUCGAGGCCUGUCUAUCUACAUAGGGCCCUCCAUGGCCAGGAUCACCACCUGGGUGGCUAGUCACUCGUCGAUGUCAAGGUCUACAUAGAACCCAUCGAAGGGGGCUGUGUUGUCGUCUGAAAACAGUAAUUAAGCAAACAUGAGUACAAAGGUACUCAGCAAGUCUUACAAAAGAACCUACUAUACAUGCUUAUUCUCAAGAAGGUGGUGGGGAUAUUGCAGCAAGCCAGUUUUCACUCUUGGCUAAACUAUCCUACAGAACUUCUCUAGUAAAAUAGUUUUCGCACACGAGUCCACUACUCACCAACACAAUACUCCACCGGGGAUCCUCCCUCGUCAUCCUAUGAGAGGGCCAUCCUCGGUACUCACACUUAUCUUGACUAUUUUAGUAGUAUCCAUUUAAUUGUCUAUGAACUGUAUAGGCAACCAAGUAGUCCUUUACCGCGGACGCGGCUAUUCGAAUAGUUUUAUACCCUGCAGGGGUGUACUUCGUCAUACAUGCUUUCACCACUUAUCGUCGUUUACACGACAUGUACUCGGCAACCUUCAAGCGAAAGCCCAGCGAGGGUGUCGGCCACGGCCUACCUAAACACUUAAGUCUCUAGUCCAGGUUUAUCGCCUAUCUAGGUUCCAUCCGCAGGGAGUCCGGGCGAGGUUUCCACAUACGGCCCCGAACGAUGUGAACAGGGUCCCGAGACGCCAAACGGGCGCCCGGCAUACCCGGCCAUGGUGUAUCUACCGCAACAUAGCCCACCCUUAGGGUCAGCGCUACGCACGGCCGCCAACACAUAACCUACAAACACCAGAAACUAUUUGCAACUCCUAGACAGAGUACAAGGGUGAUUAAGAAGCCGAGAGGGUCAAUUAAGGAUCCCAAUGCAUGGUAGUAGCUGAAUCUUAAAUCACACAUACCGAUCUCAGUUCUUAGGGACGGUCUCAAUGAAACAACCCACCAUGUACUCCUACAUGGCCUCUCAUCGAUACCUUUACCAAAACAUGUUCAACACAUUCCUCAUAUUACCGACAUAAUCAUAUCACCCUAGCCCAUCACCCAGAUGAACCAGACCUGACACAACUAUAAGCAUAGCAGGCAUAGCAAGGUAGGAAUCACAUACAUGGCUCAAUCAACUCCUACACAUGCUAGUGGGUUUCAUCUAGUUACUGUGGCAAUGACAGGUCAUGCAGAGGAUAAGGGUUCAACUAUCGUAGCACACAGCAGUUUGAAUCACAUUGUCUUAAUGCAGUAAACAAGAGCAGAGGCAAGAACAUGGGUUGUAUCGGAAUGAUCAAUGGGUUGCUUGACUGAUGGAGUGGUAGUGGGAUACUGCCCUUCAGUUGGAUACUCAUGAAUAUCCUCGGAGGCAGAACCUACCACGAAGAACACAUCGGAACACAAUCAACACAUGAUGAUAUGCAACAAUAUGAUGCAUGCUAUGACAUGGCAAUAUGAAUGUGUCUUGGCCUAAUGCAAGCUAAAAUAGAAAGGGAUGAACUCAUUUGAAUCAAAGAUUCAAAUAUUAGCUCAUUAAACAUGGCCUUAGUAGUGCAUUUCCUUAUUCUGCUUAAACAGCAAGGUAAACUUGUUUUUUCAUGCUUGAAACCAUUACAGAUGGAUAUAUUGAAUUUUUCUGAUAAUUUUUCAUAUAUAAAUUAUUUCAUUUGGAGUUACGGUUGAAUUUCUAUGAUUUUUAGAAGUUUCAAACAUUUUCUGGAAUUUCUUGAAUAAAAAUAAAUCCAGAAAAUGCAUUACUGCGUCAGCAUUGCAUCAUGCUGACCUCCGCAGGUCAAAGGCACCAGCCUAGGUCAAACCUGACUGGUGGGCCCCUUCUGUCAGUCUCUCAGUUAAAUAACAGGAUUAGAUUAACACUAAUUAGCUGUCAGUGGGGCCUGGGCCCACAUGUCACUGACUGAUUAAAAUAAAAUUAGUUAAAACUAAUCCUAGAUUAGUUAGCAAACCGGCCCCACCUGUCAUAGACUUAGGGGGGGUCUACCUGGGCCCACCCAGGGUCAAACUGGGUCAAACUCGCCGGCGCAGCUCGGAAAACGCCUACAGGGCACGAGCGAGGCCGUUCUUGGGCUCAUUGGAGAGCUCUUGCAGUCGCGCAUCUAGUGGCGGUGGUGGCCGGAGACGACGACGGCGAGCUCCAAGGCGGCGGCCGGAGUUCGGCCAUGUGCGGGGUGUCGGCUGUGGCGUGCAAACGUGGAAACUGAGGCACUAGCGAGGCACUACGCGAUGCGGCAAGCACGUUGCAUAGCACGGGAUAAUCAAAUGGUUGCCGGAGCGGCACCGGUGACAAGCUCGAGCGGAGACGAGCUUCGGCCAUGGUGGAACUAUGGCCUAGAGGGUGCAAACGCGUGGAAAAGAAGAGGGGAAAGGUGGCGGAGCUCACAGGGAGGUCGAUGAGCAGCUCAGUGGGCUCGGGGGCGACAGAAGUGAGGCGAAUCGAUGAGCAGCGUCCGGCGGGUACCGAGGUUGAAGACGAUCCGAUGGCGGCGAUGCAGGGCCUCCGGCGAUGCGUGGCUCGGUGGGAAGGGCGAGGGGGUGACGGAGGGCGCGACUACGGCGGUGAGACGGCGACGGGUGCGUCGGCCAUCGCGGGAGAGGGAGAGGGAGAUGAGUGGGAGAGUGAGAGAGGAUGAGAGGGGGACGUGGGGGUCGCGUGGCAUUCCCUGGACGUCUCCCGGCAUCGGCGGAAGCAGGAGGUGGCCGGCGUGUGGCCGCGGGCGCCGGCCACGCGCUCUGCGUCCUUCUGGCGCGAGGAGGACGACGACUGGCAGCGCCAGUAGGCUGGGCCGAGCCAGGUGGGCUGGCCAGCACAGGUAAGGCUCAGGUGGGCUUCUCCCUCUUUUUUUUAAUUUGUUUCUGUUUUCUAUUUAACUGUAAAUGUUGGGCUUUAUUUAAAAUACUAAAACAUUUCCAAAAAUCCUGAAAAUAAUUGUGGGCUCUGUUUGGAUUAUUUCCAAUAGCAAACAUUUAUUUGCAGAAUUAUUUGAGCAUUUAAAUGCCCAAAUUCAAAUACUUAUGAUUUAAAUCAAUGACCUUCUGUUGACCUAGAAAAGUUGUGCACCAAUUUUGCCAGAGGUUCUAACCCAAGACAAAGAGGGUGAACUUUUUAGAAGGGCAUUUCAGGUUCAUUGAAAAUAAUUUUAGUAAUCCCUAGUUGUUUCCAGGGGGGUGUUGGGGGUUUCUGCCUUCCCCAAUUCAAAUUUAAGAGGAAUUUAAACAUGAUGCACAUUCUAAUGCUUGAACUAGCUAGGGUGUGACAACUCACCCCCACUCAAAAGAAUCUCGUCCCGAGAUUUAGGAUCCUCUGGAAAGAAGGUGGGGUACUCGAGUCGAAGACGAUCCUCCCUUUCCCAAGUGGCUUCUUUCUCGGAAUGGUGUGUCCAUUGAACCUUGAGAAACUUGAUAUUAUGACGUCGAGUGGUACACUCGGCUUGAUCAAGGAUACGAACGGGAUAUUCCCGAUAAGAGAGGUUAUCUUGUAGAUCAAGCAUUUCGUGGUCCACUCCACGGAUAGGAUCCGCGAAGCAACGCCUGAGUUGUGAAACGUGGAAGACAUCAUGAACUCUGGAAAGAUGCGGAGGUAGUUCCAAUUGGUAGGCAACUUCUCCUCGUUUGGCAAGAAUGCGAAAGGGUCCAAUGUAACGAGGAGCCAAUUUGCCUUUGAUACCGAAAUGAUGGGUUCCUUUUAAUGGGGUAACCCGAAGGUAAGCCUUCUCGUCGAUUCAUAAGUCAUAGGCUUAUGUUUACGAUCAUAUUGACUCUUUUGACGAGAUUGGGCUGUUUUCAAUUUCUCACGAAUAACGCGAACCUGCUCUUCCGCUUCCUGAAUCAUAUCCGGGCCAAAGAGUUGUCUUUCCCCGGUUUCUGACCAGUUAAGAGGCGUUCGACAUUUUCGUCCAUAGAGAACUUCGAAAGGAGCUUUGCCCAAGCUAGCUUGAUAACUAUUGUUAUAAGCAAACUAUGCGAAUGGGAAGCAUUUCUCCCAACUCAUUCCGAAUGAGAUAACAGAAGCUCGGAGCAUAUCUUCUAGAAUUUGAUUGACUCGCUCUACUUGACCACUUGAUUGAGGAUGGAAGGCGGUACUAAAAGAGAGACGAGUUCCCAUAGCAUUUUGGAAACUUUCCCAAAAUCGAGAGGUGAAGAGACUCCCACGGUCUGAGUUAAUUUCCAAUGGGACACCAUGGAGAGACACUAUUCGGGAGAUGUAUAAAUCGGCUAGCUGGCUAGCAGUGAUACUCGCACGAACAGGUAGGAAAUGGGCUACUUUGGAAAGACGGUCGAUCACGACGAAGAUGGCAUUAUUCCCUCUCUUGUUCCUGGGAAACCCAGUAAUGAAAUCCAUACUGAUUUUAUCCCAUUUCCAUUCAGGAAUAGCCAAAGGUUGAAGGGUGCCAGCAGGCCGUUGAUGCCCUGCUUUAACACGAUGACAGACGUCGCAGCUAGCAAUGUAUCGAGCGAUUUCUCUCUUCAUCCUAGUACAUCAAAACCUCUGGCGUAGGUCUUGAUACAUUUUAUUGCUACCGGGAUGAAUGGUGAGAGGGGAUUCAUGAGCUUCCUUAAGGAUCAAUUGGCGUAGAUGUUGUUUCUUGGGAACCACCAAACGGUUCUCAAAGAAGACAGCACCCCGCUUAUCCAUGGAAAAACAUUUAGCAACUCCGCUAGCAAUGUUUUCCUUAAUCCGGGAUAUGCCCUUAUCAUACCGCUGGGCAGUUAUGAUCUGAUCCAUAAGGUUAGGUUUCGCCACCAGGGUGGAUAGGAAUCCUCGAGGAACAAUGUGAAGAUUAAGCUUACGGAAUUCCUCAUGGAGAAGUGGUUGACUUUGUUGUAACAUCAGGUUGUUACAAUAGGAUUUACGGCGUAGUGCAGCAGCCAUGACAUUGGCUUUGCCCGGUGUGUAGGUUAUUCCUAAGUCGUAAUCCGAGAUCAACUCAACCCAACGUCUUUGCCUGAGAUUCAAAUCUGGUUGGGUGAAGAUAUAUUUCAAGCUUUGGUGAUCGGUGAAGAUCUCGCAACGAUUAAGUGCAUGGACUACAGCUGCCAGCUCUAGAUCAUGUGUGGGAUAAUUUUCCUCAUGUGGGUGUAAUUGCCGUGAAGCGUAGGCAAUUACCUGACGAUCUUGCAUGAGUAUGCAACCUAGUCCUUGUCGCGAGGCGUCACAAUAGAUAAUAAAGUCCUUGGAUAAAUCAGGUGGUACCAGUACGGGAGCAGAUGUCAGGCGUCUUUUCAGUUCCUAAAAGCUGAACUCGCACUGUGGAGUCUACUCGAACUUUUUAUCUUUCUUGAGGAGUUUAGUUAGAGGUUUAGCAACCUUGGAGAAAUUCUCGACGAAGCGGCGGCAAUAGCUCGCUAAGCCAAGGAAGCUCCAAACUUGCUUGACCGUCUCAGGUGGAGUCUAAUCAAGGACGGCUUGAACUCGCUCGGGAUUGACGGCAAUACCCUUACCAGAGAUUACAUGGCCUAGAUAGGUUACUUCUGGCAACCAAAAUUCACACUUGGAGAAUUUGGCAUAAAGGCGAUGCUCUCGAAGUUUCAUCAAUACCAGCCUUAGAUGUUCGGCAUGUUCCUCUUCAUUCUUGGAGUAGAUUAGUAUGUCAUUGAGGUAUACUACGAUGAAUUUAUCCAAGUACUCCAUGAAAACCGAGUUCAUUAGCCGGGAGAAGGUAGCCGGGGCAUUGGUUAAACCGAAGGACAUAACGGUGUACUCGUAUUGGCCAUAACGAGUAACAAAGGCCGUUUUGGGAAUGUCCCCGUUUCUGAUUUAGAUUUGAUGGUAGCCCAACCUCAAAUCCAUCUUGGAAAAGACUGAGGAUCCAGCAAACUAAUCAUACAGAUCAUUGAUCCUGGGAAGUGGGUAUUUGUUCUUGAUGGUGACCAAGUUGAUAGGUCGGUAAUCCACAACCAUUCGAUCUGUUCCAUCCUUCUUGACGAAGAGGACGGGGCAAGCCCAAGGAGAGGAACUAGGACGGAUGAAACCCUUUUUCAAGGACUCAUCGAGUUGGUUCUCAAGCUCGGCUAGUUCUAAGGGUGCCAUCUUGUAGGGUCUUCUAGAAAUUAGAAUGGUUCCUGGAACAAGGUCUAUCACAAACUCGACAUCCCUGUCAGGUGGAACACCUGGCAGUUCUUCUGGAAAGGCAUCCGGAAAGUCUCGGACUACCGGAACAUCCUCAAGGUCUGGAAGGGGGUUGGCAUUUAGGGAGUAAAGUUGGCACUUGGCCACUCGAGUUAAGACAUUAACUGUCUUGCCCGAUGGGUGAGUAAGUUGAACGGUUCUAGUGGCACAGUCAAUCUUAGCAUAAUGAGCUGACAUCCAGUCCAUACCUAAGAUGAUGUUUAUGUCCGAGGACUUGAGAGCUAUUAAGGAUGCAAGGAAGACAAGUCUAUCGACAAGAAUUUCGUUCCCAUGGCUUACUCUAGAAGUUUGCCAUCUAGAGCCAGGGGUUUGAAUUUCCAUGGUAGAGGGCAUGUCACAGAAUGUCGUGUUGUGCAAUCGAGCAUAGUUCUCGGAUAUGAAUGAAUGAUAUGCUCCAGUAUCGAAAAGAACAGAUGCCGGAUGGCAGUUAACAAGGAGCGUACCAAGGACGACGUUGGGAUCCUCAUGAGCCUCCUCGGCUGAAACAUAGUUGACAUGGCCACGUGCAGUGGUGGCUGGCUUAGCGUAGAAUGUUUUUCCCGCGGGCUUACCACGGCCAACGGACUUUCCAGUUUGAUUGGGGUUGUUGUUCUGGGGACACUCUCGGCUAUAGUGACCCGGCUCUCCACACUUAAAGCAUGUCACCACAUUGGGGCGUGGAGCAGCAUUAGCAGCGGGGCCACCAUAGGGCUUGGGCGGUGCAAAUUGCUGGUUGGGACGUGGUGCCUCAAAGGAUGGCCUCGGGAUGAACCUGGGUGGCAGUGCCGUGCUUGGAAUCCACACCCGGCGCUUCUGAGCUCCAGAGCCGAUGAAGAGCCAAAAUCACGGGAGUGCUUGCGUGAAGUGUCAUAAUCAGUCUGGCCUUUCUCAGCACUGAUGGCUUUAUGGACCAACUUCUAAAAGGAGGUGCACUUGUGCAGACGAAGACCACGGUGAAGCUCAGGGCUAAGUCCCUUGCGGAACCUUGCCUGCUUCUUAGCAUCAGUAGAUACCUCUUCAGGGGCAUAACGUGCCAGAUUCCCAAAUUCACGACUGUAAGCAUCCACAGUCAGUCUUCCUUGGGUGAAGUUGCAGAACUCCUCCCUCUUGCGAUCCAUGAGACCUUCCGGAAUGUGAUGCUCACGGAAAGCCUCACUGAAUUCAGCCCAAGUAGUGAUUUGGCCGACCGGGCGCAUAGCUUCGAAGUUUUCCCACCAAAGGCUAGCAGGGCCUUUGAGGUGAUAGGCAGCAUAAGUAACCUUGUCGGCUUUGGCUACGUUGGCAGAACGUAGCUUGUGGGUGAUGCUGUGAAGCCAGUCAUCCACGUCGAGGGGCUCGACGGAAUGGUUAAACUUUGGUGGGUACAUCUUGAUAAAGUCAUUGAUUGACACCAACUCAUUUCGCGGGUGGCGUGCAGUGUUCUGCUCAAUCCGCUCCAGCAGGCGGUUGGUCUCACGCUUCUUUCUUUCUGCCUCCAGCAUUACUUCGGCCAGAGAAGGCGGGUGAGGCAGAUUUUCACCUCUAGCAGCACUGGCUUCCCCCUGCUCCGGGGCAACAGGGUUGCUGCGAGUAUUGACCAUCCUAGGAGAAAACAAGACAACGGUUUAGACAAGGAUGGCUCAAACUGAGCAAGGAUGUGCAGAAUGUAAUGGAUAACACGGAACACAGAGAUGUUCAUCCGUAUGUCAUGGUAAUAUAAAACUGCCAUAUAUAUACCAACGGUCAUACACAUCACACAUAGUUUAGUACAAGCCCAGGCUACAGUACAACUAUGAUGAAAGACGUUACAUCUCAUCGGAGGCAUUCCAAGCUCCUAUACAUUAUUGUCUACACCUUCGGAAUUGAUUACACGCAAAGUCAUAUUCCAAAAGUCACGCAGGACAGUGGAGAUACAACUACUACAAUACUAGUGGUACUACUACUAACUCAGACAGCUCCGUACUAGUCCUCAUAGAAGUCACCUCCAUAGCCUGGAAGUUCAACGUGACCAUCCGGGAACAGACGGUCCUGAGGAGCCUGUGGACCAUAGGGGCUUGGAUGGGGUCUUGGACCAACAAACGGUGGCCUGCGGGGACCACAGGGUGGGGUGAUGCCUCCCACAUCACGCCAAUCCACCACGUCUGGCAAAGCAGACCUCACAGGAUACAAAUCCCUUGUAUCCAUACAUCCAGCUUGCACCACAGGUGCAAACCGAGUCAAUGUGGCCCAAUGAUCAGCACGGGUAUUAAAAAGCUCCAGCCUCAAGGCCUGAUUCUCUCGGUCCUUAUAUUCGAGCAUCUCGGCAGUGGUACGAGUUAAUGAAUCCUCCUGAGUGGAGUCAGCAUAGAUAGCCUGAAGAUACCCUUGCGCUCCCGGAAGUGAAGCUAGCAUGUAUCGGAAGUCGGUGUUCCGAAGCAGGCCAGUCCGGACUCGCAUGAUUGUCAUCAUGGAAUAGGCAGCAUCCUGCACAGCCAUCUCAACAGUAACCCCGAGUCCAUAGGAACAGUGAAGGGGCUCGGUAGAUCCAGGAUAAGAAGGAAAUAUCUUGACGGUGCAGAAAUACUGGCUUUGAUUAAAGUCUCAGAAUUGCUCUUCGACGGUGUAUUCGGGAUACCAACGGUAACCCGUCUCGAUCAUGACCCGGACUAACAUAGCAGUAUGACCGGGCACGUCGAGCCACCGGGUCAGGCGAACCACUUUGUUUUGAGCACGGUUGGGCAUCUGAAAGCACAACCACAAUGCAAAGACAUCAGAAUUUCUAGGGAAAAUUGGACAGCAUAACAGCUGUAAAUGCUCAGAAAAAGAUUUGAGACAUCCACAACAGUUCGCAAUACCACUCAACAACAUCAUAUCAAGGUUCUGAUCCAAAUAGCAGCAUACUAAAAAUAGUAGAAACUGAACUGGGGCUUGUAACAACAAUCCUAUAAGCUACUACGGAUUAGUAACACGUGAACCUGAUAGAAGAAGAGAGACUAGUCCUUAACCCACAUUGAAUGAAAAGGGAAUGACUCAGAUAAGAGGCAUAGGGUAAAGGAGUAAAAGAGCCUUACGUUCCCUCCCACAAUCAAUUCCCCUACAUAUAACUAAAGCAUUUCCAGACUCGACAUCGACCAGUUUGGCUCAACGAACCUACAGGCAGUCCGGCACUGAUGCCAACGCUGUCAGGACCCCGAUUCCAAGACACAUCGAUCUAGCUGGUAACACCUCAUAUCACUUUGCGGCCUCACGCACGAUAUUCCACGGGUGUCGCCUUACCAUGGCCCGGGACCGUUUGCGCCUUUUGGCUCACGUAUAUGAUAGUGUCGCUAGCAUCCAUAUGAUAGAGAACCCGGGCCGACAUGGCUAGUCGUGAACCCAAAGAGGCACAGACCUAUGGAGACAGGCAUACAUGAAUCACAUCGAGCAUGUCGGUCAUCAGCGAGUGAUUCCGGGCUGUAGCACUGGGCUAACAGGACUCCGGGGAACCCGGGCUGUAGCAGGCUAGGCAGGACUCCGGAAGUCACCGCGUAACAUUUCCCCGAAGGGACAGACAUAGGAAUGAAGUGAAUCACAUGCCGGCAAGUCAAGUGUCCUGAGCUGUAGUGCUGGGCUAGCAGGACUCUGGUGAACCGGGCUGUAGCGGACUACUAUGGCUCAAGGAACACUAGACUACAUUUCCCCAUAAGAAAGGCUGCCAAGGAUAAACAACUAGAUUGCCGGAUCCCACUCAUACCAAGCAUUUCAAUCAUACACGCAAUAUGUCCGAUAUGAGUACAUACAACAUGGCAUCACAACAAAACUCUACAACUCAAGUACUUUAUUUAAAGGCUCUAGAGAGCCAUACAUAACAGGUUCAUACAGAUAGGGGUCACAUGACCCGACACUCAAGUCAUACAAUCAUACAAGCACAUGCGGAAGCAACCGGUCUGAGUACAGACACUAGAAAGAAAGAAGGCUCCUCGAGGCCUGUCUAUCUACAUAGGGCCCUCCAUGGCCAGGAUCACCACCUGGGUGGCUACUUACUCGUCGACGUCAAGGUCUACAUAGAACCCAUCGGAGGGGGCGGUGUUGUCGUCUGAAAACAGUAAUUAAGCAAACAUGAGUACAAAGGUACUCAGCAAGUCUUACAACAGAACCUAGUAUACAUGCUUAUACUCAAGAAGGUGGUGGGGAUAUUGCAGCAAGCCAGCUUUGACUCUUGGCUAAACUAUCCUACGGAACUUCUCUAGUAAAAUAGUUUUCGCACACGAGUCCACUACUCGCCAACACAAUACUCCACAGGGGAUCCUCCCUCGUCAUCCUAUGAGAGGGCCAUCCUCGGUACUCACACUUAUCUUGAGUAUUUUAGUAGUAUCCAUUUACUUGUCUAUGAACUGUAUAGGAAACCAAGUAGUCAUACACGCUAUUCGGAUAGUUUUAUACCCUGCAGGGGUGUACUUCGUCAUACACGCUUUCACCACUUAUCGCCGUUUACAUGACAUGUACUCGGCAACCUUCAAGCGGAAGCCCAGCGAGGGUGUCGGCCACGGCCUACCUAAACACUUAAGUCUCUAGUCCAGGUUUAUCGCCUAUCCAGGUUCCAUCCACAGGGAGUCCGGCCGAGGUUUCCACAUACGGCCCCGAACGAAGUGAACAUGGUUUCGAGACGCCAAACGGGCGCCCGGCAUACCCGGCCACGGUGUAUCUACCGCAACAUAGCCCACCCCUAGGGUCAGCGCUAUGCACGGCCGCCAACACAUAACCUACAAACACCAGAAACUAUUUGCAACUCCUGGACAGAGUACAAGGGUGAUUAAGAAGUCGAGAUGGUCAAUUAAGGAUCCCAAUGCAUGGUAGUAGUGAAUCUUAAAUCGCACAUACAGAUCUCAGUUCUUAGGGACGGUCUCAAUGAAACAACCCACCAUGUACUCCUACAUGGCCUCUCAUCGAUAUCUUUACCAAAACAUGUUCAACACAUUCCUCAUAUUACCGACAUAAUCAUAUCACCCUAGCCCAUCACCCAGAUGAACCAGACCUGACACAACUCUAAGCAUAGCAGGCAUAGCAAGGUAGGAAUUAUAUACAUGGCUCAAUCAACUCCUACACAUGCUAGUGGGUUUCAUCUAGUUACUGUGGCAAUGACAGGUCAUGCAGAGGAUAAGGGUUCAACUACUGUAGCACACAGCAGUUUGAAUCACGUUGUCUUAAUGCAGUAAACAAGAGCACAGGCGAGAACAUGGGUUGUAUCGGAAUGAUCAAUGGGUUGCUUGCUUGAUGGAGUGGUAGUGGAAUACUGCCCUUCAGUGGGAUACUCGUGAAUAUCCUCGGAGCCAGAACCUACCACGAAGAACACAUCGGAACACAAUCAACACAUGACGAUAUGCAACAAUAUGAUGCAUGCUAUGACGUAUCUUGGCCUAAUGCAAGCUAAAAUAGAAAGGGAUGAACUCAUUUGAAUCAAAAAUUCAAAUAUUAGCUCAUUAAACAUGACCUUAGUAGUGCAUUUCCUUAUUCUGCUUAAACAGCAAGGUAAACUUGUUUUGUCAUGCAUGAAACCAUUACAGAUGGAUAGAUUGAAUUUUUCUGAUAAUUUUUCAUAUAUAAAUUAUUUCAUUUGGAGUUACGGUUGAAUCUCUAUGAUUUUUAGAAGUUUUAAACAUUUUCUGGAAAUUACUGAAUAAAAAUAAAUCCAAAAAAUGCAUUACGGCGUCAGCAUUGUGUCAUGCUGACCUCAGCAGGUCAAAGGCGCCAGCCCAGGUCAAACCUGACUGGUGGGCCCCUUCUGUCAGUCUCUCAGUUAAAUAACAGGAUUAGAUUAACACUAAUUAACUGUCAGUGGGGCCUGGGCCCACAUGUCAGUGACUGAUUAAAAUAAAAUUAGUUAAAACUAAUCCUAGAUUAGUUAGCAGACCGGCCCCACCUGUCAUAGACUCAGGGGGGUCUACCUGGGCCCACCCAGGGUCAAACUGGGUCAAACUCGCCGGCGUUGAGCCGCCGGCGAGACCCGAGACAGUGGCGCAGCUCGGAAAACGCCUACAGGGCACGAGCGAGGCCGUUCUUGGGCUCGUUGGAGAGCUCUUGCAGUCGCGCAUCUAGUGCUGGUGGUGGCCGGGCCUACGGUGGCCGGAGACGACGACGGCGAGCUCCAAGGCGGCGGCCGGAGUUCGGCCAUGUGCGGGGUGUGGGCUGCGGCGUGCAAACGUGGAAACUGAGGCGCUAGCGAGGCACUACGUGAUGCGGCAAGCACGUUGCGUAGCACGGGAUGACCAAAUGGUCGCCGGAGCGGCGCUGACGACAAGCUCGAGCGGAGACGAGCUUCGGCCAUGGUGAAACUAUGGCCUAGAGGGUGCAAACGCGUGGAAAAGAAGAGGGGAAAGGUGGCGGAGCUCACAGGGAGGUCGAUGAGCAGCUCAGUGGGCUCGGGGCGACCGGAGUGAGGCGAAUCGACGAGCGGCGUCCGGCGGGUACCGAGGUUGAAGACAAUCCGAUGGCGGCGAUGCAGGGCCUUCGGCGAUGCGUGGCUCGGUGGGGAGGGCGAGGGCGUUACGGCGGAGCUUCUGGACAGGUCAGAGAGGCGAGGUGGUGAUGGAGGGCGCGACUAUGAUGGUGAGACGGCGAUUAAAAAGAAAGAUCUGGUUCACUCGUACGUGAAAAAAGUAGCAAGCGCUCGAUGCCUUCCUUUGCAUCGAUGCCAGACGCGGUGCUGGGAAUCGACAAGAUAACCGCCAAUCUACCACGAUUAAAUUCCUAGCGCCUCCUUCUAGCGCCUCCCACUGAAAAUGCCCUAAAGGUUUUGGAGGGAUUUUUUUACUGUGUCCUACUUCACGAAUCACGAGGCAAAUCAAGUAGCCGGCAUGGCCUGGCCGGUGAGUGCCAUUGCACUUACUUGCCCCAGCAAUUUUCCGCGUGCAUUGUAGAAUUCUUUCUCCGAGUCCUGUGAAUUAAAGAUGGUGCAGACAAAAAUAUAUCCUAUAUGCGUACAUGUGCAUGAUCAGAACAUGUUUUUACGUGCGUCUACUAUAAAUCAUGACCAUUUUUAACACAAAUCAUGACCAUUCAUGAUUAGUGAAUCAUACUGUCUUAACUUAUGUGAAAUCAUGUGGAGUAAUAUAAUAUAAUAUAAUAAAUAGAUAGAUCCAUGUUGUAUUAUUUUUUGUUUACAAAAAAUAUCUGUCAUUACACAUUUUGAUUUAUGCAUUUGUUUACAAAAAAAACAGUAACAUUUCAUGGUGGAAAGUUUGUAUUGUUUCAUACUGAACACCAAUGUUUUCCUGUAAAAGAAAAUAAUGCCUACGCAUAUGCUUUUAUAUUAUUAUUAUUCUUUCAAACUUAUUCAUACAGUAUUUUUGAUUGUGCAACCAUAAUUUUUAUUGUCUCUCUCGUUCCACUACAUGCUCUUACUCAAUGAUUUUUUUAUAACGGGUGUUUUUAUUAACUCAAAAUAUAGUAUCAAGCGGAUACAAAACAUAAUGAGCCACACCUGGUCUCUGCAUAACUAAGAUGCACACAGCCAAAAGCAGAUGUCUGACAAAAAUAAGAUAAGAAAAUCGACAUAUCGACAACAGUGAGUCAUAUAGUCCCGACACUAUGCCCCCGUUGAAGGACGGGGUGGAGCGAUCUGGAGAUUAUGCUGCCCUCCAUGUUGAGUAAAUACCUCCCUGGCCACUUGUUCCAAACGCAUAGACGCCGCCACGAAUAAUGGUCGGUACUCUGUUCAGUGUAGCAUACACCAUGUAGGAAGUGAGUGCUCACUCCUAGUUACUAAAUUAUGUACACACUAGUAGAAAAAGGGCCAUUUGUCCCGGUUCGUAAGGCCCAUUUGUCCCAAUUGGGGAACCGGGACUAAAGGGUCGGUACUAAAGCCCUACACCUUUAGUCCCGGUUCUUACACCAACCGAGACAGAUGGGGCUCCACGUGGCCGCUACAGCUUGCCGUGGCAGGGGGGCCUUUUGUCCCGGUUGGUAGCACCAACCGGGACCAAUAAGCUACCACGCGUCCGCAUUUGAGGGGCUAGGGUUUUUGUUUUUUUUCUGAAGGGGGGGGGGUGGGUUUGUAUGGUUAAUUUUGGGGGGUUUCACAUAUUGUGUUAGGUAGCUAAUUAAUUAAUAGAGAGAAGUGUCCUCACUUAUCUCCGUGCUUGGUCGACGCUACGUACUAUACGUAUAGAGAGGCCCUCAACACGCUAGCCAGUAAGCAAAUGAAGUAAACCAUUAAGUACAGAAGUUCGUCAUGAACAUAUGCAUACAAACAUAAGUGAUAUCGACCUCUCCUUCUCCGAGAGAUAGGUCGAACAACAAGUUUCCGUAUAUCUAUCCGGCGCUACUAGCUACAUAUAUACAAUAUUAAGAUCUCUUACAAUAUAAUCCCCUAAUUAUAUAUGAACUCAGCUUCCAGAUGGUAUUCUCCGGCUUUAUUGAUGGCGUGGUCAAGAAAGAUUCCCUCCAAUUCCUCUUGAAUUGCUUUGAUGCGAUCUUGUGGUAGGAGUUCAUCUCGCAUCUGCCACAUCUAAUUUGAAGAAGGGGGUCAAUCACCAGUAGAAUAACAACCAUUUGUCCUGGUUCAUAAGGUUAAUUUGUCCCGGUUGGGGAACCGAGACUAAAGGGUCUUUACUAAAGCCCUACACCUUUAGUCCUGGUUCUUACACCAACUGGGACAGAUGGGCCUCCAUGUGGCUGCUGCGGCGAGCCCAGGCCGGAGGUCCUUUGGUCCCGGUUAGUGGCACUGAUACGUCUCCAACGUAUCUAUAAUUUUUGAUUGCUCCAUGCUAUUAUGUUAUCUAUUUUGGAUGUUAAUGGCUUUAUUUUACACCUUUAUAUCAUUUUUGGGACUAACCUACUAAUCGGAGGCCCAACCCAAAUUGUUGUUUUCUACCUAUUUUAGGUUUUCGAAGAAAAGGAAUAUCAAACGGAGUCCAAACGGAAUGAAACCUUCGAGAACGUGAUUUUCUCAAUGAACAUGAUUCAGGAGAAUUGGAGUGUGCUCCAAGAAACAAGGGAGGAAGGCACGAGGCAGGGGGCGCGCCUACCCCCUUGGGCGCGCCCUCCACCCUCGUGGGCCCUCCGCUGCUCCACCGACGUACUUCUUCCUCCUAUAUAUAUCCACGUACCCCCAAACAUCCAGGAGCACCACGAAAACCUAAUUCCACCGCUGCAACCUUCUGUACCCGAGAGAUCCCAUCUUGGGGCCUUUUCCGGAGGUCCACCGGAGGGGGCAUCGAUCAUGGAGGGCCUCUACAUCAACUCCAUGGCCUCUCCGGUGAUGUGUGAGUAGUUUACUUCAGACCUAGGGGUCUAUAGUUAUUAGCUAGAUGGCUUCUUCUUCUCUCUUUGGAUCUCAAUACAAAGUUCUCCUCGAUUUUCUUGGAGAUCUAUUUGAUGUAACCUUCUUUUGCGGUGUGUUUGUCGAGAUCCGAUGAAUUGUGGGUUUGUGAUCCAGAUUAUCUAUGAACAAUAUUUGAUUCUCCUAUGAAUUCUAGUAUGUAUGAUUGGUUUAUCUUUGCAAGUCUCUUCGAAUUAUCAGUUUGGUUUGGCCUACUAGAUUGAUUUCUUGCAAUGGGAGAAGUGCUUAGCUUUGGGUUCAAUCUUGCAGUGUUUGAUCCCAGUGACAGAAAGGGAACCGAUACGUAUUGUAUUGUUGCCAUCGAGGAUAAAAAGAUGGGGUUUAUAUCAUAUCGCAUGAGUUUAUCCCUCUACAUCAUGUCAUCUUCCUUAAAGCAUUACUAUGUUCUCUUGAACUUAAUACUCUAGAUGCAUGCUGGAUAGCGGUCCAUGUGUCGAGUAAUAGUAGUAGAUGCAGAAUCGUUUCGGUCUACUUGUCUCGGACGUGAUGCCUAUAUACAUGAUCAUACCUAGAUAUUCUCAUAACUAUGUUCAAUUCUGUACAAUAUGGUGCACGGGGUUACAUCGGCCUGCAAAGACAUUUCUGCGAUGUGAGACAUCCGAAAAGCAACGAAAACGGGAGAUUAUACAUUUAUUGAAGAGGGCAGGUGUGACAGAUACCGUGAGGGCGUCGAGCUCAGCCAAAGACGAUGGACAGCUGAGCACGGCCUGUGUCAGAGCCGGUGCGGGAGCAGGUGCAGGUGCAGGUGCUGGUGCAACGCUAGUCGAGCUGCUCCUGAAGAAGUCAACAAUGGGAAAGUCCGCUGCAUUUUUUCUGCAUUUUGCGUGCUCCAAUUGAAAAUGGCUGGAACCAAGACAGUAGACAUAUCUGCAACCACCUGUUUUCCGGCAGCUACCGCUGUCGCGACUGUCUCAGAUGAUUUCUUCUCAACCGCAAUCUCAACCUUCUUGUCGAUGUUUUAUUCGGUUAACCUCCAUCUUUCCUUUCUCUCCUCCGUGGUCUCACGGUAGUACUUCUUCCACGUGGCCCCGUCUCCGACACCGUGAACGCGUCCAUACGACGACCGAGUCUCCACGGGGAGUCCUUUCAAUAUGUUCAAUGCCCGGUUGAAUGGAGUGUCCCACUUGGGCCUUGCCAAUGCCUCAGACGGCGAGUCGCUUUCGGCCGCAAUCUUAUGCUGCUCUCUCUACAAAAGGAACACGGAUCAUUUACAAAUAUGACUAAACGUGCAGUCGAACUGAUCAGAAACUAAAAUUACCAGCAGUCUCAUGAACUCCGUCGUGAUCGGGUCCGUCUUGAAAACCUUCUUGACUGAGUCCCAAUGGUGUCGUGCCCUGAGGACGUCAUGCUCCUACGGGACGGUGAAGUCCGCCAAGGGGUCUGGGAUGCCAGAUUUUCGCGUUUCGUGUCCUCCUUGGCCCAUAUGGACCUCUUCCUGCCGUAACCACUGCUUCCGAGGUGGUGGCGCCCCAUGUUCCUUUGUGGAAGCCCCUUCAUGUACUUCGACUUUGUUUUGGCAGCUUCGGCCUCGCAAGCCGCCUUGAAUAUUUCAAAGUGUUCUCUAGUGAUUGUCAGAUUAUCCUUUACAAUCUCGGAGUAGGGUUGAUACGUCUCCAACGUAUCUAUUAUUUUUGAUUGCUCCAUGCUAUAUUAUCUACUGUUUUGGACAUUAUUGGGCUUUAUUAUCUACUUUUAUAUUAUUUUUGGGACUAACCUAUUAACCGGAGGCCCAGCCUAGAAUUGUUGUUUUUUGACUGUUUUAGGGUUUCGAAGAAAAGGAAUAUCAAACGGAGUCCAAACGGAAUGAAACCUUCGGGAACGUGAUUUUCUGAAUGAACAAGACCCUGGAGACUUGGACCCUACGUCAAGACACAAAAGAGGAGGACACGAGGUAGGGGGCGCGCCUAACCCCCCCCCCCCCUCGAGGCACGCCCUCCACCCUCGUGGGGCCCCUGUUGCUCCACCGACGUACUCCUUCCUCCUAUAUAUACCUACGUACUUCCAAACGAUCAGAUACGGAGCCAAAACCCUAAUUCCACUGCCGCAACUUUCUGUAUCCACGAGAUCCCAUUUGGUGCCUGUUCCGGAGCUCCGCCGGAGGGGGCAUCGAUCACGGAGGGCUUCUACAUCAACACCAUAGCCUCUCCGAUGAAGUGUGAGUAGUUCACCUCAGACGUACCGGUCCAUAUUUAUUACCUAGAUGGCUUCUUCUCUCUUUUUGGAUCUCAAUACAAUGUUCUCCCCCUCUCUUGUGGAGAACUAUUCGAUGUAAUCUUGUUUUUGCAGUGUGUUUAUUGAGAUUGAUGAAUUGUGGGUUUAUGAUCAAGUCUAUGUAUGAAUAAUAUUUGAAUCUUCUCUAAAUUCUUUUAUGUAUGAUUGUUUAUCUUUGCAAGUCUCUUCGAAUUAUCAGUUUGGUUUGGCCUACUAGAUUGAUCUUUCUUACAAUGGGAGAAGUGCUUAGCUUUGGGUUCAAUCUUGCGGUGUCCUUUCCCAAUGACAGUAGGGGCAGCAAGGCAUGUAUUGUAUUGUUGCCAUCGAGGACAACAAGAUGGGGUUUUCAUCAUAUUGCAUGAGUCUAUCCCUCUACAUCAUGUCAUCUUGCUUAAGGCGUUACUCUGUUUUUAACUUAAUACUCUAGAUGCAUGCUGGAUAGCGGUCGAUGAGUGAAACCUAUGGCCCCCGGGUCUAUCUUUAUCAUAUUAAUCUCCUACUACUUAGUUAUUUCCUUUGCUUUUUCCUUUGCCUUUAUUUUACUUUUGAUCUUUAUCACAAAAAUACCAAACAUAUUAUCUUUAUCAUAUCUAUCAGAUCUCACUCUCGUAAGUGGCUGUGUAGGGAUUGACAACCCCUAUUCGCGUUGGUUGCGAGGAUUUAUUUGUUUUGUGCAAGUACGAGAGACUCGCGCGUAGCCUCCUACUGGAUUGAUACCUUGGUUCUCAAAAACUGAGGGAAAUACUUACACUACUUUGCUGCAUCAUCCUUCCUCUUCGCGGAAAACCAACGUAGUGCUCAAGAGCUGGCAAUAAGGAUUUCUGGCGCCGUUGCCGGGGAGGUCUAAGCAAAAGUCAACAUACCAAGUACCCAUCACAUACCCUUAUCUCCUGCAUUACAUUAUUUUCCAUUUGCCUCUCGUUUUCCUCUCCCCCACUUCACCCUUGCCGUUUUAUUCGCCCUCUCUCUCUCUCUCUAUCCUCCCUCUCUUUCUCUAUUUGCCUCUUUUUUCCCACUUGCUUUCUGUUUGCUUGUGUGUUAGUUGCUUGCUUGUCACGAUGGCUCAAGAUAAUACUAAAUUACGUGACUUCACCAAUACCAACAACAAUGAUUUUAUUAACACUCCGAUUGCUCCUCUUACCGAUGCUGAAUCUUGAGAAAUUAAUACUGCUUUGCUGAAUCUUGUCAUGAAAGAUCUGUUUUUCGGCCUUCCUAGUGAAGAUGCCGCUACCCACCUAAAUAGAUUCGUUGAUUUGUGUGACAUGCAAAAGAAGAAAGGUGUGGAUAAUGAUAUUGUUAAAUUGAAGCUAUUUCCUUUUUCGCUUAGAGAUCGUGCUAAAGCUUGGUUUUCGUCUUUGCCUAAAAAUACUAUUGAUUCAUGGAAUAAGUGCAAAGAUGCUUUUAUCUCUAAGUAUUUUCCUCCUGCUAAGAUCAUCUCUCUUAGAAACGAUAUUAUGAAUUUUAAGCAACUUGAUCAUGAACAUGUUGCACAAGCUUGGGAGAGAAUGAAACUAAUGAUACGUAAUUGCCCUGCCCAUGGUUUAAAUUUGUGGAUGAUUAUACCAAAUUUUUAUGCCGGAUUGAACUUUGCUUCUAGAAAUCUUUUAGAUUAGGCCGCGGGAGGCACUUUUAUGGAAAUCACUUUAGGAGAAGCUACUAAACUCCUAGAUAAUAUUAUGGUUAAUUAUUCUCAACGGCAUACCGAAAGAUCUACUAAUAAAAACGUGCAUGCGAUAGAAGAAAUUAAUGUUUCGAGUGGAAAGAUGGAUGAACUUCUGAAAUUAUUUGCUAAUAAGAGUAUUUCUUCUGAUCCUAAUGAUAUGCCCUUGUCUACUUUGAUUGAGAAUAAUAAUUAAUCUAUGGAUGUGGAUUUUGUUGGUAGGAACAAUUUUGGUAACAACGCGUACAGAGGAAAUUUCAACCCUAGGCCUUAUCCUAGUAAUCUCUCUAAUAAUUAUGGUAAUUCCUACAACAAUUCUUAUGGAAAUUAUAAUAAGAUGCCCUCUGAUUUUGGAUCUAAUAUUAGAGAAUUUAUUACUUUCCAAAAGAAUUUCAAUGCUUUGAUUGAAGAAAAAUUGCUUAAGAUUGAUGAUUUGGCUAGGAACGUUGAUAGAAUUACUCUUGAUGUUGAUUCUUUGAAACUUAGAUCUAUUCCACCUAAGCAUGAUGUCAAUGAGUCUCUCAAAGCCAUGAGAAUUUCCAUUGAUGAGUGCAAAGAAAGAACCACUAGGAUGCGUGUUAAGAAAGAUGCCUUUAUAAGAGCGUGUUCUUCUAAUUCCUAUGAAAAUAAUGAUGAAGAUCAAAAAGUUAUUGAUGUCCUCCCUAUUAAAUCUUUGUUUUGCAAUAUGAAUCUUGAUAAUCAUGGGACUGAAUAUGAUCCACCUUUACCUAGAAGGCGUUCCAAUAAUUCAGAAUUUGUUGAUCUUGAUGCUAAAAUUGAUAAAGGUGGGAUUGAAGAAAUUAAAACCCUAGAUGUUGCUAAACCCACUAUUAUGGAUUUCAAGGAACUUAACUAUGAAAACUGCCCUUUGAUUGAUUGUAUAUCCUUGUUACAAUCCGUGCUAAAUUCUCCUCAUGCUUAUAGUCAAAAUAAAGCAUUUACUAAACAUAUUGUUGAUGCCUUGAUGCAAUCUUAUGAAGAAAAACUUGAAUUGGAAGUUUCUAUCCCUAUAAAGCUUUAUGAUGAGUGGGAACCAACUAUUAAAAUUAAAAUUAAAUAUCAUGAAUGCUAUGCUUUAUGUGAUUUGUGUGCUAGUGUUUCCACGAUUCCAUAGACUUUGUGUGAUUUGUUAGGUUUCCGUGAUUUUGAUGAUUGCUCUUUAAACUUGCACCUUGCGGAUUCCACUAUUAAGAAACCUAUGGGAAGAAUUAAUGAUGUUCUUAUUGUUGCAAAUAGCAAUUAUGUGCCCGUAGAUUUUAUUGUUCUUGACAUAGAUUGCAAUCUUUCAUGUCCUAUUAUUCUUGGUAGACCUUUCCUUAGAACGACUGGUGCAAUUAUUGAUAUGAAGGAAGGAAAUAUUAGAUUCCAAUUUCCAUUAAGGAAAGGCAUGGAACACUUUCCUAGAAAGUAAAUUAAAUUACCUUAUGAAUCUAUUAUGAUAGCCACUUAUGGAUUGCCUACCAAAGAUGGCAAUACCUAGAUCUAUCCUUGCUUGUUAUGCCUAGCUAGGGGCGUUAAACGAUAGCGCUUGUUGGGAGGCAACCCAAUUUUAUUUUUAUUCCUUGAUUUUUUCUCCUGUUUAGUAAUAAAUAAUUUAUAUAGCCUCUGUUUUGGUUCUGUUCUUUGUGUUUAAUUAGUGUUUGUGCCAAGUAGAACCGUUAGGAAGACUUGGGGAAAGUCUUGUUACACUUGCUGUAAAAAACUGAAACUUCAGCGCUCACGAGAACUGCUGCCAUUUUUAUUUGGAAAGUGCUAUGUAGUUAAUUAUUUUUCAGAUGAUUAACAGAUAAAUUCCUCACGUCCAGAAAUUUAUUUUAGAAUUUUUGGGGUUCCAGCUCUUGAGCUAGCUACAGAGUACUACAGGCUGUUCUGUUUUUGAAAGAUUCUGUUUUUCGUGUGUUGUUUGCUUAUUUUGAUGAACCUAUGGCUAGUAAAAUAGUUUAUAUACCAUAGAGAAAUUGGAAUACAGUAGGUAUAACACCAAUAUAAAUAAAUAAUGAGUUCAUUACAGUACCUUGAAGUGGUCUUUUAUUUUCUUUCGCUAACGGAGCUCAUGAGAUUUUCUACUUUAAGUUUUGUGUUGUGAAGUUUUCAAGUUUUGGGUAAAGAUUUGAUGGAUUAUGGAACAAGGAGUGACAAGAGCCUAAGCUUGGGGGUUCCCAUGGCACCCCCAAGAUAAUCUAAGUACACCUAAAAACCAAAGCUUGGGGAUGCGCCGGAAGUCAUCCCCUCUUUCAUCUACUUCUAUCGGUAACUUUACUUGGAGCUAUAUUUUUAUUCGCCACAUGAUAUGUGUUUUGCUUGGAGCGUCUUGUAUUAUUUGAGUCUUUAUUUGUUAGUUUACCACAAUCAUCCUUGCUGUACACACCUUUUGAGAGAGCCAUACAUGAUUUGGAAUUUGUUAGAAUACUCUAUGUGCUUCGCUUAUAUCUUUUGAGUUAUAUAGUUUUGCUCUAGUACUUCACUUAUAUCUUUUAGAGCACGGUGGUGGAUUUGUUUUAUAGAAACAAUUGAUCUCUCAUGCUCCACUUAGAUUAUUUUGAGAUUCUUAAUAGCAUGUUAAUUUGCUUAAAAUCCUAAUAUGCUAGGUAUUCAAAGUUAGUAAAAUUUUCUUAAGAGUGUUUUGAAUACUAAGAGAAGUUUGAUGCUUGAUGAUUGUUUUGAGAUAUGGAGGUAAUAAUAUCAAAGUCGUUCUCGUUGACUAGUUGUGAAAUUGAGAAAUACUUGUGUUGAAGUUUGCAUGUCCCGUAGCACGCACGUAUGGUAAACGUUGUGUAACAAAUUUGAAACAUGAGGUGUUAUUUGAUUGUCUUCCUUGUGAGUGGCGGUCGGGGACGAGCGAUGGUCUUUUCCUACCAAUCGAUCCCCCUAGGAGCAUGCGAAUAGUACCAAGGUUUUUGAUGACUUGUAGAUUUUUGCAGUAAGUAUGUGAGUUCUUUAUGACUAAUGUUGAGUCCAUGAAUUAUACGCACUCUCACCCUUCCAUCCUUGCUAGCCUCUUCGGUACCGUGCAUUGCCCUUUCCCACAUUGAGAGUUGGAGCAAACUUCGCCAGUGCAUCCAAACCCCGUGCUAUGAUACGCUCAUUCACACAUAAACCUCCUUAUAUCUUCCUCAAAACAGCCACCAUACCUACCUAUUAUGGCAUUUCCAUAGCCAUUCCGACAUAUAUUGCCAUGCAACUUUCCACCAUUCCGUUCAUCAUGACACAUUCAUCAUUGUCAUAUUGCGUAGCAUAAUCAUGUAGUUGACAUAGUAUUUGUGGCAAGGCCACCGUUCAUAAUUCAUUCAUACAUGUCACUCUUGGUCCAUUGCAUGUCCCGGUACACCGCCGGAGGCAUUCAUAUAGAGCCAUACUUUGUUCUAGUAUCGAGUAGUAAUUAUUGAGUCGUAAAUAAAUAGAAGUGUGAUGAUCAUCAUUAAUAGAGCAUGGUCCCAAAAAGAAAAAAAAGGAAGGGCCAAAAAAAGGCCAAAUAAAAAAAUAUAAAAAAGGGGGCAAUGCUACUAUCCUUUUUUUCCAAACUUGUGCUUCCAAGUAGCACCGUAAUCUUCAAGAUAGAGAGUCUCUUGAUUUGUCACUUUCAUAUACUAGUGGGAAUUUUUCAUUAUAGAACUUGGCUUGUAUAUUCCAACAAUGGGCGUCCCCAAGUUCCCUAGGUCUUCGUGAGCAAGCAAGUUGGAUGCACACCCACUUAGUUUCUUUUGUUGAGCUUUCAUACAUUUAUAGCUCUAGUGCAUCCGUUGCAUGGCAAUUCCUACUCCUUGCAUUAACAUCAAUCAAUGGGCAUCUCCAUAGCCCAUUGAUUAGCCUCGUUGAUGUGAGACUUUCUCCUUUUUGUCUUCUCCACAUAACCCCACUCAUUAGAUUCUAUUCCACCCAUAGUGUUAUGUCCAUGGCUUGCAAUCAUAUAUUGCGUGAAAGUUUAUAGGUUUGAGAUCACUAAAGUAUGAAACAAUUGCUUGGCUUGUCAUCGGGGUUGUGCAUGAUGAGAGCAUACUUGUGUGACGAAAAUGAAGCAUGACUAAACUAUAUGAUUUUGUAGGGGUGAACUUUCUUUGGCCAUGUUAUUUUGAGAAGACACAAUUGCUCAGUUAGUAUGCUUAAAGUAUUAUUAUUUUAUGUCAAUAUGAACUUUUGUCUUGAAUGUUUCAGAUCCGAAUAUUCAUACCACAAUUAAGAAGAAUUACAUUAAAAUCAUGCCAAGUAGCACUCCACAUCAAAAAUUCUGUUUUUAUCAUUUACCUACUCGAGGACGAGCCGGAAUUAAGCUUGGGGAUGCUUGAUACAUCUCCAACGUAUCUAUAAUUUUUGAUUGCUCCAUGCUAUAUUAUCUACUGUUUUGGACAAUAUUGGGCUUUAUUAUCCACUUGUAUAUUAUUUUUGGGACUAACCUAUUAACCGGAGGCCCAGCCCAGAAUUGUUGUUUUUUGCCUGUUUUAGGGUUUCGAAGAAAAGGAAUAUCAAACGGAGUCCAAACGGAAUGAAACCUUCGGGAACGUGAUUUUCUCAACGAACAAGAUCUAGGAGACUUGGACCCUCCAUCAAGACAUAAAAGAGGAGGCCACGAGGUAGGGGGCGUNNNNNNNNNNNNNNNNNNNNNNNNNNNNNNNNNNNNNNNNNNNNNNNNNNNNNNNNNNNNNNNNNNNNNNNNNNNNNNNNNNNNNNNNNNNNNNNNNNNNNNNNNNNNNNNNNNNNNNNNNNNNNNNNNNNNNNNNNNNNNNNNNNNNNNNNNNNNNNNNNNNNNNNNNNNNNNNNNNNNNNNNNNNNNNNNNNNNNNNNNNNNNNNNNNNNNNNNNNNNNNNNNNNNNNNNNNNNNNNNNNNNNNNNNNNNNNNNNNNNNNNNNNNNNNNNNNNNNNNNNNNNNNNNNNNNNNNNNNNNNNNNNNNNNNNNNNNNNNNNNNNNNNNUGGGCCCCCCUGUUGCUCCACCGACGUACUCCUUCCUCCUAUAUAUACCUACUAUUGGGGAACGUAGCAGAAUUUUAAAAUUUUCUACGCAUACCAAGAUCAAUCUAUGGAGUCAUAUAGCAACGAGGGAGAGAGGAGUGCAUCUACAUACCCUUGUAGAUCGCGCGCGGAAGCGUUCAAGAGAACGGGGUUGAUGGAGUCGUACUCGUCGUGAUCCAAAUCACCGAUGACCAAGUGCCGAAUGGACAGCACCUCCGCGUACAACACACGUACGGUUGGGAAGACGUCUCCUCCUUCUUGAUCCAGCAAGGGGGAAGGAGAGGUUGAUGAAGAUCCAGCAGCACGACGGCGUGGUGGUGGAUGCAGCAGGAUCCCGGCAGGGCUUCGCCAAGCGCAAGCGGGGAGGAGAGGUGUUACGGAAGGAGAGGGAGGCGCCAAGAGCAAGGGUGCGGCUGCCCUCCCUCCCCCCCCUCUUUAUAUAGGGGCCUUGGGGGGGCGCCGGCCCUAGGAGAUGGAUCUCCAAGGGGGGCGAAGGCCAAGGGGUGGCUUCCCCCCCAAGCCAAGUGGGGGGCGCCCCCACCCCUAGGGUUUCCCAACCCUAGGCGCAUGGGAGGCCCAAGGGGGGCGCACCAGCCCACUAGGGGCUGGUUCUGCUCCCAAUUCAGCCCAUGGGGCCCUCCGGGAUGGGUGGCCCCACCCGGUGGACCCCCGGGACCCUUCCGGUGGUCCUGGUACAAUACCGGUGACCCCCGAAACCUUCCCGAUGGCCGAAAUUGUACUUCCUAUAUAUAAAUCUUUACCUCCGAACCAUUCCGGAACUCCUCGUGACGUACGGGAUCUCAUCCGGUACUCCGAACAUAUCCUUGGUUACUACAUACUAAUAUCUCUACAACCCUAGCGUCACCGAACCUUAAGUGUGUAGACCCUACGGGUUCGGGAGACAUGCAGACAUGACAGAGACGCCUCUCCGGUCAAUAACCAACAGCGGGAUCUGGAUACCCAUGUUGGCUCCCACGUGCUCCACGAUGAUCUCAUCGGAUGAACCACGAUGUCGAGGAUUCAAUCAAUCUGUGUAGAAUUCCCUUUGUCAAUCGGUACGUUACUUGCCCGAGACUCGAUCGUCGGUAUCCCAAUACCUCGUUCAAUCUCGUUACCAGCAAGUCACUUUACUCGUGCCGUAAUGCAUGAUCCCAUGAUCAACCACUUGGUCACAAUGAGCUCAUUAUGAUCAUGCAUUACCGAGUGGGCCCAGAGAUACCUCUCCGUCAUACGGAGUGACAAAUCCCAGUCUCGAUUCGUGCCAACCCAACAGACACUUUCGGAGAUACCUGUAAUGUACCUUUAUAGUCACCCAGUUACGUUGUGACGUUUGGCACACCCAAGGCACUCCUACGGUAUCCGGGAGUUGCCCAAUCUCAUGGUCUAAGGAAAUGAUACUUGACAUUCGGAAAAGCUACAGCAAACGAACUACACGAUCUUUGAGCUAUGCUUAGGAUUGGGUCUUGUCCAUCACAUCAUUCUCCUAAUGAUGUGAACCCGUUAUCAAUGACAUCCAAUGUCCAUAGUCAGGAAACCAUGACUAUCUUUUGAUCAACGAGCUAGUCAACUAGAGGCUCACUAGGGACGUGUUGUCGUCUAUGUAUUCACACAUGUAUUACGAUUUCCGGAUAACACAAUUAUAGCAUGAAAAAUAGACAAUUAUCAUGAACAAAGAAAUAUAAUAAUAACCAUUUUAUUAUUGCCUCUAGGGCAUAUUUCCAACAGUCUCCCACUUGCACUAGCGUCAGUAGUCUAGUUACAUUUUGAUGAAUCCAACACCCAUGAAGUUCUGGAGUUGAUCAUGUUUUGCUCUAGGGAGAGGUUUAGUCAAUGGAUCUGCCACAUUCAGGUCCGUAUGUACUUUACAAAUCUCUAUGUAUCCAUUUUGAACACUUUCAUGAAUGGAGUUGAAGUGACGCUUGAUAUGCCUGGUCUUCCUGUGAAAUCUGGGCUCCUUGGCAAGUGCAAUAGCUCCAGUGUUGUCACAGAAUAGAGUCAUCGGGCCCGGUGCAUUGGGUGUGACUCCUAGGUCGGUAAUGAACUCCUUCACCCAGAUUGCUUCUUGUGCUGCCUCCGAGGCUGCCAUGUACUCUGCUUCACAUGUAGAUCCCGCCACAACGCUUUGCUUGCAACUCCACCAGCUUACUGCCCCACCAUUCAAAAUAUACACGUAUCCGGUUUCCGACUUAGAGUCAUCCAGAUCUGUGUCGAAGCUAGCAUCAACGUAACCCUUUACGACGAGCUCUUCGUCACCUCCAUAAACGAGAAACAUAUCCUUAGUCCUUUUUAGGUACUUGAGGAUAUUCUUGACUGCUGUCUAGUGUUCCAUGCCGGGAUUACUUUGGUACCUUCCUACCAAACUUACGGCAAGGUUUUCAUCAGGUCUGGUACACAGCAUAGCAUACAUGAUAGACCCUAUGGCCGAGGCAUAGGGGAUGACACUCAUCUUUUCUCUAUCUUCUGUCGUGGUCGUGCAUUGAGCCUCGCUCAAUCUCGUACCUUGCAAUACAGGCAAGAACCCUUCUUUUACUGAUCCAUUUUGAACUUCUUCAAUAUCUUAUCAAGGUAUGUACUCUGUGAAAGACCAAUGAGGCGUCUCGAUCUAUCUCUAUAGAUCUUGAUGCCUAAUAUAUAAGCAGCUUCUCCAAGAUCCUUCAUUGAAAAACACGUGUUCAAGUAGGCCUUUAUGCUUUCCAAGAAUUCUAUAUCAUUUCCCAUCAACAAUAUGUCAUCCACAUCCAAUAUGAGAAAUGCUACAAAGCUCCCACUCACUUUCUUGUAAAUGCAGACUUCUCCAUAAGUAUGCGUAAACCCAAACGCUUUGAUCAUCUCAUCAAAACGAAUGUUCCAUCUCCGAGAUGCUUGCACCAGCCCAUAAAUCGAAUGUUGGAGCUUGUACACCUUGUCAGCAUUCUUAGGAUCGACAAAACCUUCCGGCUGCAUCAUAUACAAUUCUUCCUUAAGGAAACCAUUAAGGAAUGUUGUUUUGACGUCCAUUUGCCAUAUUCAUAAUCAUAGAAUGCGGCAAUUGCUAACAUCGUAGUCAACCCCUUGAACUUGCCGAUAACCCUUAGCGACAAGCCGAGCUUUAUAGAUGGUCACAUUACCAUCCGCGUCUGUCUUCUUCUUAAAGAUCCAUUUAUUUUCUAUGGCUCGCCGAUCAUCGGGCAAGUCAGUCAAAGUCCAUACUUUGUUUUCAUACAUGGAUCUUAUCUCGGAUUUCAUGGCUUCCAGCCAUUUGUUGGAAUUCAGGCCCGCCAUCGCUUCUUCAUAGUUCGAAGUUCACCGUUGUCUAACAACAUGAUUUCCAAGACAGGGUUGCCGUACCACUCUGGUGCGGGACGUGUCCCCGUGGACCUACGAAGUUCAGUAGCAACUUGAUCUGAAGUUUCAUGAUCAUCAUCAUCAAUUUCCUCUCUAGUCGUUGCAGGCACCUUAGGAACAUUUUCUUGAGCUGCGCCACUUACCGGUUCAAGAGGUAAUAAUACUUCAUCAAGUUCUACUUUCCUCCCACUUAUUUCUUUCGAGAGAAACUCUUUCUCUAGAAAGGACCCAUUCUUGGCAACAAAGAUCUUGCCUUCGGAUCUGAGGUAGAAGGUAUACCCAAUAGUUUCUUUAGGGUAUCCUAUGAAGACGCAUUUUUCCAAUUUGGGUUCGAGCUUUUCAGGUUGAAGUUUCCUUACAUAAGCAUCGCAUCCCCAAACUUUUAGAAAUGACAUCUUAGGUGUCUUCCCAAACCAUAAUUCAUACGGUGUCAUCUCAACGGAUUUCGACGGAGCCCUAUUUAAAGUGAAUGCGGCAGUCUCUAAAGCAUAGCCCCAAAAUGACAGCGGUAAAUCGGUAAGAGACAUCAUAGAUCGCACCAUAUCUAAUAGAGUGCGAUUAUGACAUUCCGACACACCAUUACGCUGAGGUGUUCCAGGCGGCGUGAGUUGUGAAACUAUUCCACAUUUUCUUAAGUGUGUGCCAAAUUCGUGACUCAAGUAUUCUCCCCCACGAUCUGAUCGCAAGAACUUGAUUUGCCUGUCACGUUGAUUCUCAACCUCACUUUGAAAUUCCUUGAACUUUUCAAAGGUCUCAGACUUGUGUUUCAUUAAGUAGACAUACCCAUAUCUACUCAAGUCAUCAGUGAGGGUGAGAACAUAACGAUAGCCACCGCGCCUCAACACUCAUUGGACCGCACACAUCAGUAUGUAUGAUUUCCAAUAAGUUGGUUACUCGCUCCAUUGUUCCUGAGAACGGAGUCUUGGUCAUUUUACCCAUGAGGCAUGGUUCGCACGUGUCAAAUGAUUCGUAAUCAAGAGACUUUAAAAGUCUAUCUGCAUGGAGCUUCUUCAUGCGUUUGACACCUAUGUGACCAAGGCGGCAAUGCCACAAGUAUGUGGGACUAUCAUUAUCAACCUUACAUCUUUUGGUAUUCACACUAUGAAUAUGUGUAACAUUAUGCUCGAGAUUCAUUAAGAAUAAACCAUUCACCAAUGGAGCAUGACCAUAAAACAUAUCUCUCAUAUAAAUAGAACAACCAUUAUUCUCGGAUUUAAAUGAGUAGCCAUCUCAAAUUAACCGAGAUCCUGAUACAAUGUUCAUGCUCAAAGCUGGCAGUAAAUAACAAUUAUUGAGGUUUAAAACUAAUCCCAUAGGCAAAUGUAGAGGCAGCGUGCCGACGGCGAUCACAUCAACCUUGGAACCAUUCCCGACGCACAUCGUCACCUCGUCCUUCGCCAGUCUCCGUUUAAUCCGCAGCUCCUGCUUUGAGUUACAAAUGUGAGCAACUGCACCGGUAUCAAAUACCCAGGAGCUACUACGAGUACUGGUAAGGUACACAUCAAUUACAGGUAUAUCACAUAUACCUUUAGUGUUGCCGGCCUUCUUGUCCGCUAAGUAUUUGGGGCAGUUCCGCUUCCAGUGACUACUUCCCUUGCAAUAAAAACACUCAGUCUCGAGCUUGGAUCCAUUCUUUGGCUUCUUCCCGGAAACUUGCUUAGCGGGCGCGGCAACUCCCUUGCCGUCCUUCUUGAAUUCUUCUUACCCUUGCCUUUCUUGAACUUAGUGGUUUUAUUCACCAUCAACACUUGAUGUUCCUUUUUGAUUUCCACCUCUGCUGAUUUCAGCAUUGAAUAUACCUCAGGAAUGGUCUUUUCCAUCCCCUGCAUAUUGAAGUUGAUCACAAAGCUCUUGUAGCUCGGUGGAAGCGACUGAAGGAUUCUGUCAAUGACCGCGUCAUUCGGGAGGUUAACUCCCAGCUGAGUCAAGCGGUUAUGCAACCCAGACAUUUUGAUUAUGUGCUCACUGACAGAACUAUUUUCCUCCAUCUUAUAGCUGAAGAACUUGUCGGAGACUUCAUAUCUCUCGACCCGGGCAUGAGCUUGAAAAACCAUUUUCAGCUCUUCGAACAUCUCAUAUGCUCCAUGUCUCUCAAAAUGCUUUUGGAGCCCCGGUUCUAAGCUGUAAAGCAUGCCGCACUGAACGAGGGAGUAAUCAUCAGCACGUAACUGCCAAGCGUUGAUAAUGUCUUGGUUCUCUGGGACAGGUGCGUGACCUAACGGUGCUUCUAGGACAUAAUAUUUCUUGGCAGCUACGAGGAUGAUCCUCAGGUUCCGGACCCAGUCCGUAUAGUUGCUGCCAUCGUCUUUCAGCUUGGUUUUCUCUAGGAACGCGUUGAAAUUGAGGACAACGUGGGCCAUUUGAUCUACAAGACAUAUUGUAAAGAUUUUAGACUAAGUUCAUGAUAAUUAAGUUCAUCUAAUCAAAUUAUACAAUGAACUCCCACUCAGAUAGACAUCCCUCCAGUCAUCUAAGUGAAACAUGAUCCAAGUUAACUAGGCUGUGUCGGAUCAUCACGUGAAACGGACUAGUCAACAUCGGUGAACAUCUUCAUGUUGAUCGUAUCUUCUAUACGACUCAUGCUCGACCUUUCGGUCUUCUGUGUUCCGAGGCCAUGUCUGUACAUGCUAGGCUCGUCAACUAAACCUAAGUGUAUUGCGUGUGUAAAUCUGGCUUACACCCGUUGUAUUCGAACGUUAGAAUCUAUCACACUCGAUCAUCACGUGGUGCUUCGAAACAACGAACCUUCGCAACGGUGCACAGUUAGGGGGAACACUUUCUUGAAAUUAUUUCGAGGGAUCAUCUUAUUUAAGCUACCGUCGUUCUAAGCAAAUAAGAUGUAAAACAUGAUAAACAUCACAUGCAAUCAAAUAGUGACAUGAUAUGGCCAAUAUCAUUUGCUCCUUUUGAUCUCCAUCUUUGGGGCUCCAUGAUCAUCGUUGUCACCAGCAUGACACCAUGAUCUCCAUCAUCAUGUCUUCUUGAAGUUGUCUCGUCAUCUAUUACUUCUACUACUAUGGCUAAUGCUUUAGCAAUAAAGUAAAGUAAUUACAUGACGUUUAUGUUGACACGCAGGUCAUAAAAAAAUAAAGACAACUCCUAUGGCUCCUGCCGGUUGUCAUACUCAUCGACAUGCAAGUCGUGAUUCCUAUUACAAGAACAUGAUCAAUCUCAUACAUCACAUAUAUCAUUCAUCACAUCCUUUUGGCCAUAUCACAUCAGACGGCACAUGCUGCAAAAACAAGUUAGACGUCCUCUAAUUGUUGUUGCAAGUUUUUACAUGGCUGCUAUAGGUUUCUAGCAAGAACGUGUCUUACCUACGCCAAAACCACAACGUGAUAUGCCAAUUUCUAUUUACCCUUCAUAAGGACCCUUUUCAUCGAAUCCGAUCUAACUAAAGUGGGAGAGAUAGACACCCGCCAGCCACCUUAUGCAAGUAAUGCAUGUCAAUCGGUGGAACCAGUCUCACGUAAGCGUACGUGUAAGGUCGGUCCGGGCCGCUUCAUCCCACGAUGCCGCCGAAUCAAGAUAAGACUAGUAACGGCAAGCAAAGUGACAAUAUCCACGCCCACAACUGCUUUGUGUUCUACUCGUGCAUAGAAACUACGCAUAGACCUGGCUCAUGAUGCCACUAUUGGGGAAUGUAGCAGAAUUUUAAAAUUUUCUACGCAUCACCAAGAUCAAUCUAUGGAGUUAUCUAGCAAUGAGGAAGAGAGGAGUGCAUCUACAUACCCUUGUAGAUCGCGCGCGGAAGCGUUCAAGAGAACGGGGUUGAUGGAGUCGUACUCGUCGUGAUCCAAAUCACCGAUGACCAAGUGCCGAACGGACAGCACCUCCGCGUUCAACACACGUCCGGUUGGGAAGACGUCUCCUCCUUCUUGAUCCAGCAAGGGGGAAGGAGAGGUUGAUGAAGAUCCAGCAGCACGACGGCGUGGUGGUGGAUGCAACAGGAUCCCGGCAGGGCUUCGCCAAGCGCAAGCGGGGAGGAGAGGUGUUACGGAGGGAGAGAGAGGCGCCAAGAGCAAGGGUGCGGCUGCCUUCCCUCCCCCCUCUUUAUAUAGGGGCCAUGGCGGGCGCCGGCCCUAGGAGAUGGAUCUCCAAGGGGGGCGAAGGCCAAGGGGUGGCUCCCCCCCCCAAGCCAAGUGGGGGGCGCCCCCACCCCUAGGGUUUCCCAACCCUAGGCGCAGGGGAGGCCCAAGGGGGCGCACCAGCCCACUAGGGGCUGGUUCCCCUCCCAAUUCAGCCCAUGGGGCCCUCCGGGAUGGGUGGCCCCACCCGGUGGACCCCCGGGACCCUUCCGGUGGUCCCGAUACAAUACCGGUUACCCCCGAAACCUUCCCGAUGGCCGAAACUGUACUUCCUAUAUAUAAAUCUUUACCUCCAAACCAUUUCAGAACUCCUCGUGACGCCCGGGAUCUCAUCCGGGACUCCGAACAACUUUCGGCUUACUACAUACUAAUAUCUAUACAACCCUAGCGUCACCGAACCUUAAGUGUGUAGACCCUACGGGUUUCGGAGACAUGCAGACAUGACUGAGACGCCUCUCCAGUCAAUAACCAACAGCGGGAUCUGGAUACCCAUGUUGGCUCCCACAUGCUCCACGAUGAUCUCAUCGGAUGAACCACGAUGUCGAGCAUUCAAUCAAUCUGUAUACAAUUCCCUUUAUCAAUCAGUACGUUACUUGCCCGAGACUCGAUCGUCAGUAUCCCAAUACCUUGUUCAAUCUCGUUACCGGCAAGUCACUUUACUCAUACCAUAAUGCAUGAUCCCGUGAUCAACCACUUGGUCACAUUGAGCUCAUUAUGAUGAUGCAUUACCGAGUGGGCCCAGAGAUACCUCUUCAUCACGCGGAGUGACAAAUCCCAGUCUCGAUUCAUGCCAACCCAAUAGACACUUUCGGAGAUACCUGUAAUGUACCUUUAUAGUCACCCAGUUACGUUGUGACGUUUGGCACACCCAAGGCACUCCUACGGUAUCCGGGAGUUUCACAAUCUCAUGGUCUAAGGAAAUGAUACUUGACAUUCGGAAAAGCUACAGCAGAUGAACUACACGACCUUUGAGCUAUGCUUAGGAUUGGGUCUUGUCCAUCACAUCAUUCUCCUAAUGAUGUGAUCCCAUUAUCAAUGACAUCCAAUGUCCAUAGUCAGGAAACCAUGACUAUCUUUUGAUCAACAAGCUAGUCAACUAGAGGCUCACUAGGGACGUGUUGUGGUCUAUGUAUUCACACAUGUAUUACGAUUUCCGGAUAACACAAUUAUAGCAUGAACAAUAGACAAUUAUCAUGAACAAAGAAAUAUAAUAAUAACCAUUUUAUUAUUGCCUCUAGGGCAUAUUUCCAACACCUACGUACCCCCAAACGAUCAUAUACGGAGCCAAAACCCUAAUUCCACCGCCGCAACUUUCUGUAUCCACGAGAUCCCAUCUUGGGGCCUGUUCCGGAGCUCCGCCAGAGGGGGCAUCGAUCACGGAGGGCUUCUACAUCAACACCAUAGCCUCUCUGAUGAAGUGUGAGUAGUUCACCUCAGACCUACGGUUCCAUAGUUAUUAGCUAGAUGGCUUCUUCUCUCUUUUUGGAUCUCAAUACAAUGUUCUCCCCAUCUCUUGUGGAGAACUAUUCGAUGUAAUCUUCUUUUUGCGGUGUGUUUGUUGAGACCGAUGAAUUGUGGGUUUAUGAUCAAGUCUAUCUAUGAAUAAUAUUUGAAUCUUCUCUGAAUUGUUUUAUGUAUGAUAGGUUAUCUUUGCAAGUCUCUUCGAAUUAUCAGUUUGGUUUGGCCUACUAGAUUGAUCUUUCUUGCAAUGGGAGAAGUGCUUAGCUUUGGGUUCAAUCUUGCGGUGUCCUUUCCCAGUGACAGUAGGGGCAGCAAGGCACGUAUUAUAUUGUUGCCAUCGAGGACAACAAGAUGGAGUUUUCAUCAUAUUGCAUGAGUCUAUCCCUCUACAUCAUGUCAUCUUGCUUAAGGCGUUAAUCUGUUUUUAACUUAAUACUCUAGAUGCUUGCUGGAUAGCGAUCGAUUAGUGGAGUAAUAGUAGUAGAUGCAGGCAGGAGUCGGUCUACUUGUCUCGGACGUGAUGCCUAUAUACAUGAUCAUACCUAGAUAUUCUCAUAACUAUGCUCAAUUCUGUCAAUUGCUCAACAAUAAUUUGUUCACCCACCGUAGAAUAUUUAUGCUCUCGAGAGAAGCCACUAGUGAAACCUAUGGCCCCGGGUCUAUCUUUAUCAUAUUAAUCUCCUACUACUUAGUUAUUUCCUUUGCUUUUUACUUUGCCUUUAUUUUACUUUGCAUCUUUAUCACAAAAAUACGAAAAAAAUUAUCUUUAUCAUAUCUAUCAAAUCUCACUCUCGUAAGUGGCCGUGUAGGAAUUGACAACCCCUAUUCGCGUUGGUUGCGAGGAUUUAUUUGUUUUGUGCAGGUACGAGGGACUCGCGCGUAGCCUCCUACUGGAUUGAUACCUUGGUUCUCAAAACCUGAGGGAAAUACUUACGCUACUUUGCUGCAUCAUCCCUUCCUCUUCGGGGAAAACCAAGGCAGUGCUCAAGAGGUAGCAAGGGUUCCUUUUUGUCGACGAUCCGAUGUUUCAACCCUGUUUUCCAGGUGGCCAACGCGUCGCUAAACUUGGUGACGGCGUGUUUGUUUAUCUUCUUCAUUGCCAGGUCCUUAUCUGGAUCUUUAUUAUCCUUUUCACUGCGGUCUGGGAACAAGAUUAUCUGGUGCAGUUUCUUAAGGAGGGAGGGCCUCAUAUUAUCUAUCUUCUGUAGUUUCCCAUCGUUGAUCGUGGCAGUUGUCCGUACGAUGCAACCUAUUUGAUUGCCGUAGCACGAUCGCGCUUCCUCGGGCGCUAUUGUCUCAAAAAUACCGCCGUCCAUCUCCGUGACCGCCAGUCUACUACUCAUGAGCUGGUUUGGGCGCUGUGGCCUCUUUGCUUUCGGUUCUAGACCAGCUCCGCUAGUCUCGGCGCCUGUCUCAGUUUCAUCAUCGGUCCGCAUGUCGGUAUCAGUCCCCGAUGCGACACCACAGUUGCUGCAACAUGGGUAAGGGAGACCACGUCAGUGGUGGGGGGUCUGAAAAUCAGAACACACUUUCGCGCGUCGCGGGCCGCCUCUCAGACAGCUACUGGGGAGGCGGUGGAGUACCUGGGUGCGCGGCGAAUCCCCGGGAACUCGGUGACCAACUUCCUUCCCGUGUGGCGCAUGGAGACGACGGCGACCCCGGCGAAGAGCAGCUUAGCCGCGAGCUGCACAGCCUCGUCCACCUCCUAAGUUGGGACCUCCGCGCGAGCGUUGCGGGGCCGCCACUCGGAUGGCUUCUGGAAGGCGGUUGUACAUGGGCACAUGGUGAAUCCCGGCGAGAGCUGGCCAUUGGCGCGCGCAAGUAGACGACGAUGUCCUCGAAGAAGAGCAGCCCGGCCAGCUCGCCUCACUAUCCUUUGAUUAGAAAUGAAAGAUUGGGAAGAAGCAGACUUGAGCCUGCAGGGAAAGGAUAAGGUGACGAUGCAGUCUCCACUCGUUCGGGGCGACACUCGUACUGAAUGUAUGAGAAACGUGACGUGGCAGAGACCCCAAGAUACUCCCUCCAUUUAUUUUUAGUCUGCAUAUAAAGUUUGGUCAAAGUCAAGAUUUGUAAAUUUUAACUAACUUUAUAAUAAAAAAAUAUCAACAUUCACAAUAUGAAAUCAAUAUUACCAGAUGCGUCAUGAAAUGUAUUUCCAUACUAUAUAGUUUUGGUAUUGUAGAUGUUCAUAUUUUUUUAUAUAUAUGGGAAGUAGAGGCACUCUUCUAUAUAAUGAAGUUUAUAAUAUAUGUGCUUAUAUUGUACUAUAAUUGUUUGAAUAACUUAGCAUAUAUUCAGAUGUAUGAUAUCUGUAAUUUAAACGCUUGAAUUUUACAUAUGAAUAUUUAUUAAUAAAUAUGUACCCCUAUAAUAGCUAGGCCGUGCAGUUGCACGGGUAGAUGACUAGUGAUUACAAUCUUGCUUGUGUGCAAGUCAAGCUUAUCUAGUUUACACGUAACAACUUAUAGAACAUUACAAAAUUUAUGCUUGCUAAUAACUUCUAGAACACUACAACACUUGACAUGUAAAAGGAAUUUGAUGAGUCAUGGCCUACUAAAGCAAGUUACAUUACUAGUCUUAUCUAUCUUAACAGACCACACAAGAUUACAAACUAUGUACCGUGACAGCCAUGCUUAUCUAGUUUAUGCGUAACAAUUUGCAGAAAAUUACAAACUUAGUUUCAGAAAGAUAGGCAAUCUAGAUUAGUGUUUGAGCUGUAAAGUGAAUAAGAUGAGUCAUGCAUGUCAUCACACCUUUUUGGUGGUGGAAUGAUAGUGCAACAACAAGGAACUUUAAUGACCAGUCCAAGAAUACACUUGUAAGUAGUGCCACCAAACAGAACAUACCAAAUGAUGAUUUUGAGAAGCAUCCAAGCACUUUCCACACAAACAAAUGCCAAUUGUGAAAGAGAUCAUUCCAUGGCAGCUAUAAAUAGCCCCAUAGCAUGACGAUCAUCCUUCCUCAUCCAUCAUUCUCAUAAGUAGAGCACAUCAUUUAAGCCAAGCAAGUUGUGGUCAAUACAAAUCCACCAUGAAGACCUUUCUCAUCCUUGCCCUCCUUGCUAUCGUGGCGACCACCGCCACAACUGCAGUUAGAGUUCCAGUGCCACAAUUGCAGCCACAAAAUCCAUCUCAGCAACAGCCACAGGAGCAAGUUCCAGUGGUACAACAACAACAAUUUCUAGGGCAGCAACAACCAUUUCCACCACAACAACCAUAUCCACAGCCGCAACCAUUUCCAUCACAACAACCAUAUCUGCAGCUGCAACCAUUUCCGCAGCCGCAACUACCAUAUUCGCAGCCACAACCAUUUCAACCACAACAACCAUAUCCACAACCGCAACCACAGUAUUCGCAACCACAACAACCAAUUUCACAGCAGCAGCAGCAGCAGCAGCAGCAGCAACAACAACAACAACAACAACAACAACAACAACAACCACAACAAAUCCUUCAACAAAUUUUGCAACAACAACUGAUUCCAUGCAUGGAUGUUGUAUUGCAGCAACACAACAUAGCGCAAGGAAGAUCACAAGUUUUGCAACAAAGUACUUACCAGCUGUUGCAAGAAUUGUGUUGUCAGCACCUAUGGCAGAUCCCUGAGCAGUCGCAGUGCCAGGCCAUCCACAAUGUUGUUCAUGCUAUUAUUCUGCAUCAACAACAAAAACAACAACAACAACAACAACAACAACAACCAUCGAGUCAGGUCUCCUUCCAACAGCCUCAGCAACAAUAUCCAUUAGGCCAGGGCUCCUUCCGGCCAUCUCAGCAAAACCCACAGGCCCAGGGCUCUGUCCAGCCUCAACAACUGCCCCAGUUCGAGGAAAUAAGGAACCUAGCGCUACAGACACUACCUGCAAUUUGCAAUGUCUACAUCCCUCCAUAUUGCACCAUCGCGCCAUUUGGCAUCUUCGGUACUAACUGAGAAGAAAAUAACUCUAGUACUAGAUAUAUGAAACACCGUUUUCUCAGUCCAUGGUUUGGUCGUUGUAGCGGUGAAAAAAUAAUGUGGCAUGCACUAUCAUGUAAGAACCCAAACUAUACUAGUUCAAACUUGGGAAUAAAAGACAAACACAGGUCUUGUCUACAUAUUUAUGUCGCAUCUAUUUAUAUAUUAAAAGUAAUAUAAGGUGAACCAGGAGCAAGGUAAAUAUGCUAGAAAAUUGCACGUUAAUUAGAAAUUACUAGCCCUCAAUCCGGUAAAUCUUAACAAAUAGAAUUAUCUUGACCGUUAGAUUUAUGUAACAUAUAUAAUUCUCUGGGCCUCCAACGACUGUACGUGACACAUCUGAACGCACAUAUGUUAAAGAAAAUAUAUUUGGUAAAUGGUGGGCCUCUUUAAAAAGAGAACUCACGUACAUGCACCAACUAAGAAAAACACAUACAUGUAAACGGGAAAAGGGCUCCACCCCGUUGAAAAAAUAUACAUCUGGAGGCCACUUUGUUUCCUCAUAAAAAAAAACUUACGUUAAAAAGAUUGCAUGCAUCCCAGGGAAAAUAGUCAAGAAGAAGUCGGACUCUUCCUUACAAAAACAAGGAACGUGUUAAGUUGACUUCAAAGAAAAAAGGAACAUGUUAAGUUAAAAAAAACAAGAAACCUGUUAAGUUAGAAAAAAACAAGGAACGUGUUGUCCUAGGAAAGAUAUGUGUCAAAUCUUACAAAAAAAAGAAUACACACACGUACGUUCAUGCACUUGGAAAAUAGAAAAAAAAAGGAACAUCACGUAUGUAUACACUUCGGAAACUCAUUACAUGACCAUGUCUGAUAUACUCCUCUAAUGCUUAAUAUUAGUGCCUAAUAAUUUAUAUUUAAAAUUUAAUUUACUGAUCAAAUAUCCCCACUGUUUAAAUUUUAAUUUGGCACAUUGUUUGGCUAUAGUAUGAACCUAAAUUUCCUCUUAUUAUUAUAUAUCAUGAUAAUAAUCCAAAGGCGACUAAUCUGCGCCGGCGCACCGGCGCAAUCAAUUCGGCCCGACACAGCGCGGCCGUUUGAUUAAAUUGCAUUUAACCGUCAGAUCUAGAAUCAUUUUAUUUCCAAUUAAACGGAUUCAACCAAACAGCAGAGGGGAAAACAAAGCAGCACCGCCGCCAACACUAGUCAUGGACGACCGAUGUAGCAAAACCUUGAAGAACCGCCGCCGGUCGCCACCCUCGCCGCUGGUCGCCGCCCUCGCCGCCUGCGUUUCUCAUCGGCUUCAUGCAUGCAACAACAUGCACUCGUGAUUGCAGGCUUGCAGCUCCGGCUCCGGGGGACAUGGCCGCAUCUCCGGUAGCGCCGGCCGCCAGCCGCAGCACCUGUCGUUGUGGUCACGCUGUACCUCGCCGUGUGCCCUCCCAAGGCUCUUGCUGGUUCCAACAAAAAACGAUACCUAUUGUAGCAAAAAAGUUUAUCGCUUCCAGCAAAAAAGCUUACCGCUAUAGCCCGCCAUCAUCAUUGUAGCAAAAAUGUUAACUCGAUGUAGCUUCUGUGGUUGCCGACUGCGGCCAAAAAUGACGUGGUUGUAGCAAAACACAAAAGAAAAACGCCGGCCGUCCGCUGUGUAUGGUGGUAACAAACCCUAUAGCCGGUGGUAGCGAAAAACUUCACUGUUUGCAGCAAAAAAAUGUUGUCGCCCGUCGUCGAGGUUGCAUCAUCUUCAUGAAUUAUGUCGCAAAAAAACGUUGUCGCCGGUAGUAGCAAAUGAAGCCGCCGGUAGUAACAAAACAAGACACUGGUUCCAGCCAAAAAAAUCAGCGACAGAACCUUUUGUUGGUUCCAACAAAAAAACUUGUCGGUUGUAACAUCCCUCGCCGCCGGAUGUAGCAUCUCCCAGGGCUAGUUGCAACACUCCAUAAAAAAAGUUGUCUAUGAGCGCAUCCAUGGCAACUGCUGCACCGUCAGCAACGAGGGGAAGAGGAGGCAAUGAAAAUCGUUCGAGUCGUAGCUCCACUGGACACGGCUGCAGCAUGGGGAGUCCAAAAAUCUGUCACAAGCAAGAUGCGCCUCGCCAUCCUCCUGCGCAGGAGAGAGAAGAAAAAGGAAUAAGAGGAAGAAGAAACGAAACGGGAGAAAGAAAAAAAGAAACGAUUGGUUGUGGGCUCAGGCAAUUAGUCAAAUGAGGGGCACGCGGGGCCGUAGGAUACAGCGCAAUCGAACGAAGUGCGCGCGUCCGGCCGAAGACUCAGCUGGACUGCCGGUCCAGCUGGAAAUGUUUCCCUAAUACAAAGGCUUUUCUGAAUGACAAGUCGUCUGAGUUAUCGGCUAACUAGAAAAAAGAUAAAUAUGCUAGAUAAUUCCAUAAUAAUUAGAAAUAUCUAGCCUUUAAUUAUGUAAAUCAGAAAAUCACAACCGUUGGAUUUACUUUAAAGGUAAAUUUCUCUAAAUUCCCACCAUUGCCAGUAUGUAGAAACAUGUGCUGCUUCAAUUCUCCCUUAAUCACCAAUCAAUCAACAACUGAAAACAUACCUCAGUUAAAAAAACUGAACAAAAAAAAGAAAAAAAGAAGAAAGGACAAGAUACACGCAUGUACACGACAGCCUUGGCUUGAAACACAUCAGUAGAUCAAGUGUCCGCCUCCCUUACACAGAAUAAAUUCUAGGGAAGAAAAUAAUAGUGCAACCUAACCUUAUACGUACUAUUCUAUCCUCACGUCCCAUGAGGUUUACUAGCCUACUGCCGCCGCAUCAUGCCAUCCUCUCCUUUCAGCUCCCUCCUUGCGGCGCCACUACUCGCCUAGGGAUAUUGCUGCUCAGACCGUGGAGCUUAACCUGCUUCUUCUUCAGCAAAUAUGGAACUGCUUUAGGAUCCUUCUGACAUCAGCGCGUAUGGGCCUCAUUAUACUGCAGCUCCUGGACCUCCUACAAUUGGUUGGCUAUGGCCAGUUGAUCGAUGUGCUGAAGUCCAGGUCUGUUUGCUGGCACAUAUGCUUUGGAAAUAGGCCACUAUGUUUGUACUUCGAAAUUGUUUCUGUAUUCUUCAGUGGUACAUCCUUUUAAGCGCCAGUUUUUUAUGUUAAUUCAUGCUGACAACACUUAACCUAGCCUUUCAUGUUCACGUACUAAAUACAGGAGCAAGUAAAAACAACAGACCACCUAAUUGCUCUGCAAGUUCUACAUAGGAAAAUUUGUCAUGUUCUACGAUCGCACCAUCCCACCCUUCUCUCUUGGUAUGGGCGCCAAUUGAGGGAUUGAUAAAACUGAAACGAAGACGUCACAGGGCUGGAAGUACCGCUAGCCUGGUUCGCACUGCAACCUACCCAACGCCAUCAGAAACUAGCAACUGAGUCAGGUGUUGAUCGAUUCUCUCAAAUUGCUCUCAUGUAAGUACUACCCCUUGCAUGUGCGUACAUACCUUUGUUGCAUUCUCAAACAGAUAGAACAUGUAUGAUCGGUGCAUGGCUAUUUUUCAUCACAUGACAUCCAGAUAACAAGCAUGAAAGGACUACAUUGGAGAUCAAAAAAUAUUGGUUCCUGGCUAGAGUACCACUACCUAUGGACUUGUCUCCAUAGAAUUUGUUCCCAAGAUGUUAUUUUAAUUAACCUCUUUAGCUUUCUUCCGUUGCAAACGGUGAUGUGCAUCAUGGUAUAUACGUGACCAUCUUGCACAUGUAUACACAAGAGGCUCAGACGGAGGUGCUGGAUUCUGGACGAGGGAAUAUGAAGCAGGAGUGAGCGAAGAGUAAAUAAUGGUGGGAGUACCGAUUGGUGUUAUGAAGAAAAAUGCCAUCCAAAGAUUGAUUAGUGUCAUGGAAGAUUAAUUUCUGAAUGCGAAUAUAUAUGUUACAUUGGUUUGGAUCUUUUUGAGAUAAUUGCACCUAAAUUAGGUUCUUUCUUAUUUCAUAUGUAUACCUUAUUUCAGUAAAAGUUCACAACGAACUUAGUAGGACAAAUAUAAUUUUGUUUGUUCUUUCUGUUGUCCGCCACCAAAGCUCAGUUUGAACUCUCUAGAAAUGGACAAUGAUUUAUGCAUUCUAUAUCUUCUUGAUUGAUUAGCCAUGACAAGGAAAUAAAAGGAUUGACUGAUAUAGCAUAACUUUGGAACGAUCUGUUCGUAGAGGUUACUACAAAUUAGAGUAGUGUCUGUUGGAAUUUUGCUAGUAGGCCUUUGGCCCAAAGCCCAACUAAAAUUCUGAAAUUCUCUUCGCUCAUUCAUGCACACAUGUGAGUGGAGUGAGUGAGACUAAAGUUUAGAGAGAGUUGCACCUCUUUAUAAGGUGAGCUCUUCUACCACUUGUAUGAGCAUGAGAAGAGGAGACCUAUACACGCGCUCCUCCUCCUCGCUCACCACGUCUCGUCACGCCGCGCCGCGCCGCGGAUUGCGGGAUUGAGCCGAGCCGAGGACGUUGUCUAUAUUUUUGCUGUUUGGGAAAAAUUAAUAAGUCAUUAAUUAAUAAUUAAUGGAUGCGUUAAUUACUGAACCAUUUUCGAUUCUUUUGGAUCGUGACGACUCGGACGUGGGGUUUACUCCCACGAUCUACCCGGCCCACACUAUAUAGUCAGGCAGACGUCUACCCUAGCCGCCGCCACUUCGUAUGGUUUCUCACCACCGUUACAGAUCGUUGCGCCGCCAAGCAAGUUUUCUCCAUUCCUCCUGUCGGCAUGCACUGGGAGAAGGGACAGCAGGCCUCCGGAACCCCGCCUCUCGUGAUCCUGUACGGGAGAGGGGCGAUCAGAUUUUUGGGGAGCGCACUCGCACGACUGCUGGCAGCGACGACUUCGCAAACGACGACUUCUUCCCCGACCUCGGCAACCUCAUCCUCGACUUCUGCACCGUAUGUUAUUCUAUCCUUCUUGUUCGAGAUCGUGGUAGAAUUCAGAUUUCUAGCAUGUUCCCUAGAUGUGAUUUGUUCAUCUACUAUUCUAAUUCGCAUGAUUAGUUUAAUCUUUGCUAUUGCUGUCAUGAUCUAUUUCCUAUUUAUUCGGAUUAAAUCUCGUAGUAAUUUGCUCAUUUUUCCAACAGUGCCAUCUAAUAGAUGAUGUAAAUCUCCUCAAGUUUGACGUUGUUGAGCUAAUUUACAAAAAAAACCUCAUCAUUAUUGGAUGUCCUUAACAGCUCAAGAACAAGUUGGGGUCGAAAUAAUGGAUUUUACACUUUUACAUUAAAGGUUUAGCUAAAGCAAGCAGGUGUUUUUAAACCUGAAUUUUUUUCCUCCUGAAUUUCUUUGUAUUUUCUUAUUGACACUAUUUAUACAAUCAUCUGACAAAGAUUAGCUAAAGCUGUUUGUAGAUACGUUCAAACCUGAAAAGCUUCUUUGGUUAUCCUUUUAAUAGUUCUACGUUUAUUUUCUCAUAGGUCUUAAUUCUUAUGUAAUACCAAGAUGCAUUGUGGUAGUGUACAUGUGUUAAAUUCAGGUUGUUAUUCACAAUUUGCGACAAAAUUUAGCUCACGCUACAUUUAAAUAUGUUGAAAUGUGAAAGCUCUUUUUCUUCUCCUUUCUACACCUUGCAUCGGAUUGCAUCCCUUUAGUUAUCCAACAUUUUGUACAACAUGUAGAGAUUAGGAAGUUCAUCAUAGUUUGUCUAUUUCCGUGCUAAUAAAUGUAUGAAAUCUGCAUUUCCAAGCUACUAGGACAAGUAAAAAAUAAUAAUUUUACUAUAGGAUUCAAAAACAGCAGUUCUGAAGUGCACUUUAUUUAUUUGUGAAAGUGAUCACAUUUUGUUUCAUUUUUCUAUAGACAAAUCUACUAAUACAUACUCACGAUAAAACUAUAAAAGUUCUAGUCCGCACAUUGGGCGGGCCACCCGGCUAGUUAGUCUAAAGAUAACAAAAUGAGUCUGGAAUUUGAAUUAAAUUGAAGUAUUUUCUUGGACUAUCCACAUCCUUGGCUUGCCCCUGAUCAAUUAUUUCCAGAGAAGCAUUCAAUUCAUCAAUCAAUUACAUUGAUUUUAGUGGCUGGUACUUCUCCUCGACAUCAGUAUAUUCACCGUGGCCACUCCAAAUCGGCAAGAAUGAGGUACCAGUGCUCUGGAGCAGUGCAAGCUAAUUGCUUCUCAUGUGAAGGGGUGCGGGCGCGGGAGAGGUAUUUCUGGUGGGCCAAGGGAUAAGAAGCGACCGUGGCAGCGGUACAGACGCCCGCAAAGCCCCAUAAUUUGUUUUUGGUUUACAGGAAAAAUGCACAUCCAUACCGGCCUGGGGAAUAUAGCACUGUAUUGCAUGGAAAACCAUGUCCGGAUGGUUGUGAGCGGUUUGAGGGUUAGCUUUUGUAACGCCCGGUUAGUUAUGCUAUAGCAAUUCCCUGCUAAUGAUGUCACGUCACCACGAUUACUGUUGUUAACCUCACAAUGAUUCAAUCCCGUUCAAAUUCAAAUUUGAAAUAAAGGUAAACAUCAAAAGUUUUCAAACAUUAAAACUAAAAUCUUUGAGAGGUGACAAAUAAUGCAUAAGUAAUUAUGGUGAAGAAACCACACUUUAAUCAAAUGUUUAAAUACUCUAAAAUGAAAAAAAAACAGUGACUUAAACUAUUAUUUAAAUGCUUUUAAAAUAGUAAAAAUCUUCUAACUAAAUUAUUUGGGUACCAAACUUUUGGUGGCAGUGGUAUAUUUAGUAGAACUAAUUUAGAUGCUAAUUAUAUAAUUUACAAAAUUAGAGUAAAUUGAAAAAUAGGAUAAAACGGAAAAAGGAAAGACAAAACAAAUAAAAGCAAAAGGGGGCAACCCCUCGCUGGGCCUCGGCCUAGCUGGCCACUAGACUAGCUAGGCUGGCCCCGCCGCCUCCCUUAACCCCCCACUCCCCAUCGAACCCAAGCCCGAUCGCCCCAUUUCCCACACACCCCCUCGCUAGUCUCCCCACCUCUUGAUCCCAUCUGGAUCGGGGAGGGUAUUGCCCCCAUCAACCCCGUUGCCGUCGCCGGAUCGCCCGCCGACGUCGGCAGGCCUCCUCCCCGUCGCCCGUCUCCGGCUCACCUCCCCUCUCGCUCCUCUUCCCCGACCCGAUCUGGAUCGUGAACGAGCAAUGAGCUCGAAGCCCCCCUUCACCAGCGCCAUCACCGUGCGCCACCACCACCACCUGAAGACCUCACCGUCGCUGAACCUUGCGUCGCCUCCUUGUAUCCCUCCCCUACUCGCAUCCUCAAGCCAGGCCGAGCCCCUUCUCGGCAACGCUGUGAGACGCCCCCGUUUCCCUCCUCUUUCCACCGCGUUCACCGCGCCGCCCGCCGUGCCCCUCGCCGUGCAUGAGCCCACCACCGCACCAGCCCCCGCUCCGCGCACGACCCUACCCGCGCCCGCGCCAUGAUCCCCUUUUCCGCCCUACCUUCACGCGCUCGCCGCGAUCCCCAUGCUCCCCCGCGCCCUCUUUCGGGGGCGCCGACUGCCCCUGUCCCGGUGCUCGCCGCCGUGCCUCGCCACCGCUCUACUGCUACGUUACUACUGCGCUGCGGCCGCCGCCUCUUCCCGCUGCUCCGCUAGCGCCGAAGCUCCCGGUUGGCUCCACCACUGCUCACGUUAAACCGCCGGCCUAAAUGGCCUAACCCUCGGCUAAUGAACCCCCACUAACCCACUGACACCGGGACCCACAUUCCCUAAUUAACCAUUUAAUAAAUUAACAUUAGUGUAUGACAUGUGCGUCCCCUGUUAAUUAAUAAUUUUACUGCUAGUUUUAUUAGUUUCUGUUUUUCUGCAUAUUUCUUUUGUAUUUGAACAGGCUUUAUACAAUAAUAUUUAGCGUAUCAUACACAUACAAAUGUAAUCAUAGCAUAUACAUACAAAUAGUCUCAUCAAAUCAUGUCAUCAUCAUAAUCAUCAUCCAUCACAAAGUGGUCUCUGGUCAUCAUCUCGAAAAUAGCGAUACAAGUCUCGAUUACUUGCAACUACAUCGUCAUCCAUCUAAACAAUGAUAUACACGAGAAGAGCUCUCACUAUGAGUGAGAGCGGAACUAUGCAGUACAUGAGUUUGUAUCCCUCUCUCGCAUUAGCGUGAACCUAAACUAACGACUGGCUGUUGCUCGGAAACCGGAAACCGGUACACCUGGGCCUGACACUCCGGCCACUCAUCGUAUACUCCUGGCGUAGCACUUCUUCGCCAUCGAUGAUCUAUGCACCUGCAUCGUCACAUGAGUCGAUGAUAUGCAACAUAUAUAGUUGAGCAACAGAAAGAGACAGACUUGGCAAAAAUAGAAGCAACAUAUCACAAGUAUAAAUAACAAAGUUAAUGUUUUGCAGGAUUACAACUCAACCCAUUGCAGAUUAGAAAACAAGCCCGUAUGAAUGCACAGGCUGACGACUAGUCUAUCUAUACCUAUACCUAUACCUAUACCUAUACCUACCUAUACUAAUUACAGACUCCCAAGGAAUUCCCACGUUAAUUAGUAAUUAGGAGUCGUUAAUCUUGUGGGACCAAAUUAUUACGACAGUCCACGAUCUCUUUUCUCUCUGUGUAAAAAAAGGUCCACGAUCUCUUUUCUCGGUUGUAAAAGAUAAAGGCAACUCAGGUCCACGAUCUCUUUUCACGGUUGUGAAAGAUAAAGACAACUCCCGUCUUCUUCUAAUCUAUAGUUCUAUACCUCCACGACCCCUUUCUCUCCCCAUUUAAAAGGAACAAGCUGAACCAAUAUCUAAGCAUGCAAUUGGUUCCUGUGCGGUCUUGACCUUCCAUCCGUCCACUGCUCGAUCGGCCCUCCCUCAACUACAAGCUGACAAGCCACCAUCGCCAUCCAGCGGCACGCCACCGUUCAUGCAUGUGUUUUUGCCCUUCAAUCUGAAGGAGAUGCGUUGGCUACUCAAGUAACUCUGUUUGUUUUGUUCAAACCAAUUUCGUUAAUUCGGUUCUUUGAUUAUCUAAUUGACAUGGCCUGUGAGUUUUGUGCUAGUGAUACAGGGCCUGUCUACUAGAUUCUCUCCUUGCAACUUCUAUUGUUGUCUCGAUUUGGUGUGGUCAAGAUCCUUGCCCCACCACAAGCAGCACCUUUGCACCAUCGGGGAAAUCUGUCAUAGCAAACAGAGGUAUGUAACAUGCUUUGGUGUUUUCCUCUUUCGUUUAGAUCACUAGAGUUGCUCAACCACACCAUUCAUUGAUUAGUAGUUGGCCUGAGAAGUUGCUCGGUCACCUGCAGCGUCUGAUCCCCUUCUUGACCCUCUCCUUCUGGUCAUUAUCCACCGGCAGGUCAAUGCAAAACGGAUCGUUCGUUGCCGCCACCUUGCGGAGACCGAUGUUUGGCUGCCCUCCUGCCAUCCUGGCACUCUGGUACCGGUCACUGUGCCGUUGUUCUAGAAGAACUAUGUCACACGAAGCGAGAUAUCUUCUUACUAAUCUGGAACAUAAGUGUUUCUUCUUACUAGGAUUCGCUCACCGGUGCAUUCAUCUCUUUUUGGAAAAUACGGCCUUCAUAUUUCACACGCCUAUACAUGGGUGCUGUCCCAACAAUAAUCCAUCUAAUCCAUGAUGCACAUUCAUGAAGACUGAUGUGACUGAAUUAAUAUAUCAAUCUGGUGCUUCCGGAUCAGCACUUGAAGAAGCAACCCCUUUAGUUCAUAAAUUUAUCAUACGAAAGUCAGGGGAAAAAUCAACUAAGUCAUGUGUGCUUUUCUAAUUAAUUACUAUACACUAAUUCCAUUUUUUUCAGUAGCAGGCUAGGAUACGUGGAUUGUGGCAGCACAGAAGUAAACCGAUGAGCUACAUUGGCCGUUCACCAGUCAUCGGAUCAGAAGCCAUGUCGACCAGAGGGACGGAACAGUUCUAUAUUAGGCGAUGGAUACAUGUGGAAGCAACUAAGCAUAUGUGGAUGCAUGUGAUCGCAUAGGUAAGGCCAUAGCUGUUCAAGCCCUACAGGAUCUUUAUUGCUGGUUUUAAUUAUGAGUUUACAACACCAUCUAUACAUACUACUUAUCCAUUUAUUUCCUUACCUUCUUUGUUUCUUUCUCUCCUUGAUCCCCUGUCAAAAGGGCAUCAACAUCCAUAUGCGCAACGGCACACGCAACAAACUAUGACUUCGGUUGCACGUCCAAUGGCAACCACAGUACAUGAUGAUAUCAUGUUUGCUGCAAGACGAAGUACAAGUUCAUAAUUUGGUCUUUUGCAUGGUCCCUUAGUAAAUUAUAUUUGUCCACAUACACCACAUACAUAAAAACAGGUAGAAGCGGUUGCAUGAUGAAAAUGUCCUCUCAAUAUGCAUGCCUAUGAAUACUAUCACCAGAAAGCCAAGGACUAACAAUUAUUCAGGGGUCAAGAUUGAAGACAGACGUCCAAGAUUGGCAGUCGGCCGGCCUAAGAGGGGCAAAACCGUUGUACAUUAUAUUGUAUGGACCUAGCAAGAUCCUAAAGAUAAGUGAUAAUGGAGAUCAUGGGGGCCACCCUUAUAACCAUAUGUCCAAAUGUUCUUAUUUGUUUAUUUUUCUUUUCUCUUUUCGGAAGAAUCCAUCCUGCCUCUAUGGUCAUCCUGACCACUUCGUAUUGUUAUCUAAUCUCCUCCCUUAAUUAAUAUAAAGAAUUACCGCAGCUGAAUUCACUAAAAAAAGUAUUCAGUUUAUUUUAAUUUAUUCAACUAUUAUGGCAUAUCAAUUGGAUUGCAAGUUCUUGGCGGUUGCAUUUGAAUCAUAUUUGAUGUGCACAAAGGCUUCAGUGUCAAGGUGGUCGGACGAGUAUUUAUGUCCAUUAUAUAUGUGUUAGCUUGAGAUCAUCAGGCACCUGUUAUGCAUCUGUCCAGUUAAAAGGAUGUUCAGACUCAGGCUUGCCCUACCAUAUAUGGCUGUGACACUCUGAACCAAGCAAGUUGGUCAUAUGUGUCGAGCACUAUUAACUCUUUGGAAGAGGAUCCACCAAGUACAGGAAACAAAUCAAAUAUCUUCUUAACCUUAUCACCAGAAAAAUUAGCAAGAGAUGAAUAGUAACAUUUUAAAGAAGAAAGAUAUGUUUGAAAAGGGAUAUAUAUUAUGGCGACGAUUAGAAGAGCCCUUGACGAAUGGUGCCUAGCCUGCGAAAGUUUCUUAUGAAUAUAGUCAACACUCUAUAUCAACUGUUGUAAGAUUUUAGAAAUAUUUUUGGGGACAUAUGAUACAUGUCUAUUAUACAUAUGAUUCAACAGAAGUUUGAUUGAAUACAUAUUUAAAACGUGACUGACUUCUAUAUGGACGGAGUAUUUCACAAAGGACUCACUGCCAACUGUGUGAAUAUUCCAAGAUAGUUAGUGCACAUAAAUGUUCAAAUCCAUAGCCUGCAUAAAUAUACAAAAGCAAUGUGUUAGACCACUACACAUGCUUCUGAAAGGAGGCAAAAAAAUGUAUGCUUGAUUGAUGACCGUUCAUGCAUGAAAUUAAUUUCUGAUUUCUAAUUAUUUUGGUCAUAUAAUGGAAAUAGAGACAUUAUAAAGAUCCAACAGCAUGCUAUCACACACGUGUGAACACAGACACACACAAAUAACAUUUGCCGAGCACUCACAAAUAAAAGGUGUGGCUACUCUUGGGUGUUCUACAGCUGGCUUAAAAAAACACGUAUGAAACAUGAUCCCCAAAAAUCUGAAAUUCGCAACAUAUGAAAAUCCACCCUCAAACAUAUUUCUGGUGUCUCAAUUCUUUUAGUUUCAGAUGGUAUGUCCAGCCAAAGUAGUUGUACACAUACAUUACUAUGUUCUAUUAUUUGAGAUUCUAAGACAACAUUUAGUAACUAGCCCGUGCGAUGCACGGGUUCACGACUAGUAUAUAUAAAGCUUAAUGGUGCCUAAGAAAGCUCGCACAAUUUUACAGUGGCUGUGGAGAUGUGUUGCCAAACUGAGACAUAAGAUUUUCGUUUGGCAUCCAGAGUUGCAGACCGCUUGUGUUAUCCUUAAUCCAUGGCCACUCUAAUUUUUCCGGCUGGGCCUUCCCUGUGGUACGGCAGCAAGGCUUGCGUGUGUAUAUGUUUCCUUUAACUACCACUAGCACAUAUGCCCGUGCGUGCGUUGCAAGGGGAGAGAUAAUGGCGUAUCCACCAAUAUAUCUAGCAGCAUGACCCAACAACAUCCGAAUGAUGUCACCCGACGACGGCAGGAAGGCACACACAGAGGUCUAGUAAAAACUCAACAAUUGUACGGGCAUGGUUAAUUCGCGUGAAUUCAAGGGUGUGAGAUUAGUUAGUGUUGGUCCCACAAUUGAAUUCGGGGGCUGAUUAGUUAGUGUGGGCCCACCCUUGAAUUCACCGGGGGAGACAAAAUAAUUAGGGUGAGGAGAGAUUUACGGGGCUUGGUCCCCAGAUGCGUUGCGGCAGUCAUUAUUCGAGCAUUGCAAUGCUCGCACGUGAGGAGCUCUUUUUCCAAUUGUAUAUUGAGAAGCAUUGCUACAGAUACAAUGUUUUUGAUACGUUUUUGUACGAUGAUCCUGAUCUUAAAGGGCCUUCUAAUUUUUAAAUCUUAAAGGCAUUAUUUGUAAGUUGUCGUGAAAAAAAUCUCGCUAAAAGGGUUAUGUUAGACCAUCUUCAGUACAUUAGAAAUAACGAAUUAUAAUUCCUUGGCAUUUGAACAAACAAUCCCUACUUAUUUACACAUACAAUACUUUUGGUAUGAUUUUGAAAUCUUGAAGGCAUUAUUUGUAAGUUGAAGCAAUUUUGAAAUCUCACUAAAAGGUCUGUUAGACCAUCUAUAGCUUUAGAAAUAACUAAUUAUAAUUUUGCAAAAAAAAGAAAUAACUAAUUAUAAUUCCUUAAGCAUCUGACCGAAACGACCCCGAUUUAUUGUCUGGGUAGUAAUUCCUUUGCAACAUUAUUCUCUCCUUUCUUGAAGGAACUCUUGCCUGGGUAGUAAUUCCUUUGCCCACGUAUUUGCAAGGUUAUUCUCUCCUUCAUUUUUACAGGAGCUCUCCUUCCUUAUACUAAUUGGUCAUUAUCCUCUCCUUCCUUUUUCUUUUUGCCAAACUCUCUUUCCAUAUUUAUGCCGCUAACCACGCCACUCUUUUUCCUUAUUUAUGCCCUUUGAUCACGCCACACAUCUCAUGAAAUCUAAGCCAUAUAUAUCACCCAUCUUUUUUCCUUAUUCCGGUGCUUUCCUCACAAACAGUAGUUCUCUAGGAUGCUUAACGAUUUUGAAACAGAAACAUAUAUAAAUCGGUAGAACGGGUUGUAAAGCAGCGAGGUGGUACUAAUUUAUAAAGAAACAAACCUUUUCUUUUUGUGUAAUGAUGCCUUGGUUCGGCUGGUUGCGUUGGGAAAAGGACCGGCGAAGUGGGCGAACCAAAAACGGAUAAAAUUACGGUGGUAAGAAGCGAUAGCCCUUUUAUUAGUAGGUAUGAGGAUGUCUAGGAUGUCUAGGAUGAGGAUUUACUGCACACAAGUGCGGGGGCACUCAGGUCCUGAUGCCGCCUUUUUAUUUUGGCUUCCGAUUUUCAAACUUCUAUAUCUUUUAAACAAAAAAUUCAAUUUAAGUUACGUUUUCAUAUUCGUGCUUCUCGCGGCCAGCGCUUUCAAAUAAGAUCCAUUUUGCAUACAUUUUGGUGGCUUUUGGAAACGGGCGAAUAGCUCCUAUGCGACGUUGUUGGUGUGUAUUGUCUCUCAUGCGACGUUGUUGGCUGUAAUAGCUCUCAUGCGACAUCUGCGUUGGAAAAAAUAGCUCCCAUGCGACACACCAUUUACGCGGCUAGUUGGCUGUUAGUUAGGCUGAGGUUUGGUUAGGACACUGGGGGUUAUGUGCUCUGACUGGUGGGGUCCACCUAUGGUCACGUAGACAAGAGUCAACCGUCCACGACUCGACCUGGGACUGUGUGACCGUGCUCGACUCACCCGUGCUGGACUGAGUGAGCGGUGCCGCCGUAAGCAUCUUCUCCGACAGCGGUUUCUUCUCCGCGGUGGUGGAGCGCAUUUCUCGGCAGCGGCAGAGCUAUUGCGAGGUGAGCCCGAAACCCUAGUCCCACUCCCCAGAAUUUUGGGGGAUCUGUGGCCUCAUGCUGCCCUCUGUUUCUUGGCGAUUUAGAAUCGGGCUCCAUUGGAUCCGGGGGUUGUUUCUUCUCCGUGGCCCGGUGGUGGAGCGCCUAUCUCUGUAGCGGCUAUUGCGAGUGAGUAUUUUCCAAACACUACUCGCAUUCCACUAAAUUUUGGAUAAAUCUGUGGCCUCAUGCUGCCCCUAUUUCUUGGCGUUUUAGAAUCUCGAUUGGAUAGGAGAUGGAGCGAGGGCUGGAUGAGAUGGAGCGAGGAGACAGUGCUUCAAAUCGGUAAUGCCACACUCUUUUCUUGGCGAUUUAGAAUCGAACUCGAUUUGGUAGUGACUGCCGCCGCUGCCUGCCAUUGACAAAACAGGGGAGGUUCAAGUUCUGCCACCACAUUCACAAUUAUAGUGGAAUUUUUUCCCUGUAAAGCCAAGCUCAGUGAUGGCAGUGUCCAAGACAUUGAUAGAGAUACCACCGUGAGGUUCGAUGUCGAAUUUGCAGAUGUUGAUCCCCAGGAAUUGGAGAGCAUGAAGGAGAAGGCCGUGGGCAAUUUGGUGGAGAGAAUUGGGGAGAAUAUUGUUUGGGGUCCAGAACAAGAGGUAUGUCUGCAACGUUUCGAUAACUAUAAUGGUGAAUAUGUGAGAAUUGAAGAUGGAGAAUCCAUGGUUGCUGAAAUUGAUCAGCAAGAAGGGUGGGCAACUAAACAAGUAACAUUUUAUGCAGAGCUAAUUGAUCUACAAACUCAUUCCAGAGUUGGUUAUGUGCAAUCAAAGAGGGCUGCACAGAUGGAAGAUGAUGAGUGGGUUUCACAAAAGAAGAUGUUGGCAUUGUUGACUGAACCGACUGUAGUAGCUGAAGAUACAGGGAUUGAUGCAGAUGGAGAGGAGGGAACCCAUGGUGCUAGGAAGAUUGUUGUUGACUGGAAUGUAGUAGAGUUGAAUGAAAAAACAGAUUUGGUCAUUACACCAAUAUCUGACAUUGAUAUGGCCGAAAUGUUUGGCAUUCAAGUUGAUGACAAAGAUAAGGAGAAGGAUGACAGUUCUUUGCCUGCUGAAGGAACAUAGGCCCUAGAAAUGCAAAUGAGGAUGAAGAACAGCUGAUGAGAGAGGCUGCAGAUGAUGUGGAUGAUGCAGAUGAUAAUGAGUUGGUUUGUUUGUAUGACAAAGAGAACCCAGUUAUUGAGGUGGGAAAGUUGUGGCCAAGCAUGAAGGAGUUUAGGAUGUCUUUCAGGACCUAUGCAGUGAAAAAGAGUUUGAUGCCAAGACUAUGUGGACUGAUUGAAAGAAAUUUUAUGCUCGGUGCAAAGGUUAUGAUGGUGGUGGCAAUCCUUGCAAAUGGUACUUGUCUGCCAGACUACAACCUGAUUGAAGUACAGUAAGGGUAAAUCAAAUACCACACCAGCAUACAUGUAUGACCACUUCACAGAGAGUUUCAAAGAUGACAUCACAGCUUUGGGUUACAGAGAAGAUUACUCCUAUUUUAGCCAAGACUCCAAACACUACUGCAAAGAGGCUUAAAGUUGACUUGGAGAAGCUGUACCCCAUCCAGCUGCAAUAUACCACAGUGUGGAAAGCAAAACAAAGGGCCAUGAAAUCAUUGUAUGGUGACUGGGCAAAUACAUUUAGGAUGUUGUAUAGUUUUAAAGCAGAGGUGGAGAAGAGGUCACCUGGGAGUGUGGUGGAGAUAGAUACAGAGGUAACAGAGGAUGUCAUGGUUUUAUUCAGCAAGUUUUUUAUGUGUUUGAAGCCAUGCAUAGAUGGAUUCAAAGCAGGUUGUCGUCCAUAUUUGAGCAUAGACUCAUCUUUUUUGACUGGAAAGUGGAAUGGUCAGUUGGCUGCAUGCAAUGCUCUAGAUGGACGCAACUGGAUGUUCCCAAUUGCAAUAGGAAUGUUUCAAUCAGAGACAGAGGCAUCAUGGAUAUGGUUCAUGAUGCAACUGAAAAGAUGUAUAGGGCCAGUUUCUCCUUUAGCCAUCCACACAGAUGCAUGUAAAGGGUUCGAAAAUGCAGUAAAAAAUGUUGUCCCCCAUGCUGAGCAGAGGGAGUGCUUUGGACAUAUGUGGAUGAAUCUGAUAAAAAAAUUAGAGGAGAUGAAUUUGGGCGCAUGUGGCCAGCAGCAAGAUCCUACACCAGACAGACACAUUCCUAUCACCUUGGUAAGAUAUUGGCAUCAUGUAGUGAUAAUGAAUUUGCUUCAUGGUUGAACACCCGCCAUUCUCUGUUGUGGUAUAGAUCAGGUUUUAAUACUGCCAUAAAAUGUGAUAAUAUCAAUAACAACUUGGCAGAAAGUUUUAACAACAAAGUGAAGGAUUUGAAAGACUUGCCUGUGCAUGACAUGGUGGACCAAAUAAGGAUCAUGAUCAUGCGUUUGUGGGAGUUGAGAGGAAAAAUUGCUAAUAUUUUGGAAGGGGACAAGCUUCCAGCAGUGGUACAAUAGGUGGUCAACAGGAGUAGAAAUCUUUCACAUCUAUCUGUUGAGAAAUCUUCCUUGUGGGGUGCUGAAGUUAGAGAUACAAAGAGUGGCAAGAGGCAUGUGGUAAAUACUGAGUUGCAUGAGUGUACUUGCCGAGAGUGGCAACACACUGGAAAACCAUGUGAGCAUGCCAUACUUUUUUUGGCAUCUAAACCCAGGUUAAAUAUGCACCCAUAUUUGCAUGAGUAUUAUUCAGUACAAAAAUUCAAAGCUGCAUAUGCAAGUCCAAUUCCUGCACUGACUGACCAAUCUCAGUGGCCUGAGGUGGAAAUAGAAUUUACCUUGUGUCCCCUGUCACUAGAAGAAAGGCUGGGAGGCCUAAACAGAGCAGAUUCAAAGCUUGGUUUGAGAAAGGUGGUUGUAGUAAGAAGGGGAAAAAAGAAAAGAAAAAGAAUGAUAAGCCCAAAAGGGCUCAAAAAGGUAAGAAAAAUAGGUGCAAGUUGUGUGAGGUACUUGGGCACAGAAUUGGUUCAUCCAAGUGCAUCUAUACUCCUCAGAGGACAAAGUAUGUUCAUGUUACUGUUUUUACAAGUUUUUGAUUUUGUUACUUGUUCUAGUAUCUAACCAAGUCAAAUGCUUUAUUUUUUAGGAGGAAGCGUGCAGAAAAAGCCCCACCUCUUGUUGUUGAACAAUGCUGGCCAGUGAAAAAAGCAAGACUCAAUGGCUAUAUAGAAGGAAGAGCACUAAGCAGAUAAUGUUUGGUGACAAAGAUAUGGAGCUAACUGAAACUGUUACUGCUGAACAUGAGCUAAGUGUUUCUGUUUUGGACGAUGUGAUGCAUACUGAAUCUGUUUUGCAGACGCUAGGGCAAUCUGAAACUGUUGCAGAUGAAGCAACGGUUGUGCUGCCAUGCGAAUCUGCUUUGACAACUGUGUUGCCAUGUUUGGAGGUUGUGCUGCCAAGUGUUGAGUUGCAAACUGAAGUAGUUGAACAAUUUGUGCCAUCUACUCAAUCUGCAGAAGUGCAAACUGAAGAAGUGCAAACUGAAGAAGUGGGACAUGGUCAGGUGAAAAAGUUGAGGGGGCCUAGUGGAGUUUGCAAGGGGCCAAAAAGCAAGAGCAUCAACAUCAACAAACUAUGCGCCGUGGAACCAAACGAUGGAAAAAAGCAGAAGAAAUCGAGUGGUAGAAAGAAGCAAAAGAAAUAGAGUCGAAAUCAUUCAAAUUUGAUGUGAAAACUUAAGUUUGUUGUCAUUUGAUGUGAAAACUUAUGUUCUUUCAUGUGAAAACUUAUGUGCUAUGAUGUUGAUUUGACUUGAAAUAAAAUUCAAAUUUGAACCGACAUUCAAAUUUGAACCUAUCUCCAAAUUUUUUUGAGUUCAUUUGUUUGUUCUGUGAUGUUGCAUCGUUUUAUGUACUACUAUGCACUUUGUGAAGUCCAACUCAUAGUCACUGAAAAUGCUGUACAAACAGGCUCCAAAGUAAGGGAAAACGGCCCCAUUUCUAAGCAAGUUUUUUUCGAUCUUCUCAAAAUCACCCAAAAAAGAUUUUCUUAGCUUAUAUUAUACCUAUAUAGGAUCAAUACAAAGUCUCACCUUUUUUGAAUAAGUAUUCAUAUUAUUUAAUUUAUUUUUGAAAAAACACCCUUUAAUACAAAGUCAGCAAUAAAACAAGUUUAAAAAUUUUAAAUGCAAAAAUAACUUCAGAUCCUCCUUAGUCACUCUAAAAUGAAGCUAAGGUGAUGUUUUUUGAUUUUUUUGCAUUUUCAAAACCUCAAACCCUCUUCUCACUCCUUUGAACUCUAUGCAACCUCAGUCGAGAUAGUCCAAUUUGUGAAGGUUUUUUCAUGCAAAGAUCAUUAGAUCAAGUUUAUCAUUUUAUAUCAUAACUAUGUAACAUAAAAAGGCUAUAUGCGCAGGUUUUUCAUUUUUUAGAUUUUUUUGAAUUAGUUAUACACAUUUGAAUGUUCGGUCAAACCUUUCAAAACCCCGUUGACUGCCUCAAAACCCCAUGUAACCCUAGCGCCAAACGUCCACCGUCGAUCUAACCCUAACGCCAAACUGCGGCCGUCGGAUGGGACUUCUAGAAGGAUUCCGCGGGGGCGAUCCAUGGGCUCCAAUCUGAUUGGCCAUUGUUUUUUCUCUCUGACGAACAGAUAACGUUGAGCGGGGGAGCAUCUAAGUGACCGUUGGGCCGAGUGGAUUGGGCCUGGCAAAGCCUGGCGUGCGUGCACACGGCUGUUGAGAGGGGGGAUGGGCUGCAUGCGAGCGGGUCAAUGACAUGUGGGCCAUCCUUGUCCCAUGCAUGCCAUGCAACGUCGCAGCCUAGCUAUUCUUUGCUCGUGAAAGCCUAGCCAUUUGCAUGCGGGCUUGCAUGCACGCAUCGACGCAGAGUACGGCAAGGGUGCAGCGUAUAGGUACGUCGCAUCUAAGCUAUUUUAACAAAUGCAUGUUUGAACGAGAUGGACGCGUCGGUGGUGCAGCUCCUUUUUCAGUGUCACGCGCGGAUGAACGGGCCUGUUUCCCAUGCGGCAUCACCGCCGAUGCAAGUGCCCGUGCCUCUUUGGAUGCUCUGGCCGCCGUUUUUUGAAUUAAUGCCCGCAAUUACUUAUGCCAUGCGAACGGAGAAGAGAAAAAGAUCGAGAAGGGGCACCGUGUACACAUUGACCAUGGUUGCAAUGCGGCUAUAAAAGGGCACCAUUUCCUCAUCCUCUCACACUCAUCUCUCAAGCCUCCUCCCCUUCUUCUUUUCGAGCCAAAUCCACCACUCGAGCCACCAUGCAGUUCAACGGCCCUACCUACCGUCGCCCUUGCACCGUGCCGGAGAGGCAGUACCCAGCCGGAGUCGUCGUGGAGAACAGCCUGAGGGUGUGGGCCAUCUCUAGGUGGAGGGGCCCUAGAGAGUUGGCUCGCUUCUUCCUCCAAGCUGGCUACCGCCACCUCCCUCCGGGCACUCCGCCCAUGUUCCACCUCCACGAGCAGUACGAUGGCAAUGCCGGCCCCGACGGCUUCGUCAUCGGCCUCUAUGUCACCUUCACCAACCCCUACGACGCUCACCACCUCCCCGGGGAGGUGUUCUGGUGUGGAUGCGAGUUUAUCGCGUUCACGACCUACAACAUCUUCACCAACUUCCACCACAUCUUCCCUCACCACAACGGCAUGCACACCCUCCCCUAUCAGAUGCCGGAGGACGACGAGUGAGGGGCCCAAGGAGGAGGGUCCAAGGAGUGGCAAGGAGGAGGGGCCAAGGAGUUGUUCAAGCGGCGAGUCUUCUAUCUAUCUAGUUUGGGGCUCUAGUUUGUGUUUGUGUUGGUUCGGGCGUGUGUGCCCGUGUCUUUUAUAUAUCUAGUUUUAAUUAUUUUACUUUCAUGUUUUAUGAACUAUAUGUAGUGGGGGGAUGCCCCUCUAUAAGUUUUAUCUAUCUAUGCUACUAGGGUACCCGAUGCCCCUCUAUCUAUCUAUAUGUUUUUUCGGUCCUAAAGUUUCUCCAUUGCAUUUUAUUUAUGUGGCCAUGUGUACUAAAAAACAAUUGAUCUGGUAUCUAAAAUGUACGUUACCAAGAAAUUGACAAUAAAGAUUAUAUACUGUACUACAUAAUCAUACAGUUGGUAUACAAUGCAUUUGAAGACAAUGGGCAAGAAAAAUGCUAAUUAUCUGGUGCUGGUGACAUGCGUAAGUGUUGUCUGAUGUUUAAAUCAUGCUUGCUAUGUCAUUUUUUGCUGCCAAACAUGGCAUUAGCGAGAAAGGUCAUUUGGGCACUGAAUGUAUUAAAGUAUACACCAUAUAUAAAAAUGUCUAGCCAAAAGAUUUGGGUGUACAACUGUACACCAAUGACCAAGUAUGGAUCCGCCCCUGGUUGUAAGGGGAUGCCCCUCUAUGUUGUAAGGAGAUGCUACUAGGGGCACACUAGAUGUCUUCUUUUUUUGAGAGAGGCACAACCUUUUUCGGUUGAAACACACGAGUAAAAACUUUGAAAACACCAUAGCACAAGUAAAAAAAUAUAUUAAGAAAUGGUGCUUGGUUGAAAUAAACUAGAACCAAACAAUUGCAACUUUCUUGGUUCACAAAGACUGCUCAAAUAAUUAUCUCAAAUAGCUUAUGCAUAAAAAUAUCUCAAAUAAUUAUUAGAUGAGUUAUCUCAAAAAAGGUGACUGCAGGAAACUUAAAAUUUGUGAAAUGAUCUAAAGCCGAAAAGAUAUAUCGAUGAAUUAUCUCAAAUAGCUUAUGCAUAAAAAUAUCUCAAAUAAUUAUUAGAUGAGUUAUCUCAAAAAAGGUGACUGCAGGAAACUUAAAAUUUGUGAAAUGAUCUAAAGCCGAAAAGAUAUAUCGAUGUCAAUGACCGUGUGCACUUUUUUUGCACUCCUUUUAUCAAUGGGCCUGGAUAUGUUCUAUUCGGCCCUGCCUAACUUCUAUAUGGGCCUGGCCUUUUCGGGCAACUAUGGACGAACCUUUUUUUUCCUUUUCUCCCUCUACCACUGAAACUGAAACUGAUGACGAACUGAAGAACUAAAAAACGGGGCCGAAACAGAGUGGAGAGGACAUGCUGAAUUCGUACAACGCAACACUUUUAUUCAAAUAUACAUAUCAUUAGGAUUACAAAUGAUGCCCAAUCUAUUCACUUACGACUAAUUAUCAUCACAUAAACAAAUGCGAGAGCAAUUACACAAACAUAAAAAAGUCCGGCCAUCAGCCCCAUCAAAUUGCCCUGCUUCUGCAAUUUGAUGAGUUUCUUCAUCUGCUUGUUUAGCUUCUUCAGCUCUGCCGUCACUACUGCAUCCCCCACAGUAGCCCCAAUGGAAUGGGCACAUCCAGGGGCCCCAGAUCCAGAAGCGCCCGAUCCAAACUUGCCCAACUUCUCCACCUCCAGCGGUAAAUCGAGCUCCCCUGAUGCACCCUCCAGUUGAAUCCGCUCUAUGUACUCAUUUAGCCACUCAAAAUGGGUGCAUUGCUUCAAUUUCUGAAAUUGGAAAGAUGAACCCUAAAUCCCAAAUCCGAUGAAAAAUGGGGAAAAAUUGUGAUAUGAAAUUGGGAUACAAAAACCAAAAUUGGCAUAUUGAGAAGUAAAAUCUCACCUUUCCCUGCUCUGGUUUGCUCUCGCAUUUCACGAAUUCCCGCCCAAGGUUGCCAUUCUUGUCGGUCGUUGUGACUAGCCGCUUCAGGGGUGUGAUACGUGGGCCUGCAGGGCACCUUGUCAUGGGCACUGCGCCAUAGCGCGGCCAUGAGCGGCGGGAGGCUGAAGCGGAGCUCGACAUUGCUAGGUCGCGGCCCGGAACGGCGUUGCUGCGCGUCGUCGCCGGAGAAGAAGAACAACAACGGUCGGGGAGGGGGGGUGGGGGCGGGGGCGAGGAUGGGCCACGGCUCGGGCCACGGCUCGGUGUCCUCUUGUACCAAUGCUGACCUGGAUAAGUUAGUGGGUCCCACGCAGUGGGUCCCGCUCACCUGACCAAUGCUGAGUUGGAUAAGUUAGUGGGUCCCGCGCUGUGGGUCCCGCUCACCUGAUUCGAGUUUUAAACAUGUGUCUUUGGAUUAGACAGCAGUGUCGCAUGGGAGCUAUUUUUUCCUAUGCAGAUGUCGCAUGAGAGCUAUUACAACCAACAACGUCGCAUGAGAGACAAUACACACCAACGAUGUCGCAUAGGAGCUAUUCGCCCUUUGGAAACAUUGCUAAGUUUCAUUGUUUGAAACUUAGUACGAGCGACCGAUAAAAUUUAAUUAUUUUGUGUCUACGACCAACAGGAGAAAUUGCUUAAAAUUACAUCUUUGAAACUGGUCAUUUUUUGAUGCAAAAAUGUAAGUUUCAUCAUUGAAACUUAAGGGCAUGUCCAAUGCUGGAUGCUUAUCCAGGCGCUUAUCGUGUGGAAAAAAAAAAUGCCACGAAGUUAGCUCUCGCUUGUCCAACAGCCAAUGCUAACAACGGGCGCUAACCACGGCUGGAGCUAUAGAUUAGAAAGAAAGAUCUGGUUCACUUGUACGUGAAAAAAGGAGCAAGCGCUCGAUGCCUUGCUUUGCAUCGAUGCCAGACUGAGGUGCUGGGAAUCGACAAGAUAACCGCCAAUCUACCAGGAUUAAAUUCCUAGCGCCUUCUUCUAGCGCCUCCCACUGAAAAUGCCCUAAAGGUUUUUGAGGGAUUUUUUUACUGUGUCCUACUUCACGUAUCACGAGGCAAAUCAAGUAGGCGGCAUGGCCUGGCCGGUGAGUGCCAUUGCACUUACUUGCCCCAGCGAUUUUCCGCCUGCAUUGUAGAAUUCUUUCUCCGAGUCCUGUGAAUUAAAGAUGGUGCAGACAAAAGUAUAUCCUAUAUGCGUACAUGUGCAUGAUCAGAACAUGUUUUUACGUGCGUCUACUAUAAAUCAUGACCAUUUUUAACACAAAUCAUGACCAUUCAUGAUUAGUGAAUCAUACUGUCUUAACUUAUGUGAAAUCAUGUGGAGUAAUAUAAUAUAAUAUAAUAGAUAGAUAGAUCCAUGUUGUAUCAUUACACAUUUUGAUUUAUGCAUUUGUUUACAAAAAAAACAGUAAAAUUUCAUGGUGAAAAGUUUGUAUUGUUUCAUACUGAACACCAAUGUUUUCCCGUAAAAGAAAAUAAUGCCUACGCAUAUGCUUUUAUAUUAUUAUUAUUCUUUCAAACUUAUUCAUAUAGUAUUUUUGAUUGUGCAACCAUAAUUUUUAUUAUCUCUCUUGUUCCACUACAUGCUCUUACUCAAUGAUUUUUUUAUAAUGGGUGUUUUUAUUAACUCAAAAUAUAGCAUCAAGCGGAUACAAAACAUAACGAGCCACGUCCGGUCUCUGCAUAACUAAGAUGCACACAGCCAAAAGCAGAAGUCUGACAAAAAUAAGAUAAGAAAAUCAACAUAUCGACAACAGUGAGUCAUAUAGUUCCGACACUAUGCCUCUGUUGAAGGACGGGGUGGAGCGAUCUGGAGAUUAUGCUUCCCUCCAUUUUGAGUAAAUACCUCCCUGGCCACUUGUUCCAACCGCAUAGACGCCGCCACGAAUAAUGGUUGGUACUCUGUUCGGUGUAGCAUACACCAUGUAGGAAGUGAGUGCUCACUCCUAGUUACUAAAUUAUGUACACACUAGUAGAAAAAGGGCCAUUUGUCCCGGUUCGUAAGGCCCAUUUGUCUCAGUUAGGGAACCGGGACUAAAGGGUCGGUACUAAAGCCCUACACCUUUAGUCCCGGUUCUUACACCAACCGAGACAGAUGGGGCUCCACGUGGCCGCUGCGGCUUGCCAUGGCAGGGGGGCCUUUUGUCCCGGUUGGUAGCACCAACCGGGACCAAUAAGCUACCACGCGUCAGCAUUUGAGGGGCUUGGGUUUUUGUUUUUUUCUGAAGGGGGGGAGGGGGGUUGGGGGUUUUGGGGGGUUUUGUAUGGUUAAUUUUGGGGGGUUUCAUAUAUAGUGUUAGGUAGUAAUUAAUUAAUAGAGAGAAGUGUCCUCUCUUAUCUCCGUGCUUGGUCGACGCUACGUACUAUACGUAUAGAGAGGCCCUCGACACGCUUGCCAGUAAGCAAAUGAAGGAAACCAUUAAGUACAGAAGUUCGUCAUGAACAUAUGCAUACAAACAUAAGUGAUAUCGACCUCUCCUUCUCCGAGAGAUAGGUCGAAGAACAAGUUUCCGUAUAUCUAUCCGGCGCUACUAGCUACAUAUAUACAAUAUUAAGAUCUCUUACAAUAUAAUCCCCUAAUUAUAUAUGAACUCAGCUUCCAGAUGGUAUUCUCCGGCUUUAUUGAUGACGUGGUCAAGAAAGAAUCCCUCCAAUUCCUCUUGAAUUGCUUUGAUGCGAUCUUGUGGUAGGAGUUCAUCCUGCAUCUGCCACAUCUAAUUUGAAGAAGGGGGUCAAUCACUAGUGGAAUAACAGCCAUUUGUCUAGGUUCGUAAGGCUCAUUUGUCCCGGUUGGGGAACCGAGACUAAAGGGUCGUUACUAAAGCCCUACACCUUUAGUCCCGGUUGUCGGUGUCAAAACCGGCGGAUCUCGGGUAGUGGGUCCUGAAUUGUGCGUCUAGGCCGGAUGGUAACAGGAGGCAGGGAACACGAUGUUUUACCCAGGUUCGGGCCCUCUUGAUGGAGGUAAAACCCUACGUCCUGCUUGAUUAAUAUUGAUGAUAUGGGUAGUACAAGAGUAGAUCUACCACGAGAUCAAGGAGGCUAAACCCUAGAAGCUAGCCUAUGGCAUGAUUGUUGUGUAUGGAGUUGAUUGCCUACGGACUACAACCCUCCGGUUUAUAUAGACACCGGAUAGGGUUAGGGUUACAUAGAGUCGUUUACAAUGGUAGGAGAUCUUGAAUAUCCGCAUCACCAAUCUUGCCUUCCACGCCAAGGAAAGUCCCAUCCGGACACAGGACGAAGUCUUAAAUCUUGUAUCUUCAUAGUCCAGGAGUCCGGCUGGACGUAUAGUCCGGCUACCCGAACACCCCCUAAUCCAGGACUCCCUCACCGGUUCUUACACCAACUGGGAGAGAUGGGCCUCCACGUGGCCGCUGCGGCGAGCCCAGGUAGGAGGUCCUUUGGUCCCCGUUAGUGACACUAAUACGUCUCCAACGUAUCUAUAAUUUUUGAUUGCUCCAUGCUAUUAUGUUAUCCAUUUUGGAUGUUAAUGGGCUUUAUUUUACACCUUUAUAUCAUUUUUGGGACUAACCUACUAAUCGGAGGCCUAGCCCAAAUUGCUAUUUUUUGCCUAUUUUAGGUUUUUGAAGAAGAGGAAUAUCAAACGGAGUCCAAACGGAAUGAAACCUUCGGGAACGUGAUUUUCUCAACGAACAUGAUCCAGGAGACUUGGAGUGUGCGCCAAGAAAUAAGGGAGGAAGGCACGAGGCAGGGGGGCGCGCCUACCCCCCUUGAGCAUGCCCUCCACCCUCGUGGGCCCUCCACUGCUCCACCGACGUACUUCUUCCUCCUAUAUAUAUCCACGUACCCCCCAAACAACCAGGAGCACCACGAAAACCUAAUUCCACCACCGCAACCUUCUGUACCCGAGAGAUCCCAUCUUGGGGCCUUUUCCGGAGGGGGCAUCGAUCACGGAGGGCCUCUACAUCAACUGCAUGGCCUCUCCGAUGAUGUGUAAGUAGUUUACUUCAGACCUACGGGUCCAUAGUUAUUAGCUAGAUGGCUUCUUCUCUCUCUCUUUGGAUCUUAAUACAAAGUUCUGCUCGAUUUUCUUGGAGAUCUAUUCGAUGUAAUCUUCUUUUGUGGUGUGUUUGUCGAGAUCCGAUGAAUUGUAGGUUUAUGAUCCAGAUUAUCUAUGGACAAUAUUUGAUUCUCCUCUGAAUUCUUUUAUGUAUGAUUCGUUUAUCUUUGCAAGUCUCUUCGAAUUAUCAGUUUGGUUUGGCCUACUAAAUUGAUCUUUCUUGCAAUGGGAGAAGUGCUUAGCUUUGGGUUCAAUCUUGCGGUGUUCGAUCCCAGUGACUGAAAGGGAAGCGAUAUGUAUUGUAUUGUUGCCAUCGAGGAUAAAAAGAUGGGGUUUAUAUCAUAUUGCAUGAGUUUAUCCCUCUACAUCAUGUCAUCUUCCUUAAAGCAUUACUCUGUUCUCUUGAACUUAAUACUCAAGAUGCAUGCUGGAUAGCGGUCGAUGUGUGGAGUAAUAGUAGUAGAUGCAGAAUCGUUUCGGUCUACUUGUCUGGGACCUGAUGCCUAUAUACAUGAGCAUACCUAUAUAUUCUCAUAACUAUGCUCAAUUCUAUCAAUUGCUCGACAGCAAUUCGUUUACCCACCGUAAUACUUAUGCUCUUGAGAGAAGCCACUACUGAAACCUAUGGCCUCGGGGUCUAUCUUCUAUCAUAUUAAUCCUCCAAUACUUAGUUAUUUAUAUUUCUAUCUAUUUUACUUUCCAUCUUUUAUUUCUCUUUAUCAUAAAAAUACCAAAAAUCUUAUCUUAUCAUAUCUAUCAGAUCUCACUGUUGUAAGUGACCGUGAAGGGAUUGACAACCCCUUUAUCGCGUUGGUUGCGAUGUUCUUAUUUGUUUGUGUAGGUUCGUGGGACUUGAGCGUGAUCUCCUACUGGAUUGAUACCUUGGUUCUCAAAAACUAAGGGAAAUACUUACGCUAAUUUACUUCAUCACUCUUUCCUCUUCAAGGGAAAACCAACGCAAUGCUCAAGAGGUAGUGUCGGUGUCAAAACCGGCGGAUCUCGGGUAGUGGGUCCCGAACUGUGCGUCUAGGCCGGAUGGUAACAGGUGGCAGGGAACACGAUGUUUUACCCAGGUUCGGGCCCUCUUCAUGGAGGUAAAACCCUACGUCCUACUUGAUUAAUAUUGAUGAUAUGGGUAGUACAAGGGUAGAUCUACCACAAGAUCAAGGAGGCUAAACCCUAGAAGCUAGCCUAUGGUAUGAUUGUUGUAUAUGGAGUUGAUUGCCUACGGACUACAACCCUCCGGUUUAUAUAGACACCGGAUAGGGUUAGGGUUACAUAGAGUCGGUUACAAUGGUAGGAGAUCUUGAAUAUCCGCAUCGCCAAGCUUGCCUUCCACACCAAGGAAAGUCCCGUCCGGACACGGAACGAAGUCUUCAAUCUUGUAUCUUCAGAGCCCAGGAGUCCGGCUGAAGGUAUAGUCCGGCUAUCCGAACACCCCCUAAUCCAGGACUCCCUCAGUAGCCCCUGAACCAGGCUUCAAUGACGACGAGUCCAGCGCGCAAAUUGUCUUCGGCAUUGCAAGGCGGGUUCCUCCUCCAAGUCCUUCAUAGAAGAUUGUAAGCACCAAGAGUAGUGUCCGGCUCUGCAAAAUAAGCUUCCACAUAUCGCCAUAGAGAGAAUAAUAUUAACACAAAUCAAAUCUGCUGACGUAUUCCGCAGUGCGUCAUCACACUACAGCCAAGUCCUUCACUCGAAUCGUUUUCACUUUUCCACCUCAGCGUGUUUUGCGAGGCGGUUUCCUUGGCACGUCUUGUCAAAGCAGAGAUCGUGUCCCCCUUGUUUACGGGAUUCUCGUUAAUACGGACGUGGGUAACCCAACCGCGCCACUUAUCACGGCGCUUGGGAGGCAAGCGAGUUUUACUAGGCUGGUGGGGACGCAUAGUCGCAUCCGCCCAUAUAAGGGGAUAAGGAUCCACCUUUUUACCUACGCCUUCUUCCUCCUUUGCCUAGCCAUCUUCUGCGCACCCGAGCUCUAGCGCCCCAGCCCGCGCUUCCUACCUCAACCCUCUCCAACAAUGUUCGGAGCGGGAGGCAAGUGGAUGGUCUCCUCCGUCACGGAGGGCCAUGUCAAAAGGUUAAGGAAGGCCGGAUACUUGUCCAAAGACAUCGCGCACCGGCUUCCUGAGGAGGGGCAGCUUCUCCCCACCCCAAGGCCCCAUGAGAGGGUAGUAUUUCUUCCCCACUGCCUCCGCGGACUGGGUUUUCCUCUCCACCCAUUUGUCCGCGGGCUCAUGUUCUACUAUGGCCUAGAUUUCCACGAUCUGGCCCCGUACUUCAUCCUCAAUAUCUCGGCGUUUAUCAUCGUGUGCGAGGCUUUCCUCUGCAUUCGCCCCCAUUUCGGCCUCUGGCUCACGACCUUCAACGUCAAGCCAAAGGUGGUGCGCGGUAACCAGGCGGAGUGCGGAGGUGCCAUGGCGGGCAAAAUUGCCAACGUCCUAUGGCUCGAGGGCUCCUUUGUGGAGACCUUGAAGGGGUGGCAGUCAGGGUGGUUUUACAUCACCGAGCCACGCGAUCCGAAGUGGAUCGCAGCCCCUGAAUUCCGAUCCGGACCCCCUACGCGGCUCAUGUCCUGGAAGGAGACGAGCUUGUCGUGGGGCGACGAAGGAGAGUUGACCAGACUGCAAAAAUGCAUCCAGUCCCUGGUGAACAAGCAGCUCAAGCUUGUCAACGUAAUCUAGGUCAUGCUCGUCCGCCGGAUUCUUCCGUGUCAAGAACGGGACUUCAAUUUGUGGGAGUUCAACCCGGCGCAACACCGAACUCUGAGAAGGCUCUUCAACACGACGUACGAAGAUGUCUGGAGGGGGCUAACCAAAGGCGCCGAGACUCCCACAUCCGCCUCCGAAGACCGCGGAUUCAGCUCGCAGCGUCCUGCUGGCGAGGUAAGAUAUUUCCAUCUUUUACAGGAUGUUAAGCUUUUUCAUAGUUGACUCUAUGCGGGAUCAAAACUCCCUCACCUUUGACAGGAUUGGCGGGAGAAGUCCGGACAGAUUAAAUGCCCGGCUCCCUUGCCCGAAGACCUAGCCCCUGCUCUCCUAGAGAAGCUGCUGGUUUCGGCACCUUAUGUGGUGCCGGAGAAGAGGGCCAAGAAGAAGAAGGCCACGGGGACUCGAAAGAGUUCCUGGCAUAUGGUGGUGUCGGACUCGUCGUCCGACCAGUCCGAGACGCACUCCUCCCGUGAAGACGAGGAGGAAGAGUGUCGGACUCGUCGUCCGACGAGUCCGAGACGCACUCCUCCCGUGAAGAGGAGUGGCCGGACUACGUCCCCGACGCCGACGAGGACGAAGAGGAGUGGCCAGACAGGGCCAAGCAUCCGGCGAGAUCGUAAGUGUUCGGAUACCAGAGUAACUCGUGAUAUUCCUUUUGUUGCACAGCUUUCCCUAAUGUCGGAUAUAAUCAUGCAGUCCGCCCAAGGAUGGGCUCGACGAGUCGUCGAGCGGCUCCCUGGAUUCAUCGGACGUGAAUUCAGUUCCGCCUACUGCUUCCCCCUGUGCUGCAGAUGACGCCGAAGUGGCGUCGCGACAAGCUCCGGGACGAGAGGAGGUGGUCCAGGAGGAGUCGCGAGGUGACCUCCCGGACUCCAGGAGUGAAGGGGACAAGACCCCCCUGGGAUCCAAGUUCGGCUUUAAGCCGGACACUGAGAUGGAAUCAUCAACAGUUCCGGACUGCGGUAGGCGAACUCCUACCAGGAGGAGCAAGCCUACUGAGCCGGCAUCCUCCGUCCAGCCGGAGGCGCCGGACAAUCUGCUGGAGGAGCUUAAGGGCGCCUCCACCGACGAGGAGCACCGUGCCGUCAUGAGUACGGUGAUCCAGAAGGUUCGGUCCGCCAAAAGCGGACUGACUGAAGCUUGUGCUGGCCUUCUAACAGGCUUCGAGGUAAGUAAAAAUAUGUAAAAAUAUUACCGUAUAGACAGUAGCCCCUGAUGCUCUGUUUGGCGUUUGUAAAGAAAAGCCAAAUAGAGGAUCUAUUAAAUAUCGCAGGAGUCUAACUAAAAAGGAGUCAAUAUAUGUAUGCAGGCUUCGCUGCUGGCCACCGCCGCACUGACUGCGGAGGUGGGUGCCCUGAAGGAGGGCCUCCAGCGGACCGAGCAAGAGCUCGGCCUUGCCAAACGGCAGCUCGAGGAAAAAGAAUGUAAGAGAUACCUUACAGAAAAAGUGCCUAUAAAAAGGCUUGAUUGCAAAAAGAGUAGCAGGAUUGUACUGCUUAUUGUAGGGGCCACGACUGAGGUGGCGACCUUUAAGCAGGUGUUGUCUGAGGCCGAAAAGAAAACGGCCGCGGAGCGCACCGAGCGAGACAGACUUGGGGCUCAGGUCAGCGAGGUGCAGCAAGAGCUUCAGGCUCUCAUGAAAAAACAUGAGAGUUUGAAGCUGGAGUCGAAGGCGCAAGCAUCCGAGCUUGCAACGGCCCUAGAGGCUGCCAAGUCUACCAAGGCCGAUGCCCUAAAGACCCUCCAAGAGUUGGAGGAGAUGAGGAAGAUAGCAACGGGUAAGGCAUUCUUUAUGCAAAGCAGAAAUAUAAAAGUGAACUACCUGUUACUUACCCGAAUCCGAAGCUCUCCAGGGGCAUUCGCAGAUCUUCCCUGCAGCGUAUCCGAUGCCGCCGCAUUAUACCAAGCUGAAGAGGGUAGCUCGACGGAGAAGGUGUUCUGGUUUCAGUAUUCUGAGGCCGGACACCCUGUGCCCUUGAGCAACCAGCUGAAACAGCUGGUUGAGCUCCACAAGGCGGCCAAGCAGGCCAUGAAGGGCUUCAUAGUUCGGCUGUGGCCUGGAGAGGCCCUACCUGGGAGCUAUCUCGGGCUGGUGCGGCGGCUGGUGGAGGCCUGUCCGAGGCUUGAGGUCAUCAAGUGCUCCGUCUGCAUCGAUGGUGCCCGUCGGGCCCUUGCCCGUGCAAAGGUGCACUGGGGUAAGCUGGACGGUGAGAAGCUUGUGAAGGACGGGCUGCCGCCGGGGAAGGAGCAUCGCAAGCCCGAGAACUACUACAAGGAUGUUCUUGCAGGUGCCCGCCUUAUGGCGGAUCAAUGUACCAAGGAUGUGAUAUUUGAAUGAACUCGCUCGUGUUUAUCUUGUGCGCUGAAAACUUGUUCAUAUGUGCUAAGCAAUGCUUAUUGAAUUUAAAAUAUUACUUUCUGUGCGGCCAUUUAUCAAAAAUUGAGAGAUGGCCAGUCGUCGGCUUCUGCCCCCGUGCCACUAGUGCUGGGGUGUUCGGGAUAAACCUGAGCGCUCUUUUUCCCAUAGUUGGGUCCUUCGAGGGAGGCGCUCAGCACAACGAACCAGGCAAUCGGACUAUAAUGCUUGAACACUCUCACUUAGCCAUAGAGCUCUAUAAUUUUAAAUUUCGGUGAAGCCCGUAGUUCGGAAGACCGAGUUCGGGGCGCUAUCCACGCCUUGGCCGGACAAAGCCGGCUCCUCGCUCGAAGCGGCAUAAGCCUUUAGGGACUCGAAAAACCUCUCGAACAGCGAUCGGUCUCUCGCCACAUCAUGACAGUCAGUUUUAGCUUUCUCCACUCAGGUGCUUAACCCAGGUGAACCGGGGCACAAUCGCAGUGGUUCUCCUAGUGCUACCUUAGCCGAUAGAGCGGAACGUAAGGCACCAAAACAUAGGAGCCACGCAAACCCAACUAUUGACCCAAAUCAUGAUUCGGAGCCGAUGCAUAUAGUGCUAUAAGUUCGGGGUGCCGCACUUGUGAAAGUGUACGGACUUCUCACACCAUUAUGAGCGGUACUGAAGCCCCUGGCAUGUUUGCCAUACCAUGGUGUACGGGUGCAAUCAUGUCAUUUAAUAAACAUAAAUGUGAAAAGAAGAUAAUGCAAAAAAUAGACUAGAAGCUAAGCAUUGUUUAUAGAGAGGCUAUUUAUCAAAGCCGAACGAUACAAAUAGUGCGGUAAGCAAAAGAUAUUGGACUAUUCAGUAUGUCCUGACCAGGGGCAGGCCGCGGAAUUGUAUUUAAAACAGGUAUACCGCUCGUAACAGAGACCACCUGGGAGUUCCAUAAUGCGUCAUGGCUUGUCUGCCUCCCUGGAUCUUGCAUCGUUUGUGCGGCAGUCGAAUUGCCGAACAGGUCGUCCGAAGUAUGGAGUCCUGAAAGAAGAAAAAAUUAAAAAAAGAAUCCGGCAGCCCCUAGUACGUAUUAAGCCGUAUUUUGGGCGUGUUGUUAUUGUGCCCCUUCCCCUGUGCCCAUGGUAUUUCAAGGGCGUAGUUAUGUACGUGAGGUACUGGUUUCGCUAUGUUGCGAAAGCUGGGGUUGGGGCCGCAUUGCUACGCUUGCUUAGAGUGUGCCAGGCAGUGUCUGGCUUUUUAAUGGCCGGACUGGAGAAUUGCCUGAGAAGGCUACUUUGUACCUCCGCUGCGAGAGCCGCCGUAUGCUCCUCCAUAUGGAGGGAGCGUUCGGUGUUUCCGUUGAACGUAAUUACUCCUUGAGGGCCUGGCAUCUUGAGCUUGAGAUAUGCGUAGUGCAGCACCGUGUUGAUCUUUGCGAAUGCGGUUCGUCCGAGCAGGGCAUGAUAGCCACUGCGAAACGGUACUAUAUCGAAGAUUAACUCUUCGCUUCGGAAAUUGUCCGGGGAUCGGAAGACCACAUCAAGUGUUACUGAGCAUGUACUGUUGGCUUCUACACCUGGUAUAACGCCUUUAAAGGUCGUUCUUGUGGGCUUAAUCCUUGAGGGAUCUAUGCCCAUUUUCUGCACUGUAUCCUGAUAAAGCAGGUUCAGGCUACUGCCGCCGUCCAUGAGGACUCUUGUGAGAUGAAAUCCGUCGAUGAUCGGGUCGAGAACCAAUGCGGCGAAGCCGCCAUGACGGAUGCUAGUGGGAUGGUCCCUUCGAUCGAAAGUGAUCGGGCAGGAGGGCCAUGGGUUGAACUUUGGGGCGACUGGCUCCAUCGCAUAUACGUCCCGUAGCGCAUGCUUCCGCUCCCGCAUGGGAAUGUGGGUUGCGUAUAUCAUGUUCACCGUCCACACUUGUGGGGGAAAGCCCUUCUGUCCAUUGUUGUUCGGCGGCUUGGGCUCCUCGUCGUCGCUGUGCAGCCCCUUGUCUCUGUUUUCGGCCCUUAACUUGCCUGCCUGCUUGAACACCCAACAAUCCCUGUUAGUGUGAUUGGCUAGCCUUUCGGGGGUGCCAUGUAUCUGGCACAAGCGAUCGAGUAUUCGGUCCAAACUGGACGGGCCCUGAGUAUUCUUUUUGAAUGGCAUUUUCCGCUGACCGGAUUUAUAGCCUUUGAAUCCGGCAUUGACUGCCGUGUCUUCAUUGCUGUCGCUGCUAACGCGGCGUUUUUGCUUAUUCCGAUGUGUCCUACCACUUUUGUCCUUGGUAUCCGAAUUACCAGGGUGCUUUGAUAAGUUGUUACUGCGAGCUAGCCAGCUGUCUUCUCCCGCGCAAAAGCGGGUCAUGAGUGUCGUGAGGGCUGCCAUGGAUUUCGGCUUUUCCUGUCCCAGGUGCCAGGCAAGCCACUCGUCGCAGAUGUUGUGCUUCAAGGCUGCCAGGGCCUCUGCGUCCGGACAGUCGACUAUCUGGUUUUUCUUUGUUAGGAACCGUGUCCAAAAUUGUCUGGCCGAUUCCUCUGGCUGCUGAAUUAUGUGGCUUAAGUCGUCGGCAUCCGGUGGUCACACGUAAGUGCCCUGGAAGUUGUCGAGGAAUGCGGCUUCCAGGUCCUCCCAAGAACCGAUUGAGUCUGCUGGCAAGCUGUUAAGCCAAUGCCGGGCCGGUCCUUUAAGUUUGAGCGGGAGGUAUUUGAUGGCGUGUAGAUCAUCGCCGCGUGCCAUGUGGAUGUGAAGGAGACAAUCCUCGAUCCAUACCGCCGGAUCUGUUGUGCCAUCGUAUGAUUCGAUGUUUAUGGGUUUGUAGCCCUCUGGGAUUUUAUGAUCCAUUACUUCAUUCGUGAAGCAUAGCGGGUGUGUGGCGCCUCUGUAUUGGGCUAUAUCACGACGUAGCUCGGAAGAGCUAUGUCUGUUGUGUUCGGCCCGGCCGGAUUUGUUGUAUCCAGAGUGAAGAUCAUUUUCCCGUGCCUUAGUUGAGAGGUGUCGGGGCAUGGCUUGGGUGGAGGGCCGAGACGCCUCUCUGUCGCGGCCGCGAGGUGGCCGGUCUGCCAUGUCAUGCGCUGGUGAUGUAGGUGCUUCCUCCUCUGAUCGGGGUAGCGGCCUAUGCUUCGGGUAACUCUUGGAGGGGCGUUCGAGUUCAUACUCUUCGGCCGCAAGGACUUCAGUCCAUCUGUCAGCUAGCAAAUCUUGGGCAGCUCUAAGUUGUUGCUGCUUUUUCUUGAGGCUGCUUGCCAUGGCUAAAAGCCUGCGUUUAAAAAGCUCUUGUUCGGCGGGGUCUGAUGGUAUGACGAAUUCGUCGUCAUUGAGGCUUGCCUCGUCUUCGGAGGGAGGCGUAUAGUUAUCAUCCUCGACCUUUCCGUCUGCCGCUCUCUCAUCAGGGCUGGCUUCUCCAUCUUCCUGUGCCGAAUCUUGCUGAGGUGGGUGUUCUUCGGCGCUAUCCGGGGUAGUAUUAUCUCUCAUGUCGGAAUCACCGUUUUUGCUUUGGCGGGAUUUAGAGCGGCGCCGCUGGUGCCGGCGCUUUGGCUGUUUCUUGGGGGCGUCAUCCCCCACUGUUCCAUCGCCAUCUCCAUCUUUUGGAGUAUCCACCAUAUAUAUGUCAUAUGAUAAGGUGGCCUUCCAGCGCCCUACAGGUGCUGGUUCCUGUUCGUCUCCUACAUUGUCGUCCAUGCCGUCGAUGUCUUUGGAGCUGAAGUCAACCAUGUAGGUUAGACCGUCGAUAAUGGCUACAAAGUGGGUGGUGGGUGGGCUUUGAAUUUCCUCAUCGUAUGUAUCCCACCCUCGCUGACCGUAGUCCGGCCAGGGCUCUCCUGAUAAAGAGAGAGACUUAAGAGAAUUCAGGAUGUCGCCAAAAGGCGAAUGCUGAAAGAUGUCUGUAGCGGUGAACUCCAUUAUCGGCACCCAAUCGGAUUCGAUUGGCAGGGGCGCGGGGGGUUCGGAGUCCGGGGAGGAGUCCGGAUCCUCGGAGUCACGGGUCGUGCAGAGUGCGGGGCUAGCGUUCGGCUCGAUCGCUUUCGGGAUCGCAGCCCCCGAGGUGACGUCCAACCGCUCAUCCUCGAUUGGCGCAAUAGGUUCCGAGUUAGGGGUCGGAACCGAUGCGUGUGCGGCCUCCAGGACACUGGCCGGGGGCAGAGCUAGAUCAUGCCCCUCGGGAUAGUGCGGCGUGCUUGGCCGUGGCUCGAGCCCGUCGAAGAUCAAGUCUCCGUGGAUGUCAGCCGUGUAGUUUAAGCUUCCAAACCUGACUUGAUGGCCAGGGGCGUAGCUUUCGAUCUGCUACAGGUGGCCGAGCGAAUUGGCUCAUAGAGCGAUGCCGCCGAAGACGAAGAUCUGUCCGGGGAGAAAAGUCUCACCCUGGACCGCAUCGUUGUUGAUGAUCAAAGGAGCCAUCGGGCCUAAAGGCGACGAGACAGAGGAACUCUCAAUGAAAGCACCAAUGUCAGUGUCAAAACCGGUGGAUCUCGAGUAGUGGGUCCCGAACUGUGCGUCUAGGCCGGAUGGUAAUAGGAGGCAGGGAACACGAUGUUUUAUCCAGGUUCGGGCCCUCUUGAUGGAGGUAAAACCCUACGUCCUGCUUGAUUAAUAUUGAUGAUAUGGGUAGUACAAGAGUAGAUCUACCACGAGAUCAAGGAGGCUAAACCCUAGAAGCUAGCCUAUGGUAUGAUUGUUGUAUAUGGAGUUGAUUGCCUACGGACAACAACCCUCCGGUUUAUAUAGACACCGGAUAGGGUUAGGGUUACAUAGAGUCGGUUACAAUGGUAGGAUAUCUUGAAUAUCCACAUCGCCAAGCUUGCCUUCCACGCCAAGGAAAGUCCCGUCCGGACACGGGAUGAAGUCUUCAAUCUUGUAUCUUCAUAGCCCAGGAGUCCGGCUGAAGGUAUAGUCCGGCUACCUGAACACCCCCUAAUCCAGGACUCCCUCAGGUAGCAAGAUGGAUUUCUGGCGCCAUUGCCGGGGAGAUUCGCGCCAAGUCAAGACAUACCAAGUACCCAUCACAAACCCUUAUCCCUCGCAUUACAUUAUUUUCCAUUUGCCUCUUGUUUUCCUCUCCCCCACUUCACCCUUGCCAUUUUAUGCGCCCUCUCUUUUUCCGUUCCCCUCUUUUCCACUUGCUUUGUCGUUAUGGCUAGUCCUUUAUCUACUCCUUUGUCUCCCGAGAAUGAAGUUCUUAAUUUUAAACAAAGGGAGGGAGAAAAUCUAAAAGAUGCUUGGUACAGAAUUUGCAACACACAAAUUAGAUCUACUAGGAAACAAUCUACUUUUGUUCUUCUUCACGAUUUUUAUGUAGGCAUCACACCUUGGAAUAGAUAUAUUCUUGAUGCCAUUACCGGAGGGAAUUUCUUGGGUAGCCAUACUUUUGAUUCUUAUAAUGCUAUGAUAGAUCUGUUUGGCCCACCACCUCUUUUGGUUAAUGGAACUAUUUUAACUUUGGAACAUGUGAUGCAAUGGCUUGAAAUUAGUGAAAAUAAAGUUGCCACCAUAGAGUUAAUUGAAAAUUUGGAUAGAAAGAUCCAUAACCAAAUUACCCAAUACGGAUCUAAGUUAGGAGUUGCUCUUAAAAGUUUUAAAGAAAAGGGACCUAUGGUUAAUGAAAAGAUAGAAAAGGAUUCCACUAGAAUUGAUAAAAUUGAGGAUAUUAUUACCAACCUUGGGUCUUCCUUUUCUUCUAUUAUAAAUACUCCGCCUAAUGCUAAGAUUGCCAAACUAAUGUAUGUUACAAAAAAUAAGGGUGAAACUUCUAAUAAGGAAAAUGCGGAUCUCAAAUCCAUAAGUGUUCACCCCAAUUUUCUCACUAUCCUUAAGGAACCUUUUGCUACAAAUGAUUUUCUUGAUUUCAUACCUAGGAGUUUGAUAAUUAAUAAAAACAAAGAAACUCCUAAAAGUUAUUGGUGUGUUAUUGAAGAAUCACCUUCCAAAGACGGCAAUACCUAGGUCUAUCUUCGCUUUUAUGCCUAGCUAGGGGCGUUAAACGAUAGCGCUUGUUGGGAGGCAACCCAGUUUUACUUUUAUUCCUUGAUGUUUGCUCCUAUUUAGUAAUAAAUAAUUUAUGUAGCCUAUGUUUUGGUUGUGUUUUUUGUGUUUAAUUUGUGUUUGUGCCAUGUAGAACCAUUGGGUAGACUUGGGGAAAGUCUUUUUGAUCUUGCUGUAAAAAACAGAAACGUUAGCGCUCACGAGAAUCGCUGACAUUUUUAUUUGGAAAGUGAUAUUUAGAUAAUUCUUUUUGCGGAUGAUUAAUAGAUAAAUUCCUCACGUCCAGCAAUUUAUUUUAUAAUUUUUGGGGUUACAGAAGUUCGCGUUAGGUACAGAUUACUACAGACUGUUCUGUUUUUGACAGAUUCUGUUUUUCGUGUAUUGUUUGCUUAUUUUGAUGAAUCUAUGGCUAGUCAAAGAGGUUAUAAACCGUAGAGAAGUUGGAAUACAGUAGGUUUAACACCAAUAUAAAUCAAGAUUGAGUUCAUAACAGUACCUUGAAGUGGUGUUUUGUUUUCUUUCGCUAACGGAGCUCACGAGAUUUUCUGUUUGAGUUUUUUGUUGUGAAGUUUUCAAGUUUUGGGUAAAGAUUUGAUGGAUUAUGGAACAAGGAGUGGCAAGAGCCUAAGCUUGGGGAUUCCCAUGGCACACCAAGGUAAAAUUAAAGGACACCAAAAAGCCUAAGCUUGGGGAUGCCCCGAAAGGCAUCCCCUCUUUCGUCUUCGUCUAUUGGUAACUUUACUUGGAGCUAUAUUUUUAUUCACCACAUGAUAUGUGUUUUGCUUGGAGCGUCUUGUAUGAUUUGAUUAUUUGAUUUUUAGUUUACCAAAAUCAUCCUUGCUGUACACACCUUUUGAGAGAGACUCACAUGAUUGGGAAUUUAUGAGAAUACUCUAUGUGCUUCACUUAUAUCUUUUGAGCUAUAUGGUUUUUGUUCUAGUUCUUCGCUUAUAUAUUUUAGAGAAUGGCGGUGGUUUUAUUUUAUAGAAAUAAUUGUUCUCUCAUGCUUCACUUAUAUUAUUUUGAUAGUCCUUUAGAACAACAUGGCAAUAAUAAAACUGUCAUACAAGUGCAUUGAAUACUAUGAGAAGUUUGAUACUUGAUAAUUGUUUUGAGAUAUGGAGAUGGUGAUAUUAGAGUCAUGCUAGUUGUGUAGUUGUGAAUUUGAGAAAUACUUGUGUUGAAGUUUGUGAUUCCCGUAGCAUGCACGUAUGGUGAACCGUUAUGUGACGAAGUCAGAUCAUGAUUUAUUUGUUGAUUGUCUUCCUUAUGAGUGGCGGUCGGGGAUGAGCAAUGGUCUUUUACUACCAAUCUAUCUCCCUAGGAGCAUGGGCAUAAUACUUUGCUUUGAUAACUUAUAGAUUUUUGCAAUAAGUAUGUGAGUUCUUUCUGAGCAAUGUUGAGUCCAUGGAUCAUACGCACUCUCACCCUUCCACCAUUGCUAGCCUCUCUAAUACCGUGCACUUCUCGCCGAUAUCAUACACCCACCAUAUACCAUCCUCAAAACAGCCACCAUACCUACCUAUUAUCACUAGUGCAGAACCGGGCAAUAGCACCGGUUCGUAAGGCCCUUUAGUGCCGGUUUAGGAACCGGCACUAUUAUUUCGGCACUAAACCCCCCCCCCUUUAGUACCGGUUCAGCACGAACCGGUGCUAAAGGGGUACCACGUGGCACGAGCCAGCUCCGGGGGCCGGGAGCCCUUUAGUACCGGUUGGUAAAACCAACCGGUACUAAAUGGUUGUGGGUUUUUGUUUUAUUUUGUAUUUUUCAAUUAAAUUUGUGUUAUCAAUUUAAAUUAGGAUUGUUUUACGUUAUAAUGAGUUGUAGUCGUCAUCAUCAUCAUCAUCAUCGCAUAUUAAUAAAUAAAUAAACUCUAGCUAGCUAAAAAUCAUCGUGGUCGUCUAAUUACCACUAUUUAAUCAUCAUAGUCAUUACCGCUAGCUAUGUAAUCAUCAUCAACGUUGGCUAGCUUAAAGAGGAAACAUUCACUUUGUAACAGAAGCAAAGAGAUAUCAUCAAGUUCAACAUAAUCAUCACCAACAUCGAAGUUCAGGACACGGAUCCAUGAGACGAGUACUAAUUAAGAGCAUGAAGUAGUAGCUACUGAUCCUGCUUCUCCCUCUCAGGUAGAAUAGCACAGAACAUGUAUAGCUCUCCUGAUUCAUCAUACUGAAGCAUGCAGAUGAAUCUGUCUCCUAAUCUUGGGUUGCGCUUCUCCUUACUGCCCCCUAGUACUUCUCUGCGAUCGUUAACAAUUUUGCUCCAAUCUUUCACUAUUAAGCAUUCUUCGCUUUUAGAAAUCCUGAAUGCACUCAUGUGCAAUGUAGGAAAUCUUGGUCGUAAGCUAACCAUUGACAUGCGACCUUUUGUCUCGAUCCACUAAGGCACAACUGUCAUCGGAAGUCCCUGUUGAACAACAUCGUAUAGUAAUUAAUAUACUAAGCAAUGAAAGUUUAGCUUUAAAAAUAAUGUACGCAAAAGAUGCACUAAUUAAGGACAAAUAUUUAAAAUCUUACCAUCUUUUGAUUAUAGAUGUGACCGUAGUUCAAGGCGAUCACCAUUGGUCGCACGUUUUGAGUACUAACAUUUCUAAGUUUAGAAAAAAAAUUGUCUUGACAGUAUUAAGAUCCUCAAGCCAUGAAACACAAUGACUUAUUUCCUCGCAGUUUAGUUGAGCCCCGAGGUAGUAGUAGGUCCUGUCUACCAAGCGCCGGACAUGUUUGCUUGAACCGAAAUAAGCUGACAAUACACAUCAGUUGUCAACUAUUUUUGAAUAAACUGUACGAAAGACAUAAACGUAUAUAUGCAUGCAUGGUUGAGAAAAACUCACCAAAUGGUAGAACUGGAGGCGUUUGCACAUCGACCCAGAUGUCUAUAUUACCUUCAAUAUCAUCUUCCGGACGAAUAUCAAAGGUGAUAACCAUAUCAGGCUCAAAUGCAUAAGCCUUGCAUAGUGCUUGCCAAGUUUUGCAUUCAAAAUGGGUGUAUGUGCCUCCAUUAUAUAAUUUGACGUUGAAAGUAUACCCAUGCUCCGUCUUCAAGUAAACUCUCUUUACCUCCAUAUCAUCUAUAGCACUAAAACCUAUCUUAUAUAAUACAAAAAUUCUUGUAUGGCAGGGGAUGCGCUAGUAGAAUAGUGAAAAUUUAAAAUUAUAAGUUGAAGCAAAUGAAGCAUAAGUUUUGCAUUCAAAUAAUAAUUGACAAAGUGGCUUACUGUAUCAACUUCAAAUGUCUCAUCCAGCUUGAUGUUGAAGCGCCUACCAUCAACAAGGAAAUUUUGGUCGCACAGGCCGCGCUGGUCUUCACAGUGUUCGCACAUAAUAAAAUCUUUUUAGUUGUCAGAUGACAUUUCCUAUGUUCAUAUAGGUGAAACAUUAAACACCUAUAUCUAGCCAAAUAUAUAUUCAUCUAACAUUUGACAUUAAUAUAUCUAACUAUAUAUUCAAUUGACAUUACUAUAUAUUUAACUUUUCUAUCUAAUUCAUCUAACAUUCGACAUUAAUCUAACAUUUAUAUAAACUCAAAAUAUAUAAAAAAUUAAAUAAACAGAAAAACUCAUUAACAAAUAAUAUUUUAAUUAGAUCAUCAAAUCUCAUAUACCUAAAUUUUCUUACUAAAAAUAAACUAGUUAUAUUAAUUAUUCAACUAGUUCUAAUCUNNNNNNNNNNNNNNNNNNNNNNNNNNNNNNNNNNNNNNNNNNNNNNNNNNNNNNNNNNNNNNNNNNNNNNNNNNNNNNNNNNNNNNNNNNNNNNNNNNNNNNNNNNNNNNNNNNNNNNNNNNNNNNNNNNNNNNNNNNNNNNNNNNNNNNNNNNNNNNNNNNNNNNNNNNNNNNNNNNNNNNNNNNNNNNNNNNNNNNNNNNNNNNNNNNNNNNNNNNNNNNNNNNNNNNNNNNNNNNNNNNNNNNNNNNNNNNNNNNNNNNNNNNNNNNNNNNNNNNNNNNNNNNNNNNNNNNNNNNNNNNNNNNNNNNNNNNNNNNNNNNNNNNNNNNNNNNNNNNNNNNNNNNNNNNNNNNNNNNNNNNNNNNNNNNNNNNNNNNNNNNNNNNNNNNNNNNNNNNNNNNNNNNNNNNNNNNNNNNNNNNNNNNNNNNNNNNNNNNNNNNNNNNNNNNNNNNNNNNNNNNNNNNNNNNNNNNNNNNNNNNNNNNNNNNNNNNNNNNNNNNNNNNNNNNNNNNNNNNNNNNNNNNNNNNNNNNNNNNNNNNNNNNNNNNNNNNNNNNNNNNNNNNNNNNNNNNNNNNNNNNNNNNNNNNNNNNNNNNNNNNNNNNNNNNNNNNNNNNNNNNNNNNNNNNNNNNNNNNNNNNNNNNNNNNNNNNNNNNNNNNNNNNNNNNNNNNNNNNNNNNNNNNNNNNNNNNNNNNNNNNNNNNNNNNNNNNNNNNNNNNNNNNNNNNNNNNNNNNNNNNNNNNNNNNNNNNNNNNNNNNNNNNNNNNNNNNNNNNNNNNNNNNNNNNNNNNNNNNNNNNNNNNNNNNNNNNNNNNNNNNNNNNNNNNNNNNNNNNNNNNNNNNNNNNNNNNNNNNNNNNNNNNNNNNNNNNNNNNNNNNNNNNNNNNNNNNNNNNNNNNNNNNNNNNNNNNNNNCGGCGGCGGGGACAGCGACGAUGACGACGGACGACGGUACGGGCGACGGGCGGCGACGACGGGAUCGAGCGGUCCGCGCGGCGGAGGUGGGAGACGAAGUGGGGAGUUGAAACUGAAAUUUUCGUAAGUGCUAUAUAUAUAUAUAUAUAUAUAUAUAUAUAUAUAUAUAUAUAUAUAUAUAUAUGAUUGGCCUUUAGUACCGAAUCGUGGCUCCAACCGGUACUAAAGGCCUAUUUUCGCCAGGCCAAGCGGCGGGAAACGAAGGCUUUUAGUACCGGUUGGAGCCACCAACCGGUACUAAAGGGGGGCCUUUAGUACCGGUUGGAGCCACCAACCGGUACUAAAGGCCUUGCGCUGCCACCCCAAAAUUUAGUCCCACCUCGCCCGGCGAAGGGCAGCCGCACUGGUUUAUAAACCUAGCCGCGGCUACCUCUUCGAACUCCUCUAUAUAGCAGCCUUCUGGGCCUAAUUAAUUAGGGCGCGCUGCCAUGUGAGUCUGCUGGCCCUUCUGGGCCUGCAUUUGCACACCCUAGGUCUGGUAGACCCACAGGGCAGUGCGCCAACAAAUUUUUUAUAUAGUUUUAUCUUUUCUGCAUUACUUAUUUUCUUUUAUUUAUUUUUGAGUAGUUUUUUAUAUAGUUUUUGUUUUCUGCAUUAUUUAUUUUCUUCUAUUUAUUUUUGAGUAAUUUUUUUGUAUAGUUUUUUUAUUUUCUGCAUUACUUAUUUUUGCAUAGUCCGAAACCCUGAUACUCGGAAAGAGUUUGUCCAGUUUGUACACGAAGUGCGUCCAGUUUUUGCCGUGACCCUCUCUACUCUUUCGCGCAUGCUAUGCGGGUGAUACGAUGAUACCAUGCCAAGUUUCAACAUUUUCAGGAUUCAUUUUGUAGUGAUUUUCAAUUUCACGGUCAUUUAGCUCUCUAAACAAUUAGGUAAAUGACUGAAAAACAACAAAUGAUGUCAGAACAUGUUGAAAAUUGAUGACGUCGCUUUAAAUGCUGCAUACUGAACACAAAAGAAGUCCGGAGUACAAAUAAGUUUAAAAAACAUUGAAGUGGCCAUGUAACAGAUGAGUUCUCGUCCGAAACCCUGAUACUCGGAAAGAGUAUGUCCAUUUUGUACACGAAGUGCGUCCAGUUUUUGCCGUGACCCUCUCUACUCUUUCGCGCAUGCUAUGCGGGUGAUAUGAUGAUACCAUGCCAAGUUUCAGCAUUUUCAGGAUUCAUUUUGUAGUGAUUUUCAAUUUCACGGUCAUUUAGCUCUCUAAACAAUUAGGUAAAUGACCGAAAAACAACAAAUGAUGUCAGAAUAGACUGCACUGCACAUAGCUCAGUGUAGACUACACUGCACAUAGCUCAGUGCAAUCUAUGUUAUUCCGCAAGGCUUGAAGCUAAUCAACAUGUAGAUGAGCAUUGCAAUUCUUCGUCAUUGUCUGUGCACUCACGGCUUAUAAACCGCUCAUACUGCCUCUCUCUUGGCGAGGUGGGACUAAAAACAACUUGCCAUAACCUCAUCAAUUUCCUCUUGAAGCUUGUCCUUGCCUUUUUGCUUGUAUUCUUGUGGUGGAAGAUCAUCUUGAGCUUGUGUCCCCUUGAAGGAAGUAGGAUACUUCUCUUGUUGAGGAACAAACUUUGUCUUGGGGUAUUGAUCUUCUUCCCACUCAACUCCAUUGGCAUUGAACUUUCGUUCAAAACCAACACCUUGAUUCUUCCAGUGCCUUCCUUGCUUGCGCACAAUUUCCUCGAAUUGCUUACUCCCGGCAAGGCUUUUGUACAUUCCUUUCUCUAUAAUUCCCUUCAAUAAGCUAUUUUCUUGCUCAAGUGUAACUUGGCUAAGAGAAUCAUUAGUGGAAUCAAGAGAACUACUAGAAGCAACAAUGUUAGAUCUUAUGUCACAAAAAAGAAGUCGUAUCAAACCUUUUAUGUCGGAUCUAGAACAAACCAAUCGGUAUCGCCAUCAUACAGCCCUACCGUGGCUUGUGAUGCAUAUAUAUAUGCAUAUCAAAUGCACGGUUGGGCGUAUGAUGGCGAAUCCGAAUGAUUUGUAUUCAGUCGAUGAACUGGUAGAUGUAUGCAGUCGAUGAACUGGUAGAUGUAUGUAGUCGAUGAACUGAAAGACUUAUGCAGGGAAGGCGAGAGAUGGGCUAUAUAUAGGGUCGUCUGGCUCACAAAGUGAUUGUGGUAGUUUCGAUCCAACGACUCACAUGAGCUAGGAAGAAGCACACCCUUGAUCCAACGACUCGCAAGAGCUAUAAAGAAACACACGAUCCAUGUGAUUCUUCCUGAUUGGUGGGAUGCACAUUAGUAUCGGUUUGUGCCAUGAACUGGUGCUAAAGAUUGGCAAUGAACCGGUACUAAUGGUAGCAGCCCGCCUAGCCGUUGGAAUCGGCACUAAUGGUCACAUUUGUGCCGGCUCAAAUUCAAACCGGCACUAUAAUGUGCUUCACAUUUGACUGUUUUUCUACUAGUCAAUAGAGUUUGCCAAACUUGAGUUUCCCAAGUCACUUACACAAAAAGCUAUGAUUCAUGGUUGUCAAAUCCAUAAUUUACAAACCACAACAACCUUGAGGCAUAACAAGCUUUAAAUGCUGCAUACUGAACACAAAAGAAGUCCAGAGUUUAAAUAAGUUAUUAAAAAUAAAAAAGAGGUGCAAUGCUGGUUAAUUUGCUUCAAGCUAUUCGGAAUAGUGUAGAUUGCACUAAGCCACUGCACAUAGCUCAGUGCAAUCUAUGCUAUUCCGCAAGGCUUGAAGCUAAUCAACAUGUAGGUGAGCAUUGCAACUCUUCGUCAUUGUCUGUGCACUCACGGCUUAUAAACCGCUCAUACUACCUCUCUCUUGGCGAGGUGGGACUAAAAACAUCUUGCCAUAACCUCAUUAGUACUGGUUCAUGGUACGAACCGGCACUAAAUGGUGAUGGUGGGGCCAUAGCCUGACCGCAGGCUGACACAGCCUCUUUAGUACCGGUUCGUGGCAUGAACCGGUACUAAAGGUUCGCCACGAACCGGUACUAUUGAUCGCCGCCACGAACCGGCACUAAUGUACACAUUAGUGCCGGCUCUAAUUCAAACCGGCACUAAUGUGCUUCACAUUUGACCCUUUUUCUACUAGUGUAUGGCAUUUCCAUAGCCAUUCCGAGAUAUAUUGCCAUGCAACUUUCCAUCGUUCCAUUAUUAUGACACACUUCAUCAUUGUCAUAUUUGCUUGCAUGAUCAUGUAGUUGGCAUCGUAUUUGUGCAAAGCCACCAUUCAUAAUUCUUCAUACAUGUCACUCUUGAUUCACUGCAUAUCCCGGUACACCGCCGGAGGCAUUCACAUAGAGUCAUAUUUUGUUCUAAGUAUCGAGUUGUAAUUCUUGAGUUGUAAGUAAAUAAAAGUGUGAUGAUCAUCAUUAUUAGAGAAUUGUCCCAAGUGAGGAAAGGAUGGAGACUAUGAUUCCACAACAAGUCGGCAUGAGACUCCGGACGAAAAUAAAAAAAGAGGGAAAAAAGAGAAAGGCCAUAAAAAAGAAGGCCCAAAAAAUGAGAGAAAAAGAGAGAAGGGGCAAUGUUACUAUCCUUUUUCCACACUUGUGCUUCAAAGUAGCACCAUCAUCUUCAUGAUAGAGAGUCUCCUAUGAUAUCACUUUCAUAUACUAGUGGGAAUUUUUCAUUAUAGAACUUGGCUUGUAUAUUCCAAUGAUGGGCUUCCUCAAAUUGCCCUAGGUCUUCGUGAGCAAGCAAGUUGGAUGCACACCCACUUAGUUUCUUUUGUUGAGCUUUCAUACACUUAUAGCUCUAGUGCAUCCGUUGCAUGGCAAUCCCUACUCAAUCACAUUGAUAUCUAUUAAUGGGCAUCUCCAUAGCCCGUUGAUACGCCUGUUCUGGAGCUCCGCCAGAGGGGGCAUCGAUCACGGAGGGCUUCUACAUCAACAGCAUAGCCUCUCCGAUGAAGUGUGAGUAGUUGACCUCAGACCUACGGGUCCAUAGUUAUUACCUAGAUGGCUUCUUCUCUCUUUUUGGAUCUCAAUACAAUGUUCUCCCCCUCUCUUGUGGAGAACUAUUCGAUGUAAUCUUCUUUUUGCGGUGUGUUUAUUGAGAUCGAUGAAUUGUGGGUUUAUGAUCAAGUCUAUCUAUGAAUAAUAUUUGAAUCUUCUCUGAAUUCUUUUAUGUAUGAUUGUUUAUCUUUGCAAGUCUCCUCGAAUUAUCAGUUUGGUUUGGCCUACUAGAUUGAUCUUUCUUACAAUGGGAGAAGUGCUUAGCUUUGGGUUCAAUCUUGCGGUGUCCUUUCCCAGUGACAGCAGGGGCAGCAAGGCAUGUAUUGUAUUGUUGCUAUCGAGGACAACAAGAUGAGGUUUUCAUCAUAUUGCAUGAGUCUAUCCCUCUACAUCAUGUCAUCUAGCUUAAGGCGUUACUCUGUUUUUAACUUAAUACUCUAGAUGCAUGCUGGAUAGCGGUCGAUGAGUGGAGUAAUAGUAGUAGAUGCAGGCAGGAGUCGGUCUACUUGUCUCGGACGUGAUGCCUAUAUACAUGAUCAUACCUAGAUAUUCUCAUAAAUAUGCUCAAUUAUGUCAAUUGCUCAACAGUAAUUUGUUCACCCACCAUAGAAUUAUUAUGCUCUCGAGAGAAUCUACUAGUGAAACCUAUGGCCCCCGGGUCUAUCUUUAUCAUAUUAAUCUCCUACUACUUAGUUAUUUCCUUUGCUUUUUCCUUUGCCUUUAUUUUACUUUUCAUCUUUAUCACAAAAAUACCAAACAUAUUAUCUUUAUCAUAUCUAUCAGAUCUCACUCUCAUAAGUGGCCGUGUAGGGAUUGACAACCCCUAUUCGCGUUGGUUGCGAGGAUUUAUUUGUUUUGUGCAAGUACGAGGGACUCGCGCGUAGCCUCCUACUGGAUUGAUACCCUUGGUUCUCAAACUGAGGGAAAUACUUACGCUACUUUGCUACAUCAUCCCUUCCUCUUCGGGGAAAACCAACGCAGUGCUCAAGAGGUAGCAAGAAGGAUUUCUGGUGCCAAUGCCGGGGAGGUCUACGCAAAAGUCAACAUACCAAGUACCCGUCACAUACCCUUAUCUCCCGCAUUACAUUAUUUGCCAUUUGCCUCUCGUUUUCACCUCCCCCACUUCACCCUUGCCAUUUUAUUCGCCCUCUCUCUCUCUCUAUCCUCCCUCUCUUUCUCUAUUUGCCUCUUUUUUCCCGCUUGCUUUCUGUUUGCUUGUGUGUUAGUUGCUUGCUUGUCACGAUGGCUCAAGAUAAUACUAAAUUAUGUGACUUCACCAAUACCAACAACAAUCAUUUUAUUAGCACUCCGAUUGCUCCUCUUACCGAUGCUGAAUCUUGUGAAAUUAAUACUGCUUUGCUGAAUCUUGUCAUGAAAGAUCUGUUUUCCGGCCUUCCUAGUGAACAUGCCGGUACCCACCUAAAUAGAUUCAUUGAUUUGUGUGACAUGCAAAAAAAAGAAAGGUGUGGAUAAUGAUAUUGUUAAAUUGAAGCUAUUUCCUUUUUUGCUUAGAGAUCGUGCUAAAGCUUGGUUUUCGUCUUUGCCUAAAAAUAGUAUUGAUUCAUGGAAUAAGUGCAAAGAUGCUAUUAUCUCUAAGUAUUUUCCUCCUACUAAGAUCAUCUCUCUUAGAAACAAUAUUAUGAAUUUUAAGCAACUUGAUCAUGAACAUGUUGCACAAGCUUGGGAGAGAAUGAAACUAAUGGUACGUAAUUGCCCUGCCCAUGAUUUAAAUUUGUGGAUGAUUAUACAAAAAUGUUAUGCCGGAUUGAAUUUUGCUUCUAGAAAUCUUUUAGAUUCGGCCGCGGGAGGCACUUUUAUGGAAAUCACUUUAGAAGAAUCUACUAAACUCCUAGAUAAUAUUAUGGUUAAUUAUGCUCAACGGCAUAGUAAAAUAUCUAAUAAUAAAAAGGUGCAUGCGAUACAAGAAAUUAAUGUUUUGAGUGGAAAGAUGGAUGAACUUCUGAAAUUAUUUGCUAAUAAGAGUGUUUCUUCUGAUCCUAAUGAUAUACCCUUGUCUACUUUGAUUGAGAAUAGUAAUGAAUCUAUGGAUGUGGAUUUUGUUGGUAGGAACAAUUUUGGUAACAACGCGUAUAGAGGAAAUUUCAACCCUAGGCCUUAUCCUAGUAAUCUCUCUAAUAAUUAUGGUAAUUCCUACAACAAUUCUUAUGGAAAUUAUAAUAAGAUGCCCUCUAAUUUUGAAUCUAAUAUUAAAGAAUUUAUUACUUUGCAAAAGAAUUUCAAUACCUUGAUUGAAGAAGAACCGCUAGGAUGCGUGCUAAGAAAGAUGCCUUUAUAAGAGCGUGUUCUUCUAGUUCCUAUGAAAAUAAUGAUGAAGAUCUAAAAGUUAUUGAUGUGUUCCCUAUUAAAUCUUUGUUUUUCAACAUGGAUCUUGAUAAUGAUGGGAUUGAAUAUGAUCCACCUUUACCUAUAAGGCGUUCCAAGAAUUCAGAAUUUGUUGAUCUUGAUGCUAAAAUUGAUAAAGGUGGGAUUGAAGAAAUUAAAACCCUAGAUGUUGCUAAACCCACUAUUAUGGAUUUCAAGGAAUUUAACUAUGAAAAUUGCUCUUUUAUUGAUUGUAUAUCCUUUUUACAAUCCGUGCUAAAUUCUCCUCAUGCUUAUAGUCAAAAUAAAGCGUUUACUAAACAUAUCGUUGAUGCCUUGAUGCAAUCUUAUGAAGAAAAACUUGAAUUGGAAGUUUCUAUCCCUAGAAAGCUUUAUGAUGAGUGGGAACCAACUAUUAAAAUUAAAAUUAAAUAUCAUUAAUGCUAUGCUUUAUGUGAUUUGGGUGCUAGUGUUUCCACGAUUUCAAAGACUUUGUGUGAUUUGUUAGGUUUCCGUGAUUUUGAUGAUUGCUCUUUAAACUUGCGCCUUGUGGAUUCCACUAUUAAGAAACCUAUGGGAAGAAUUAAUGAUGUUCUUAUUGAUGCAAAUAGGAAUUAUGUGCCUGUAGAUUUUAUUGUUCUUGACAUAGAUUGCAAUCUUUCAUGUCCUAUUAUUCUUGGUAGACCUUUCCUUAGAACGAUUGGUGCAAUUAUUGAUAUGAAGGAAGGAAAUAUUAGAUUCCAAUUUCCAUUAAGGAAAGUCAUGGAACACUUUACUAGAAAGUAAAUUAAAUUACCUUAUGAAUCUAUUAUGAUAGCCACUUAUGGAUUGCCUACCAAAGAUGGCAAUACCUAGAUCUAUCCUUGCUUGUUAUGCCUAGCUAGGGGCGUUAAACGAUAGCGCUUGUUGGGAGGCAACGCAAUUUUGUUUUUAUUCCUUGAUUUUUGCUCCUGUUUAGUAAUAAAUAAUUUAUCUAGCCUCUGUUUUGGUUGUGUCCUUUGUGUUUAAUUAGUGUUGGUGCCAAGUAGAACCGUUAGGAAGACUUGGGGAAAGUCUUGUUACACUUGCUGUAAAAAACAGAAACUUCAGCGCUCACGAGAACUACUGCCAUUUUUAUUUGGAAAGUUCUAUUUAGUUAAUUAUUUCUGCAGAUGAUUAAUAGAUAAAUUCCUCACGUCCAGAAAUUUAUUUUAGAAUUUUUGGGGUUCCAGCUCUUGAGCUAGGUACAGAUUACUACAGACUGUUCUGUUUUUGAAAGAUUUUGUUUUUCAUGUGUUGUUUGCUUAUUUUGAUGAACCUAUGGCUAGUAAAAUAGUUGAUAGACCAUAGAUAAGUUGGAAUACAGUAGGUAUAACACCAAUAUAAAUAAAUAAUGAGUUCAUUAUAGUACCUUGAAGUGGUCUUUUAUUUUCUUUCGCUAACGGAGCUCACGAGAUUUUCUACUUUAAGUUUUGUGUUGUGAAGUUUUCGAGUUUUGGGUAAAGAUUUGAUGGUUUAUGGAACAAGGAGUGACAAGAGCCUAAGCUUGGGGAUGCCCAUGGCACCCCCAAGAUAAUCUAAGUACACCUAAAAGCCAAAGCUUGGGGAUGCCCCGGAAGUCAUCCCCUCUUUCGUCUACUUCUAUCGGUAACUUUACUUGGAGCUAUAUUUUUAUUCGCCACAUGAUAUGUGUUUUGCUUGGAGCAUCUUGUAUUAUUUGACUCUUUAUUUGUUAGUUUACCACAAUCAUCCUUCCUGUACACACCUUUUUUAGAAUACUCUAUGUGCUUCGCUUAUAUCUUUUGAGUUAUAUAGUUUUGCUCUAGUACUUCACUUAUAUCUUUUAGAGCACGGUGGUGGAUUUGUUUUAUAAAAACUAUUGAUCUCUCAUGCUUCACUUAGAUUAUUUUGAGAUGCUUAAUAGCAUGGUAAUUUGCUUAAAAUCCUAAUAUGCUAGGUAUUCAAAGUUAGUAUAAUUUUCUUAAGAGUGUUUUGAAUACUAAGAGAAGUUUGAUGCUUGAUGAUUGUUUUGAGAUAUGGAGGUAAUAAUAUCAAAGUCGUGCUAGUUGAGUAGUUGUGAAAUUGAGAAAUACUUGUGUUGAAAUUUGCAUGUCCCGUAGCAUGCACAUAUGGUAAACGUUGUGUAACAAAUUUGAAACAUCAGGUGUUAUUUGAUUGUCUUCCUUAUGAGUGGCGGUCGGGGACGAGCGAUGGUCUUUUCCUACCAAUCUAUCCCCCUAGGAGCAUGCGCGUAGUACCGAGGUUUUUGAUCACUUGUAGAUUUUUGCAAUAAGUAUGUGAGUUCUUUAUGACUAAUGUUGAGUCCAUGAAUUAUACGCACUCUCACCCUUCCAUCCUUGCUAGCCUCUUCGGUACCGUGCAUUGCCCUUUCCCACAUUGAGUGUUGGAGCAAACUUCGCCGGUGCAUCCAAACCCCGUGAUAUGAUACGCUCUUUCACACAUAAACCUCCUUAUAUCUUCCUCAAAACAGCCACCAUACCUACCUAUUAUGGCAUUUCCAUAGCCAUUCCGACAUAUAUUGCCAUGCAACUUUCCACCAUUCCGUUCAUCAUGACACAUUCAUCAUUGUCAUAUUGCUUAGCAUAAUCAUGUUGUUGACAUAGUAUUUGUGGCAAGGCCACUGUUCAUAAUUCUUUCAUACAUGUCACUCUUGGUCCAUUGCAUAUCCCGGUACACCGCUGGAGGCAUUCAUAUAGAGUCAUACUUUGUUCUAGUAUCGAGUAGUAAUUAUUGAGUUGUAAAUAAAUAGAAGUGUGAUGAUCAUCAUUAAUAGAGCAUGGUCCCAAAGAGAGAAAAAAGGAAGGGCCAAAAAAGGCCAAAUAAAAAAUAUAAAAAAGGGGGGCAAUGCUACUAUCCUUUUUUCCACACUUGUGAUUCAAAGUAGCACUGUAAUCUUCAUGAUAGAGAGUAUCUUGAUUUGUCACUUUCAUAUACUAGUGGGAAUUUUUCAUUAUAGAACUUGGCUUGUAUAUUCCAACAAUGGGCCUCCUUAAGUGCCCUAGGUCUUCGUGAGCAAGCAAGUUGGAUGCACACCCACUUAGUUUCUUUUGUUGAGCUUUCAUACAUUUAUAGCUCUAGUGCAUCCGUUGCAUGGCAAUCCCUACUCCUUGCAUUAACAUCAAUCGAUGGGCAUCUCCAUAGCCCAUUGAUUAGCCUCGUUGAUGUGAGACUUUCUCCUUUUUGUCUUCUCCACAUAACUCCACUCAUUAUAUUCUAUUCCACCCAUAGUGUUAUGUCCAUGGCUUGCAAUCAUAUAUUGCGUGGAAGUUUAUAGGUUUGAGAUCACUAAAGUAUGAAACAAUUGCUUAGCUUGUCAUCGGGGUUGUGCAUGAUGAGAGCGUUGUUGUGUGACAAAAAUGAAGCAUGACUAAACUAUAUGAUUUUGUAGGGAUGAACUUUCUUUGGCCAUGUUAUUUUGAGAAGACAUAAUUGCUCAGUUAGUAUGCUUGAAGUAUUAUUAUUUUUAUGUCAAUAUGAACUUUUGUCUUGAAUCUUUCGGAUCUGAAUAUUCAUAUCACAAUUAAGAAGAAUUACAUUAAAAUCAUGCUAAGUAGCACUCUGCAUCAAAAAUUCUGUUUUUAUCAUUUACCUACUCGAGGACGAGCAGGAAUUAAGCUUGGGGAUGCUUGAUACGUCUCCAACGUAUCUAUAAUUUUUGAUUGCUCCAUGCUAUAUUAUCUACUGUUUUGGACAAUAUUGGGCUUUAUUAUCCACUUUUAUAUUAUUUUUGGGACUAACCUAUUAACCGGAGGCCCAGCCCAGGAUUGCUGUUUUUUGCCUAUUUUAGGGUUUCGAAGAAAAGGAAUAUCAAACGGAGUCCAAACGGAAUGAAACCUUCGGGAACGUGAUUUUCUCAACGAACAAGACCCAGGAGACUUGGACCCUCCGUCAAGACACAAAAGAGGAGGCCACGAGGUAGGGGGCGUGCCUACCCCCCGGGCGCGCCCUCCACCCUCGUGGGCCCCCUGUUGCUCCACCGACGUACUCCUUCCUCCUAUAUAUACCUACGUACCCCCAAAUGAUCAUAUACGGAGCCAAAACCCUAAUUACACCGCCGCAACAUUUUGUAUCCACGAGAUCCCAUCUUGGCGCCUGUUCCGGAGCUCCGCCGGAGGGGGCAUCGAUCAUGGAGGGCUUCUACAUCAACACCAUAGCCUCUCCGAUGAAGUGUGAGUAGUUGACCUCAGACCUACGGGUCCAUAGUUAUUACCUAGAUGGCUUCUUCUCUCUUUUUGGAUCUCAAUACAAUGUGCUCCCCCUCUCUUGUGGAGAACUAUUCGAUGUAAUCUUCUUUUUGUGGUGUGUUUGUUGAGACCGAUGAAUUUUGGGUUUAUGAUCAAGUCUAUCUAUGAAUAAUAUUUGAAUCUUCUCUGAAUUCUUUUAUGUAUGAUUGGUUAUCUUUGCAAGUCUCUUCGAAUUACCCGUUUGGUUUGGCCUACUAGAUUGAUCUUUCUUGCAAUGGGAGAAGUGCUUAGCUUUGGGUUCAAUCUUGCGGUGUCCUUUCCCAGUGACAGUAGGGGCAGCAAGGUACGUAUUGUAUUGUUGCCAUCGAGGACAACAAGAUGGGGUUUUCAUCAUAUUUUAUGAGUCUAUCCCUCUACAUCAUGUCAUCUUACUUAAGGCAUUAAUCUGUUUUUAACUUAAUACUCUAGAUGCAUGCUGGAUAGCGGUCGAUGAGUGGAGUAAUAGUAGUAGAUGCAGGCAGGAGUCGGUCUACUUGUCUCGGACGUGAUGCCUAUAUACAUGAUCAUACCUAGAUAAUCUCAUAACUAUGCUCAGUUCUGUCAAUUGCUCAAUAGUAAUUUGUUCACCCACCGUAGAAUACUUAUGCUCUUGAGAGAAGCCACUAGUGAAACCUAUGGCCCCCGGGUCUAUCUUUAUCAUAUUAAUCUCCUACUACUUAGUUAUUUCCUUUGCUUUUUUACUUUGCCUUUAUUUUACUUUGCAUCUUUAUCACAAAAAUAAAAAUAUCUUUAUCAUAUCUAUCAAAUCUCACUCUCGUAAGUGGCCGUGUAGGGAUUGACAACCCCUAUUCACGUUGGUUGCGAGGAUUUAUUUGUUUUGUGCAGGUACGAGGGACUGGCGCAUAGCCUCCUACUGGAUUGAUACCUUGGUUCUCAAAACCUAAGGGAAAUACUUACGCUACAUUGCUGCAUCAUCCCUCACUCUUCGGGGAAAACCAACGCAGUGCGCAAGAGGUAGCAAGGGUUCCUUUUUGUCGACGAUCUGAUGUUUCAACCUUGUUUUCCAGGCGGCCAACGCAUCGCUCAACUUGGUCAUGGCGUGUUUGUUUAUCUUCGUCAUUGCCAGGUCCUUAUCUGGAUCUUUAUUAUCCUUUUCAUUACGGUCCGGGAACAAGAAUAUCUGGUGCAGCUUCUUUAGGAGGGAGGGCCUCUGGUGCAGCUUCUAUAGUUUCCCAUCGUUGAUCAUGGCAGUUGUCCGUACAAUGCAACCUAUUUGAUUGCCGUAGCACGAUUGCGCUUCCUCGGGUGCUAUUGUCUCAAAAAUACCGUCGUCCAUCUCCGUGACCACCAGUCUAGUACUCAUGAGCUGGUUUAGGCGUCGUGGCCUCUUUGCUUUCGGUUCUAGACUAACUCCGCUAGUCUCGGCGCUGGUCUCAGUCUCAUCGCCGGUCUGCAUGUCGGUAUCAGUCCCUGAUGCGACAACACAGUCGCUGCAACAUGGGUAAGGGAGACCACAUCAGUGCUGGGGGGUCCGAAAAUCGGGACACACUUUCGCGCGUCGCGGGCCGCCUCUCAGACAGCUACUGGGGAGGCGGCGGAGUACCUGGGUGCGCCGCGAAUCCCCGGGAACUCGGUGACCAACUUCCUUCCCGUGUGGCGCAUGGAGACGACAGCGACCCCGGCGAAGAGUAGCUUAGCCGCGAGCUGCACAGCCUCGUCCACCUCCUAAGUUGGGACCUCCGCGCAAGCGUUGCGGGGCCGCCGCUCGGGUGGCUUCUGGAAGGCGGUUGUACAUGGGCACAGGGUGAAUCCCGACUAGAGCUGGCCAUUGGCGCGCGCAAGUAGACGACGACGUCCCCGACGAAGAGCUGCCCGGCCAGCUCGCCUCACUCUCCUUUGAUUAGAAAUGAAAGAUUGGGAAGAAGCAGACUUGAGCCUGCAGAGAAAGGAUAAGGUGACGAUGCAGUCUCCACUCGUUCGGGGCGACACGCGUACUGAAUGUAUGAGAAACGUGACGUGGCAGAGACCCCAAGAUACUCCCUCCAUUUAUUUUUAGUCUGCAUAUAAAGUUUGGUCAAAGUCAAGAUUUGUAAAUUUUAACUAACUUUAUAAUAAAAAAAUAUCAAUAUUCACAAUAUGAAAUCAAUAUUACCAGAUGCGUCAUGAAAUGUAUUUCCAUACUAUAAAGUUUUGGUAUUGUAGAGGCACUCUUCCAUAUAAUGAAGUUUAUAAUAUAUGUGCUUAUAUUGUACUACAAUUGUUUGAAUAGCUUAGCAUAUGUUCAGAUGUAUGAUAUCUGUAAUUUAAGCGCUUGAAUUUUACAUAUAAAUAUUUAUUAAUAAAUAUGUACCCCUAUAAUAGCUAGGCCGUGCAGUUGCACGGGUAGAUGACUAGUGAUUACAAUCUUGUUUGUGUGCAAGUCAAGCUUAUCUAGUUUACACGUAACAACUUGUAGAACAUUACAAAAUUUAUGCUUGCUAAUAACUUCUAGAACACUACAACACUUGACAUGUAAAAGGAAUUUGACGAGUCAUGGCCUACUAAAGCAAGUUACAUUACUAGUCUUAUCUAUCUUAACAGACCACACAAGAUUACAAACUAAGUACCGUGACAGCCAUACUUAUCUAGUUUAUGCGUAACAAUUUGCAGAAAAUUAGAAACUUAGUUUCAGAAAAAUACGCAAUCUAGAUUAGUGUUUGAGCUGUAAAGUGAAUAAGAUGAGUCAUGCAUGUUAUCACACCUUUUUGGUGGUGGAAUGAUAGUGCAACAACAAGGAACUUUAAUGACCAGUCCAAGAAUACACUUGUAAGUAGUGCCACCAAACAGAACAUUCCAAAUGAUGAUUUUUAGAAGCAUCCAAGCACUUUCCACACAAACAAAUGCCAAUUGUGAAAGAGAUCAUUCCAUGGCAGCUAUAAAUAGCCCCAUAGCAUGACGAUCAUCCUUCCUCAUCCAUCAUUCUCAUUAGUAGAGCGCAUCAUUUAAGCCAAGCAAGCUGUGGUCAAUACAAAUCCACCAUGAAGACCUUUCUCAUCCUUGCCCUCCUUGCUAUCGUGGCGACCACCGCCACAACUGCAGUUAGAGUUCCAGUGCCACAAUUGCAGCCACAAAAUCCAUCUCAGCAACAGCCACAAGAGCAAGUUCCAUUGGUACAACAACAACAAUUUCUAGGGCAGCAACAACCAUUUCCAC
rnacentral:lncRNA from 1 species